rnacentral:lncRNA from 1 species
CUACAGUUGGCGUUGGAGGCCACUUCAGUGGCGGUGGAUAUGGUAAUAUGAUGAGAAAGUACGGCUUGUCAGUUGACAACAUAGUUGAUGCACAACUUGUGAAUGUGCAUGGUGAACUUCUCGACCGAAAAUCAAUGGGAGAAGACCUUUUUUGGGCCAUUACAGGAGGCGGAGGAGCCAGCUUUGGAGUUGUGAUCGCGUAUAAAAUUAAUCUUGUACGAGUUCCAGAAAUAGUUACUGUUUUCAGGGUUUCGAGAACCCUGGAACAAAAUGCGACAGACAUUGUCUACCGUUGGCAAUAUAUCGCGGAUAAACUUGACGAUGACUUGUUCAUCAGGCUUACCAUGGAUGUUGUAAAUGGUACUAGUUCAAAUAGUAGUGGAGAAAACAAUAAGACUCUUAGGGCUUCAUUUAUUGCCAUGUUUCUCGGAGACUCUGAGAGGCUCCUUUCAAUCAUGAACAAGAGCUUCCCUGAAUUGGGUUUGAAGCAAUCUGAUUGCGCCGAAAUGAGCUGGGCUCAAUCUGUGCUUUUCUGGACGAGCUUCCCAACUGGGACAUCUACUGAAGCUUUGCUUUCUAGAACACCUCAAGUGCUUACACGCUUGAAAAGAAAAUCAGACUACGUCAAAAAACCAAUUCCAAAAACUGGUUUGAAGUGGAUUUUUCAGAAAAUGAUUGAGCUUGAGGCACCAAUGUUGACCUUUAACCCCUACGGCGGAAAAAUGAGUGAGAUAUCGGCGUCGGCAACUCCGUUUCCUCAUAGAGCUGGGAAUCUUUGGAAGGUUCAGUAUGCAACAAACUGGGACAUACUGGGGACCGAGGCAUCAGAUCAUUAUAUUGAAUUGACAAGAAAGCUCCACAUGUACAUGACUCCUUUUGUUUCCAAAAAUCCAAGGGAAGCCUUUUACAACUACAAGGAUCUUGACAUUGGGAUCAACCAUAAUGCUAAUGGCAUGUCAAGCUAUUUGGAGGGGAGAGUUUAUGGCAUUAAGUACUUCAAGCAUAACUUUGAUAGGUUGGUGAAUGUGAAGACCAAGGUCGAUCCUGGUAAUUUCUUUAGGAAUGAACAAAGUAUCCCAACUCUUCCACUCUAAAGAGGAAAUAGUUAUAACUAGCAUUGUGAUUGAUUUGGUCAUUGUUUAGCUUGUUUGUUAUAUUUUUUUUAUGUAUAUCUUUAAUAUUGUUUGUAAAAUAAAAAAUUGUACUCUAUGUUUUAAUCAGCCAAAGAAAUAAAAAAGAAGAAAGAUAUUGCUUCCAAUAUUGCAAUUUGUUAGUACUUAAUUAUUACAAGUUUCAAUAAAAAUGUCUCCAAAAAUUGAAAAAUUAGUAUUUUUUGGGGUUUCACUUUUCUAUCUUCUUGUUAAAAAAUUUACAUGUUCAUUUAAAGACAUUCCGUCAUACAAAUUUAGGGGGGCUAAUUAGCUUUUUCUAACUUGCUUUUAUCAACAUGUUGUAAAGUUGAAGGCAAUAUUAAUAGUGAUUAGUAAUGUAGAUAAGUAAAUUGUAAUGAAAUUAUAGAACUUAGACACAACAACAGUUGCAAUUAGAUUAUAAAUACUUCCAAUAAUCUAGAAAUAAGUACCACUAAACUAAAAUGAUCACAUGCAGCUUUCUGCAACCUUACAAAAUGCCAACUAGAGUUACAACCAUUGAAGGAUGAUUUGUCAUAUAUAUAUUAUUCAUAUUCAUAACUUUUAUUGGCUUAUUAUAUUAACACUCCACACAUUGUUGAAUACACCCUACAUACUUAAUAAAUCCUACAUUUUCUUUUUCCAUUAAAAUUUGUCUUAAUAUACCCCACAUACUUUUCUAUAAACACCCUCACACUCCUCACUCUCAACAUAAACCUUACAUUUUCUCCAUUCACCCCACUUUUCUUCUUACACCCCACACUCUUCACAAUGAUUUCGUUUUUUUUUUCUUUUCUGUGCUAUGUACCGUUUGAUACAAAAUCAUUCAUGUCAUACAGGUACUUUCUUACUGCUAUAGAGGAUUCAAAUAGAGGAAAGUAGAAGCUGCUUGGGGAACCUUACAAAAAUGAAAGGGUAGAAGUUUCGACAUGAUAGAGAGGGUUAAGAGCAUAGAUGGUGAGAGGAAUCUGUUUGAAUUUUUCUCCUUAACCUUUUUCCAUAUAAUCAACAUUGAUCUGCGAGGGGGUGUAUCUCAAAAAUGAUAAUUUAGGAAAUAAGAUGAUGAUGUGAGGACCUUAGGCUCUGUAACAACCCGUCCCGAUUUUAUCAGAACAAAUGGGGUACUUUUGUGAAAUUUCACCUUGGGCUAGAUCUUUUUCUUUUAAAAUUGGUUUUUGGGUCUUAAUUGGUGAGCACAAGGGGCCCAUCCGUGAACUUUGUCCCCCGGCUCCUCUAUUCUUUUGUUGCCACAUGGCACUUCUUCCCCACUUUCUCUCUUUCCUCUCUCAUUCCUUCAUGAUUCUCCCCCUCACUUUUCUCUAUUUUCUCUUUCUUUCCUCAUGCUCCCUCUCUCUAUGCUAUCUUCUCACAGUGGAACCCAUACAUACACACAGGCAGCAAUCAUCACCUAUAUCCUUCCUUUCUCUGCGUGUUCCAGGAAGCUAGGAUCGAGGGAGGAUCACCUCAACCUCCACGUGGUUACUGCCAUUGUGCAAACAUUCAUCCGACGAGACGUAGGCAAGCCCUAGAAUCCCUUGGUUAGUGUUUACAUGGAAUUAUAGGAUGAAAUUGAGUAGCUUUGAUAGCUAUAGGAUGUAGAAACACCUCGGGAGGACCUCUGCAGUUUUUCCGGUGAUAAACCGUGGUCGUUUGGCCAUCUUUUAGACCAUUUUUCGCUAACUUCGGACACCACUCGGUCCCUACUUGGUAUGAUUCUCUUCUCCACAUUUCUAGCUACAUUUUGGCCUUUGAAUCACUCAAUUUGGUUAAGUAACGAAGAAGUUACGAAACUUUGAAAAUUCCCCAAACCUUUGGCCAAAACCCAGUUUUCUCGACGAGCACCGCCUCUUUCGAGGCAUUUUCCGGCCAAACCACGGCUAUUUGGCCAGUGUUCAGGGUAUCAAUCUCUUCAUCUCGUUGAGUACUACAACUUUGAUGUUUAUAUCACUUGAUUUGUAUGAGUAAUGAAGAAGUUAUGAGCGUUUAAAAUUUGUCCAACUUUCAGGCCGAAAUCCGGCCUUCUCUUUCAAUUGGGUCCGGCGACCCAUGUUCUGAACUCAGACUGGGCUUUCAAGCCCAAAUCCUUUUGAACCAAGCCCUUUGGGCCGUGCCAAACCUAGGGCCUUAGGCCCGUUAUCCUUUUAAACCCAACCCAAAUCCUUUAAUCUAUUUGUAUUUAUUUAUUUAGUUUUAUAAAAAAAAAACCCAAAAGAACUGGGCCGGGCCUUUAAGCCCAAGCCCCUUUUGUGCAACCUAGGGCCUUCGGCCCAUUGACCCAGAACCAUCAAAUAUGGCCUUUGGGCCUUGGAACCCUUUUAUUUAUUUCUAUAUUUUAUUUGUUUGGAACUAAACCCUUAACCCAAUCCUCUAACCUAUUAACCCAAAACCCUUUUUAAAGUAGAAAACCCGUAACCCAUUAACCCAUUAUCCUAAGCCCAACCUACCUAAACCUAAACCUAACACAAGUCCAAACCCUAAACCCUAGCCAGCCCAAAACCAUUUAUAGGGAAUAUUCCGUUAAGGAAUCGGAAUAUUCUAUUGACGUUUACGAAAUUUAACUGGGACCCUACUUAAGGUAAUUCGACGUCCUGAAUCCGUUUCCGACGUCCGUUUUCCCAAAUUCAAUUGUUAUGAUAGAGUUUUAUUAAUUGGACCAUUUAUGUGCUUAGGGGCAAUAUUUGUGACGUUUCCGUGAUUGCUAGUUUGCGUGGCUCUUCUGCGGCUAAGUAUCUAUGAGUGGACCCCUUUUAAAAAUGCAUGCUUUAAUAGUAGAAAUGCAUACAUGGAAAAGCAUGAUUUAAUAAUUAUGUUCUAUGAAACGCUUUGAGAUAACAUGCUUACUGAGGCUAGUUUGAAUUAUUACUAUUUUUCCUAUAACCCAUAUUCUUAUAGAAUAUCCGAUGGAUGACGAUAUGAUAUUUAGAACAUGUUUUGAACACCUCUUUAUAGUAUAGAUGAUGGAUGACUUUAUACUAGGAAGUUGUUUUUCAAUAUAUAUAUAUAUAUAUAUAUAUAUAUGUUCAAUGGUUUUGUACUUACCAAGUGGUCAUUUCCGCUACGGGAUGUAGGGAUAGAUUCAAGUCCAUCUCAGGCGACGGUUUGGUGUUGGCAUAGGGCCUGGAGGGUGUUUCUUUUGGCUAUUUAGCAUUGGGAUGGGGAGCCGACAUUGGGCCUAGUGUAUUUUCCUCUGACUGUCUGCUCAGGGACGAGGAGCUGGCAUGAGGCCUGGAGGGUUAUCGGACAUUCACUAGUGAUUAUUAUAUAUACAAGUUAUGAUUUGAGACAUUGUGCGGCAUGCUAGGUUUCGGAAAACCUAUGUUUAUCAUUAUAUAUGUGUUUUCAUCAAACAUGGGAGUUAGUACGUUGAUAACUGUUUUACUAUAUAUAUCAACUUGGUCCACUCAUGUUUGUUUUGCGCCCCCUUCAGGACUUAGAAUCGAGGCAUACAAUCCCGACAUCUAGGCACUUCCGCAUCAGCAUCUUCGAGUCCUCUCGGUGUAGAAACCAUCCUUUGUUUUAUUCAAUUUUAUAUUAUUUCUUUUAGUAUUAUAUCUAGUUGUAUGCUCUGAACACGUUCCUUAAAUGCAUAUUCUUUAUUCUUUUAUAUUUAUAAACCUUAUCUAUUCCUUGUUUUCAGCAUUUGCACUCAAUAAAUAGCUUUCGUCACCCUCGGGUGUCGACCAACACGUGCCUAUCCUGGUAUUCAGGGAAAUAUCGGGAUCGGGGGCGUGUCAGAUUGAUAUCAGAGCGUGGUUUGUUCAAAGCAUACUUAGGAUUCUCUUUUAUUCUUGUAAAGUGUCGGUUUUGACAUCAUUUGGAUGUCAUGACUUUUAGAUUUGGUGCCAUUAAGCGUAGUUGUGCGAACAUUUCUCUAUUUGAAUUGUCACAUUCUGGUUGAAAUAUAAGAAAUCUCGUGUUGGGAUUGUGCCUCAUCAGUGACGUGUUUGAUUUGUUGGACGACUUUCAACAUCAGACCAAUACUCUACGACGUGCAUUCACUGGGCAUAGCGGGUAAAGUCAGUGUUACUUGGAAGCAACGUGUUUUAGAAAUCUCAGUUUAUGGAAGUCUGGUCAAGAUCAGUUGUAAAUCUGAAAUGGCGAUGCCAUUCUGCGACAUGCGUUCCCUAUGAAUGGCGAGCAGAGUCGUGUCUCUUUGGAAAUUACUCGAAACUUUCGAAAUGCGUGUUAGCAAAAAUGUGUAAGUGUUAGUUUUGACGAUGGUUAGUAAGUGGUAGUUGGUGGGAGCAAAUCAAUGUUCUCGAACUUAUUACCACUGAAGAAAUUCGUGUGGAUCUUUAGAGCAAUUCUCGACUAUUAUUCUAUCGAUAACCUUUUUGCUUACUCCAACAACGAAGUCAAGUUCACUAACCAUUGACCGUCAACUUCACAUCAAAUUCUUUGAGCGUUGACUUCGUUUAGUUUAUAUACUUUUCUUGGGAAACUCCUCAGUAGCGAACGAUAUUCUCAUCAAUUUCCCAAAAUGGAGUUGCGAUUCUUGUUGUCAUUGUAGUUGGACUUGGAUGAUGAAGAUCCAGACUUGUUGGAUAAACAGACUUCUUGAAUUUCACUUGGGUCUGGUACUUUGUGGUAAACCUUAGCUCCUUGUUCACGUACCUUUUGGUAGAGGUGAACUUAGCAUCUUGCUUGUAGCCCAAUUUAUCAGUGCUCUUGUCCACUAACUGUCCAGCCUUGAAAUUUUCAGUGUAAUGGCUUGAAACUACCAUAUUUAUUAUUGUACGAAGAUUAAGCUUUACUCUGAACUUCUCUGGAAUCAUUGAAUUUUGGUUUGCUCAAGGGCAUCGCUUUAAGAUAGCCAAUCGUGUCACUGCAUGCAUACGCAUGCUGCUUCGUAUCUUUCUUAUUUGUCAUUCUGUUGAUUCAGAGGUUCUAUGUUUAAUUUUUGAACUUUGAAGCAUCUCUCACAAAGUAUUGUGAAUUGUGAAAUGUCUUUGGCCACGUCAAAUCUUAUUAACAGUUCUUAACUAUUAUUGAGCUUAGACCUAUUUUCUUUUGGCUAAGAAACCAGUCGACCUUAUUAUGAUGAUUAGCCAAAUAAUCAUAAACAGUGACUUCUAUUUCUGCAUCUUCAUUUUCCUUCGCUUGUUUGUUUCUCAAUGUAAAUUGAAUCAUGCCAGAACAAUACAUCAAGGGUAAAAAAAAAAAAAAAAAAAAAAAAACGUUUAUUCUCAGCAUGGUUUCUCGUUCAAAUCCCAAUAUCUUGUACUCCAGAUUCUAAUGGACUUGUUUUGACCCUUAAAUUCCUGAGUGUUCUCUCAGCCUUCUUGACAUGGUUUCUCCCUCAAUCAGUGAAAAAUUCACGAUCGAUCAUUUCAGCGAAAGUGUGCACCCAGUUCAUGUCGAUUCGGAUAGGAACGUUAGGAGCAUAAUCUUUUGACAAGCCUCCCAGACUUACCAAAAAGAGUUCCAUGUAGGUGUGAGGUUGGAGUCGUCUUUUGGUAAGAGACUGGUGAAGAUUGUAGUGCAGAUGAUCAGCAGAUUGCAUCACUAUCUUCACACUGAAUUGAAUGGUCACCACUCAUUAUCUUGCUACAAUUCAUUACCAUUAUAUCGUACUCUAGUAGACCUUUUCGAUGAUGCGUUGUGUUCACCUCAACACAGCUUUCCACUACCUCGCACUAGGAUCUAUCGGUUUGCAAGCACGUGGGUGUGAGGUUUGAGUGGUCUUUUAGUAAGAGUUGGAUGAAGGUUUUAGUACAAAAGGUCAGCAAUUGUAUCACCAUCUCACUAUAAUUCAUAGGCAUCACAUCGGUUCUUUUCCAACGAUAUGUGCUCGUCUCAAUGCAUCUUCCCACUGCUUCACUUCCGAACUUUAUUGUUGUGAGUAUGUGGAUGUCGAAACACUUCUAGCAGAUUUGUUUGGUGCAUUCUGGGAUGGUACUACAACACGGUCGAGGCGAGAAUCGGAAGAUCUUUACACUUCUCUUGAAUGGUGUGUACUCUGUUUUGUUUUUAGGUUGAUCACUUGCGAGUCUUUCUUCUUUCCACCAACUUUGGCCCUGUUUGACUAUAAAUCUGCAACUAAGCAAAAAUGGAGGGGUGGAUUGAGCACUAUAACAGCUCUCAAGAGACUGCUUGUUGAGGAAUAUGACUUCUGGUUUUUUGCUUGCUUGGCUCUAGCUUUUGGGUCUACUAUUAACAUUGUAGCCAAUUCUCUUGAAUCCUAAGGUACAGUUUUCAAAUGGGUUCUUUGUUGGCAAAACUUUGGAGUAGUUGGUCACAUUUGGAAGAACUGAGGAGGAUUGGAUGCUUGGUGCUGGAUAGAGUUUUACGACGAUAGUUUCUAUUUUGUUCGGUUUGAGUAUGGCACUUUUUGCGACAUGGUAUAAGAGUUUUCUCCAGAGACAGUGUUAGUUUUUUUUCCAGAAACAAUAUUAUUUUUUUGUUUUUCCAGAAAUAGUUUUUUAUUUUGGUUUUUUAUUUUUAGAGACAAUGUUAGUUUUUUUUUUCUAGAAACAGUGUUAGUUUUUCACCAGUUUGUUUCGACGGUGGUUCUGAUUUUUUUUCCAUAAACAAUUUUAGUUUUCCAGAAACAGUGUUAGUUUUUACACAAACAUUGUAUUUGAUUUUUUUUCUUCCAGAAACAGUGUUAUUUUUUUGUUUCUAGAAACAGUGUUAUGUUUUGAUUUUUCCAGAAAUAGUGCUAUGUUUUUUAUUUAUGUUUUGUUUUUUUUUUCCAUAGACAGUGUUAGUUUUUUUUUCCAGAAACAUUGUUAGAUUUUCUUUGAUUUGCUUUGACGGUGGCUCUGGUGCUUUUUGCACUUCUUUUUCUCUAGUUUGUUCACACGGAGGUUCUAGUACGUUUUCCACAUCUUUUUUGCCGAUUUGUUCGGACGGAGGUUUUGGUACAUUUUGCACUACUUUUUCGCCGGUUUGUUUCAACAAAGUUUUUGCCAUUGAACUUCUUUCAAACUUGUUUCGGCUACUUUGUUCCGAUGAAUGCUUCCUUUUUCAACUUUGAUUUGAACUUUGAUUUGGUGAUUUUUGAAAUGGGAGAAUUCGAUUUGAUAGGAAGACAGGGAGUUAUUAUGGCAGUUUUGUGCUGGUUUGAGGUUGUGAUAUGAUGACCCGUCCCUACUUUUCACCGAAAUUUCUUUUUCAUUGAUGUGUUUUGAUGAUUUUACCCUUCUUGGACAAAAGUAGAUUCUGACGUGGACGUGGUUUUCAGCUUUCAGUUUCAUUCUUCUGAUUUCGUAUGUAAUUAGUAAUUGUCACUACGAACGCGUGAGCGUGUGUUAGACUCGAAUCAGAUUUGUAAUGAGAAAGUUACGCUCCAUUAAAGUACGUUAGUUACGGGUAUUUUGUACACACGUGUACAAAUUAUUCAGUGUUUGGAACACUGUAAAGAGGCAGAUUUUAUACAUUGAAAAUUGUACAAAAUCUAAAAAUUCAAUCCCAUUCCUUAAAAAAGGGAUCCGUGUCUCCCUACACCCAACUAAUCAAAUUUCAUCUUUUCCUCAAAUCCCUCUCAUCCAUCCACCACCAAUUAUAACUUUUCCCUCAACCUAGCAUCUAAUCAGAAACACUGUCCCUCAAUGUUAUUCUCCAAUCAGAACACUCAACCUCACACUCUCUCUCCUUGAAAGCUCUAUCUUCUUCUCUGCAACAUACACACAUACUCACAGGCACGCCGAACCACCAUCACCGUGUGGUUCAUUCUCUGGUGGCCUCACCAUCCUCAAGAGCCCUCAUUCUUGAAACCAAACCUGGUAGAGGUCCCUCCUCCUUUCUCCUUCCCUGCACCUUGGAACCACCAUGGUUCCCGAGCUAUUCCGACGAGUUAUCGCCGUACACAGCUUAGGUAAGCCCCAGGAAAUCCUAAAAACCUUCAUUUCAAUCCUAUGAGUUGGUAUUGAUCUCGUGUACAUGUUUUGAAUGAACAUUUUAGCACAGAAAGCUCGAGGAUGAGAGAUUGCUCAGUUUUCCAGCCAAGAAGCCGUGGCCAUUUGGCCACUUUUAGACCAGAUUGUCGAUCAACACCAUCAACGUUUAGACUUCUAGUAGCUAUUGAUCUAUUCCCUACAUUUCUAGCUUCAACUAGGUUUUUGUAUCAUCGAUUCUGGUGGUGAUUCAAGCUAGUUAUUAGCUUUGAAAGUUGGGAUGAAACUUCCCAGAUUUCUGAGAACUAGGAACCGUGGUCAUUUGGCCAUUUUCAGGCCAUUUUUCGAUAACCAUAGACUGUAUCUCGGCUCUGUUUUGAGGUGGUUUUGUUCCUUACAUUCCUACCUUCAAAAUGGCUUUUAAAUCAUAGAUUUUGGUUGAGAAUCGAGCUUGUUAGGAGCUUUGGAAGUUGGACCUUCAACCUGCAAACGCAGGAACUCGUGAAGAAUGCGAUCACAGCUGUACUCGCAGGUGCGUGGACUUACGUGGGUCAUCGACGCGUGCAGUGUCUGGCUGCCAGUGCAGCCACUUGCGUCGGCGCGUCUGGCCUCUGAUUGACCUUCCGUCAAUUUAUAUAGGUUCGUGACGUCAAGUAGAUCGAUUUCAUGUAUUCAAACCCUAUGUUUGAGCAAUUUACGAAGGUUUUAUUUAAGUUUCCUUGUAUGUGUUAUUAAACUAAGUUAAUAAGUAAUUUCACAUAUAGGGGAAACGUAUCCCAAAGACGUACGAGGUCAACCAAGGCUAUGAGGCUCCAUUUUGACUGCGUAUAUGUGAGUGGGCAGUUUAUUUUAUACCUAUACAUAUUGAUUGUUUCCCUAAAUGCGUAAUUACUUCACUUUUACGCUUAUAUUGCCAAAUAUCGUUAUUGUGAUAUUAAUUGUGAUAAAUGCUACUAUAUGGUUGGGAUAUUACUAUCAUGACAUUUAUAUAUAUUUGUACAUGCUCAUCUUGCUGCACCGGUGUUAGUGCUCGCCCCAGGGCCAGGGCCAAUCAUUCACGUGUAUAUUCACAUCGCAUCAUUCGCUUUCCUUGGAUCCAAGUUAGGUGCUAGUCCUGUCGGGUAGAUUGCAUUAGGCAAUCCGACUUGUAUGUGACCGUGCUUUUGUACCAGCCUUCAUGUGAUCAUAGUACUAAAACGUAUUGAUUACACCCAACCUUGUUCGUGUCAGAAAUUAAUCUGUUCGAACUCGUGUGUCAGCUUAGAUAGAUGAGCACUUAGCUAUACUUGUUUAUCACAUGAUUAUAUUACUGCGUCAUUUGAUAUAUCAUGACUUGGCAUAUUUCUGGUUAUAAUGCUAUUGUAUUAUUGUUUACAUACUCACGUAGCAUGUUUUAAAGAAACUAUACUUGUUUUACGGUAAGGGGUUAGUAUAAUUAGAAAUAAAGGUUUUUACAAAAAGUUGUUUUACCGACCCACUCAACUUUGUUUUUCGCCCCUUCAGGUUUAGUAGCUGUGCUUGUGUGUAAACGAGGACUCUGGCAAGAUCUUAGUAGAUGGGUACUUUAGUGGUAUAAUCCUCACCCUAAUUACUGUACUGUUCUUAUGCUUUACCAUAGCGUGUGAAAUGGGUGCAAUCCCGCUCACCCGUGCACUCUUUUGUUUUAGGCACUUUUAGGUUUAAAUUUAUUCACUUUUUCACAUCACUUACCCUUAUGGUUACGUCACCUCACGGUGAUGGCCAACAUGAUUCGACAUUCCCAGGUCGGGGUGUGUCAAGUGAAGAGUCAGGAAAUAUCGAAUCAUUUAGGGGUAUUUACAGAAGUGUAGAUUUGUAGUGGGUUGGGCUUGUAAGUUUGACCCAUGGACAAUAGUUUUGGAUGAUUUUUUAUUAAACUUUGAGCCUUUUUGGUUAAAUAACAUUUUGGGAUGGUUUUUGAUUAAAAAUUUGUUGGUACAAGCUCUUUUGAUUAAAGCUCCAAAUAAAAAAAGGCUUUUUAUUUGCUGAUACUAGAUAGCGGGCGUUACAUUGGCAAUACCGUUGCAAUGUUCAAAUAGGGAAGUAUUUAAACAAAGAGAAGAAAAAGGAGGUGAUCUUAUCCAUUUUCUCAUUUUACAUACUUGUUUAAUAUGGCCGUUGAAUUGAAUAUAAAUAUAUAGGGAAAUUAUAAUGCCCCACUCUUUUUCUAAUUAAACUUUUGUGUCUUUUAAAGAUUUGAUCAAAACACUUGGACUAAUGGCCACCUAAGCAUUUUAAAAUUUUUUAUUUGCAUAUCAUUAGUUUAUUUCUUUUAAAUGAAAAAUAUUAUAUGUUGAUUUCCCAUUUUAUCUUUUUAGUCGAUGGAGGUUUUUUUUAGGUGCCAAAAUUUAUGCCCUUUUUUAAGGGAUAUAUUAACUAUUAAAUGGAUAUUAACUAUUAAAUCAUCAAAAUUAUCUGUCCAUUUUAAGGGAUUAUUAAUGGAUAUUAACUAUUAAAUCAUCAAUAUUAUCUCUUGAAUUUUGAAUUUUGAACAAUUUUUUUAUUUUUUAUUAUUUUUUCUAUUGCAGCUCACUUUCGCUUGUAUAUUAUAUGUACCUCAUGCUGUUUAUCUCCAGUAGAGAUUUGCAGAACUUGAGGUACGUUUCAUGGUUCAACAAGUAUACCUAAUAAUUAGUUAUGCUACUUUAAGGAAUAGUGUAACCAUAAAAAUAUUGGUUCAAGUAGAGCAUUAAGGAUUUUUUGAUGGAGAAGAAUCCAUCAUUGUUUCAUUUUAGUGCUGAAAGAAGAACUCUUACUUUGUAUGUUGUGAUCUUUACGAUUACUAUGUCAUUUGAACACUACAAACAUCUUGAUUUCUUUCCCAAAUAAGGAGUCUCUCAAAACGGAUUCAUGAAGAACAAAGAGGAGGUUCCAUUAAAGAAGAGGAUUGCAUAUAUGGUUAAUGUGUGUUUCUCCGUCUAUCCAUAUGCGUAAUUUGAAUUGUACUCAUGUCAUGUUGAAACGUAAUAAUAUUGGCUUGAGACAUACCAAUGCCAAAUUGAAACGAACCGAUACUGAUAUAAAUGUACAUGUGCCAAUUUGAAACGUACCAAUAUUGGCCUAAAACAUACCAAUGCCAAAUUGAAAUGUACCGCUACAUAAAAAUGUACCCAUGCUAAAUUGACACGUACCAACAUAUCAGCUAGAAAUGUACCAAUGCUAAAUUAAAACAUACCUUUUAACACCUACCACUAGACUCUAUUUUCCAAAUGUACCAUGGUACGGAUACUCAAAUCAAGAGGUGCAUAAAAUGAAAAUACAAAGGAAAUGAAUAUACCUGACAAGGGAGAAUGGAAGAGUGUACAAUGACCUGAGCAAUGGCACGAAAAGAUUGUUGAAUGGUUGUGGAACAAAAUGACAGAAGUAUAUAUCACAUUAGAAGUAGAAAUAGAUCAAAUUUGAAUAGUUCUUAGAUUUUUAAAACAUAGGUCUACUAGAUUCUAGGAGAUUUGGAAUAUUAAUAUAAUAAUUAUUAAUUAAUUGGUACAUUAUAUAUAAUGGAAAAUUGUGUAAUUUUGAAUUAACAAAAUGCUACUUAUAAUACAUGUGGCACCUAAAAUGUAGGAAAAUGUUUUAUAAAAAAUCUAAAAGCUAUAGAUGUUUAAUCUAACAAAUAUCACAAUGAGGCAUCUAAUUCUAAAUGCCCCAAAAAUUAAGUGACAAAAAUAAGGGAAGAUGAUCCUUUAUGGAUCCUCUUUGUGGGGAUUCGGAAGAUCAAUCAAUUGUGUCCGUUCAUCGUAUAUCGUACGAUCAAUUUUUGUUAGGUACUGUCUAUAUUUAAUUUUAAAUAAAAAAUUUAAAAUAAUUUUUAACCAUCUAAUGGACGAUGAAUAGAUCAUUUGAAAUAAGCAGUGUAUACCUUUAUUUAAUUUUAACCAUUGAAUUAAAUAAAUAAAAAAGUCACAUCUUUUGAAAAUUCUUCAUGUAUAUAUAUCAACAAGGAAAUAUAUCCGCAUCUCAGUUUGCCUAUCAUAUAUCAACAAGGAAAUAUAUCCGCGUCUCAGUUUGCCUAUCAUUGAAAGUCGGAGCGGAGUUAUUCGCAGGCCUUAAAAGCCAUUUACAAAUGAAAAACAAAACAUAAUUUUGUCCAAAAUUAUAGUUUUAUAAAAAAUUAUUUUAAAAUCAAGUCAUACUCAUAUAUCAUCUUCAUCAAACCGAAGGGGCUAAAUAUAUCCGUUUAAUAAUUUAUUAGUUUUAAGAUUGUACUUUAAAUUUAUUAGUUAAUUUAAUUCAACUAUUGUUAUAUGUUUUCAAAUAUAGCCAUUGUAUUUGAAUCAAUUAUUGCAACAUUGAUACUUCUUUGGCUAAAUAAUGACUUAGUGGAUUCUAUAGAAUUAUAACCUAGUCAUCGGUUAGUGAUGAGUUUUUCAAUAAAUCAGACCAAUUUUUUACUUUUAAACCUUUAACCCUCUAUUAGAGAUUGCCUAAGUGACCUUUGGCUCCCUCCUUUUUUUUUUCUUUUUUUUUUUGAACCCUUUCCAUAGAUUGAGCCAUUAAUAAUUUUAAGCUUGUGGCCCCAAACCCUUUCCAUAGAUUGAACCUCAAUUAUUUGACGCUGAGUUCAAUCACAUGAACUUGUGACCCAAGUGGGGGCAUUAAGGAUGGUAGAGGUGGGUCGAACCUCAAUUAUUUGACUCCCAACUACUUUAAUAAUUUUAAGCUUGUGGUCCUAAACAUUGAGGAUAUGUACCUCCACGGACUCCUCUCCAUGGUGCAUGAACAGGGGUUUACUGUUGAAAAUUAAAAUAGGGCAGAUACAACACCAAAUCAGAUUACUUUCGAAAAUAUACACAGAAAAAUAAAAUAAAAUAAAAUACUGAUUAGCAAAGAGUAGUCUCUAAAUUGUUUUCGAAAUUGAGCAUGGACAAUGUUUAUCCAUUAAUCAGAGGACUUAGGGGUGGUUUGGGAGUGAGGUGCUUAAACAAAAGCACCCAUAAAAAAAAGCUGUGAGGGUUUUAUGUCACAGCCCGUCCCGGAAUUUUAAUUCCGAGGACGUGAAAAGACGAAAAUGCCCUUAAACGGGAGUAAGGGGCGAAAAUUUAACAAUUGGGAUUGAGUUGGACACGUGGGAUCCCCACAUCCCUCAAAACCUUCCCCAAUUCCCGUACCUUGUCACUCUCUCUCUCCUCCCUCACGAAACUCUCAGUUUUCUCUCCCUCUCCUUCGAACUCACACGGACAAGCUCCAAAACCACCCUAAACUUCUACCAACGACAGAGUUAAGACCACCAUCAAACUCCUGGAACCUCCACGAUGGUAUCCAUUUCAGGUAAGUUUUGCUUCGGAAAACCCUAGUUUCAAAGUUCCCGUGAAAUGGUACUGUUCAUGAUCUUCUAAAUGACUACGUUUUAGGCUAAAACAAGAUCACAGCGAGCUUAGUGAGGUCCCAAGGAAGCUCGGAGUGCUUCGUUGGAAGUUUUUGGACGUAAGAACACGGAGAUCGACAAGUUCAAAGUUUGGCCGGAGCUUUCGAGGCUUUUUCCGGCGAAUCCCCGGCGAGUUAGGAGUCAAGGUAGGUAUCAAUCUCUUCGUCUCGUCAAGUACUACAACUUUCCUUUUUGUUUCACUCAAUUUCGUUGAGUAUUGAAGAAGUUAUACUCAUUUGAAAAAUACCCAGUUUCCGACGACCUCCGAGGCUUUCGAGGCAGUUUCCGGCCAAACCACGGCGAACUAGGUGUUGUACAAGGUACCAUUAUCUUUGUCUCUUCAAGGGCUACAACUUUCAUUUUUGAAUCACUUGAUUUCGUUGAGAAAUGACAAAGUUAUGGCAAUUUGAAAAACGGCCGCCGGAAAAACCAGUCCGGCGACCCAAGGAAGAAGAAGGUGCGCGUGGGGGCGCGUGCUACAGUAACAAAAUAUUUUAAAAAUAUGUCGACGUCCGUGACGGAGUAGAUCUCUGUGGUAUAUUCAUAUACCCAAUUUGAGCACCGUAUGAGAAAGUUAUUAAGGAUUGUUGGUUAGGUGUUCGAAUAACGUUUUAUAGUUUUGGUGAAAAUGUGAAUUGAUGAUCCGACCGUUGGAUCGUCACCAAAAUUUGAUACGUUGUAAUACGUAAUAUUUGAGGAUUAUAGGAACUUACAGAUUGGGAAUCCGAUUUGCGGAUCUUCCGAAAUUGGAGUUGUAAGUCCAUAAUAUAGAAUGUUAACUGUCACUUAGUUUUGGAAAUUGACGGAGAUCCAACCGUUGGAUGGUAAUGAAAUUUUAGGAUGUUAUCCUAGAGAUAUAUUGUGGACCUCUGGAAGUUAUGGAUUUAAAAUCUGAGUGGCAGAUCUUCCGGAUCGAACUACGUAGUGACGUAUUUUAUAUAAGUUAUAUAUUCUAUCGAUAUGAAUUCUGAGGUUGGAUUUGAUUACUAUUCUAGGCGGCGAUCGUCGUGACGCCUUGAUGUGUGGUGCUAGGGAGUUGUUGGACGAACUCCAGGUGAGUGGGCAGUUUUGUUUUCCGUAUACAUAUAUACUUGCCGUUUUCCCAGAAAUUGAAAAUGCAUGAAAUUAUGCUUUUAAUGAAAAUGUAUAAAAGUAUAUGAGAUAUAUUAGUUGAAAUGCCAUGCAUGAAAGUAUAUGAAAAGUAGAUAGAAAUGUGAAUCGAAUUGCCAUGCAUGAAAUGAUAUGGAAAGUAUGAAUUGAUAUAUGAUGCAUAUGUAUGAAUUGGUGCGGCGGACGCACAGGUGAGUAUCAGGUGAGUAUUUAAAUAUUGUUAUGAUGAUGUUGAUAUAUAUUGAGCUAAAUCCUGCACCAUGGUUUAGUGCUUAUAGUAUUCACCGCAUCGCACGCUCGCCUUGGAUCCAAGUAGAUGCUGGUCGCACAGUCCACGCGGAGUGGGUGCGACGGGCCAGUCGAAGAGUGUUAGUGAGAUUUCGACUGGUGGGUGACCUUAGAUUAUGUGCACAGAUGAUUGAUGAGAAAGCACUAGAGCGUAACUUGUGUGCAGAAGGCCGGACGGGUCACAGAGGUGACUCCGGUAGAGUGAUAGUGAUAGAUUUUGAGCUCUAGGUUCAACCGUACAGGGCUAUUAGAGGGCCUCCGGUUGAUUACUUUCUUGCACCUGAUAUGAUUAUUGUUGAUGCAUCCAUACUUAACUGUUGAAUUAGACAUGGCAUGGCAUGAUUGAUAAAGAAAAAAUGUUGAGUUAAUGAAUCGAAGUAUUGAGAAUAUAUAUGUAUAUUUAUAUUUUACAUUUCUGGGAAAGUAUACAGGUUUUACGGAGAGAGGUUACAACGUUUUGAGAAAUGUUUGGAUUUGGAAAGAAUUGUUUUACUGACCCACUCAAUUUUGGUUUUGCGCCCCUCCAGGUUAAAGAAUAGCUGAGGUGUGGUGGCUACGAGGAAUUCAACGGGGUUCUGACAGAAUGGAUCAAAUUAGGACUCACCUUCGGGUGUAUCAACUUAUAAAUUGUAUAAUUAAAGCUUCCGUACUGUGCAAAUGGUUACGUCACUCUCACGUGACGGCCAGCAUGCCCUCCUUCGGGACGGGGUGUGUCAGUUGGUAUCAGAGCAUGGUUGCAAUCUUGGACAUCUUGAGAAGUUCUAGUGAAUUCUGUCAGAACUACACCGCCUCGUAGCAAGCCACUUAGUUAGAGGAAUUUAGUCUCCCUAAUAUAGCGGUUUAGGGAAAACUAUUAUUAUGGUGAUUCAGUCUAUUAUAAAAAGGGACAUUUUAAGACGGGUUAUGAGUUGAAUUUGAAUCACCUUAUGAAAUGAUGAACCUGAGGGAGCGAAGUAACGGUUUAACCAUUUGGAAAAGAUGUUUCAGAUUAUGCAAGUCAAAGGAAUCUUCCUUCUGACAGGGGGUCGAGACGAUUACCUGGUUUUGGGUAUGAAUUUGUAUCCUGGUGGAAACAGGAGUAUGAUUUGUUGUCACCGGAGGAACAGCCGAUUUAAAAUUGUUUAAGGACUUGUUUAAGGAAAAGUUUAUCCCUCCGGCAUUUAUCGAUGAUAGUAAGCAAGAGUUUGCAAAUGUGAAUCAAGGAAGUUGACGAUAAAUGGAUAUUAUAGAAAGUUUUCAGACUUGCCUCGUUCCAUCCAGAUAUUGUUGUUAAUUUGGUAGAGGUGUUAUGUUGUUUUAAGCUGGGUGGCAAAAGGGAAGUGGUAUUUUGGGUGACCAUUAUCCAUUGUAGUUCUUAUCAGGAGUAUGCGAGAUGCUGUUGAGCCUUGAGGACUCUAAGAACAUGAGCAACGAGAAUAAAGAAGAAUAAGAAAUGAAUGGGAAUCAAAAGAAGACGAUAAAGUUUAUGAUUCGUCAUAUCAAGGAUAUAGAAAGAUUCAGAGCUUCGAAAGAAGUGAAGCUAGAGUUAAUUCUUCCAGCUGAGGUUUUAAUGUCGCUGGUCAGAAUAAAAGUGAUGGAUAUACUGGUAAUCCCAGAUAUUUGAGACAAGGUGUCUCGAGUAAAGGAAAUGUACCUUGUGCAGCAGGUACAAAAAAUUAACACUUUGGGAAGUGUGAAAUUAAUGAAUGUGUUUAUGUGAACAGAGGGGACACAGAAUUGUGAAUCGUCCCUAGAAUCAGUUGUACUCAACAAUUUUCCAUGAUAUCAUAGUGUCGAUUCAGCAGAGUUAUGGACUUAGUAGUUUGGUCGGAUUGACCGUGAGUACAGAGAGAUUUGAUGAGUUAUAUGUUCAGCCGUACAGACCAUGAGAAGUGGAUUCGAUUGACACAUGAGAAAUUUGUGAGUUAUAGGCUCAGCCGUACCGACCACGCGGAGUGGAUCCGGCCGACGUAUUAUUGAGAUAAGAGUUGAAUCAACCGUAUUGGUCAUUCUAGUUGACUUCGGCUGAUAUAUUUCUUAUUAUGUAUGAUAUUACCUAGAGAGUGGUAAAUAAAUGUAGUUGAGACGAGUGUAUGUAUUUUGCAUUGAGUGACAAAAUAGUAAUGUUAUAUCUUUUUUAGUGGUUGCCUACUUAUCGAGACAACGAUGAUUUAUCAGUAUUGCGGGCUGCAGACCGUAAUAUUAAUAACUCAUUCGUGGAUUCGUUAAGCAAGCAAACCGGUAGGUUAUUUUAUGUUAGUGUUGUACUUAUUUAGAAUGUUCAGUAUUAAUAAAGUAUGUAUUGUGUCGGUUAAAUUAUUUCCAUUAGAUUGGUUGGUUAUAAUUGUGACUAAAUGGACUGUUAUGGGAAACCAGUCACUUUCCAUCGAUCUGGAUGACCAGAGAUUACUUUUGUAAGUAUGCAAAGUGGAUUGAGUCAGGCCGUUAUUUAUGCUGUGAGAGCAAAGAGAUUGUUUUCGAAAGGCUGUCAAAAAAAUACUUAGCUCAUGUGGUGCUAAAUGAUGUUGUUUGGAGUAGUGUGAAUAAUGUCGAAAGAGUUAGACUUUUCUUGAUGUCUUCCCUGAAAGUAUACCUGGAUUGUCUUCAAGCAGAGAUAUGAGGUUCAUUAUUGAUUUGUUGCCAGGUAUAAAUUUAUAUUGGAGAUCAGUUCAUGAUGAGUUAAGAAAAUUGGAAAUUUAGUUGAAAGAAUUGGUUGACAAAAGUUUCAUUCAACCUAGUACAACACUUUUGAGGAGCCCCAGUUUGUUGGUGAGGAAGAAAAUGGAUCUUGAGACUGUUCAUUGAUUAUAGACAAUGGAGUCGGGUAACGAUUGAGAACCGUUAUCCAUGGUGAUGUAUUGAUGUUUAUUUAACCAGCUCAGAAGUAAUGGCGAAGAUUCAAAGAUUGAAUUGAGAUCUGGUUACUACCAAUUGAAUAUUAUAAGUGACGUUGAUCAUAAGAUGGUUUUCUGGACUCGUUAUAGUCUUUAUGAAGUUUGGUGAUGCUAUAUGGAUACUCAUGCUGUUUUAUGAGUUGAUGGAUGAAGUAUUCCAAUAAUGCCUUGAUAAAUUGAUAUCAUUUUCAUUGAAGAUAUUCUGGCAUAUUCUGAGCCAGAGCAGAGCAUGUAAACGUAUUAAGUCGGUGAAACAAAGAUUGGAAGAAUGUCGAUUGUAUGCUAAGUUUAGCAAAUGCUAAAGUUAGAUGAAUCAGGUGGCAUUCUGAGAUUUGUUAUAUAUUCUUAAGGUAUUCAAGUGAAUCCUUAAAAGAUAGCAGAAAUUGAGGAAUUGGAACAACCACGAACUGUAAUUGAGAUUCAGAAUUUCUUAGCUUACCAGGCUAUCUUGGAUGGUUGUGAAAGAUUUUUCAGUCAUUGCUUUGUCAUUGACGAGACUGUUGAGAAAAGAGGUUAUGUAUGAGUGGGAAGGAAAUUGUGAGCAAAUGAUUCAACAACUGAAGUAUUUCCUCACUCAUGCACGUAUUUUAGUAAUCCCAGAGAAUAGUGGUAAUCAUAAAUUUUUAGUGCUGUUUCUUGAAUGGUAUUGGAUGCAUGUUGAUGCAAAUGUUAGGGUGAUUGCAUACGUUUCACGACAAAUGGAAUCUCAUGAGAUGAAUUACCCUACUGGUGAUUUGGAAGUCACGAUUACCAUCCUUGCUGUGAAGUUAUGGAGACAUUAUAUUUUAGUGAGAAUGCAAGAUUUUUUUUACGAAUCCAAAAAGUCUUCAAUAUCCAUUACUUGGAAGGAUUUUGAUAUGAGGCAGCGAAAGUGAAUUGUAUUGCUUAAUGAACAUGAUUGAACGAUCAGAGUGAUCAUAAAGUUUGUUCUAGCUGAAGCAUUUGGUGAGAAGACUACAGUAAGAUUAAUGUCUGGCACGUUUGCCAAGAGUAUCAUCUUGUGGAUUGAAACCAACGGAAGAAAAAUUAAGAAUGGAAGAUCGAGAAGAAGUUAUACUUGUUAAAUUUCAAGUUAGGCCUUUUGGUAAGGUCGUACUCGAGACUCAAAUGGUAUGUGAAUACAAGCAAACGAAAAGUAUGUGCCUAAUGCUGUGGGUUUAAAGCAAACAAUUUUGGACGAAGUACACUGUUCAGCUUCUGCAAUAUUCCGAAGGUAAUAAGGUUUAUCAUACCAUUCGACAUUUUUAUUGGUCAGCAGAUUGAGGCAGAAAGAAAUAAACCUUUGGAUUGAGACAGCUAUUUUCUGUUUCGAAACGGAAAUGGAAAGAGAAUUGGAUUACGGAACUGCUGAGUUUCUUAAGUAUGUUGGGUGUGCAGUUUCCGAAAUAACGCCAUAGGGUCCCUGAAGCGUGUCGUGUGAAUGAAAUGCUUCUGAAUAGAGAAAGAUUCGAUCAAGAAAGAGUUUUAGUAGACCCUGAGACUAUGGAUGAGUCUCCUCAAAGUAUUCAGGUGAUUAAGUUUAACCUGAAGGUAGCCAGGAAUGGCAAAAGAGACUAACAGAUGGAUAUGCCAUUAAUCGAGUGUGUAAGGUAAAUGGUUUGAUAUUUUUGGAAAUUUCACCAUGAACAUAAAUAGUAAGAUUCAGAAAGGGAGACAAGAUAAGUCUUGAACACAUCAGUCCGUUUUGAUCAUUAAAGGAAUCGACGAAGUUGCAUACAAGUUUGUGAUGCCUUCAGAAUUGGCUAAGGCACAUAAUGUAUUUUGUGUUCGAUGCGUUGUCACUAAGUGGCAGAGUCGUUACAUGGGACUUUGGUGCAACUAUUGAGAAUUAAGCCGGAUCUGAUUGGUGAGGAACCAAUGACGACUUUGGAUUGGAAAAAGAAGGUCCUGAGAAUUAAGACAGAGUAAGUAGUAAAAGCUUUGUGAAGGAAUCAUUCAGUAGAAAAUUAUGUGGGAGAAAGAGAAUCGGAUGAGACAGAUUUACCCGUAGCUAUUGUUGGAGUAUGGUUGAUUUAGUUGGUUGCUGGAAUUUCGGGGACGAAAUUCUAUAAGGAGGGAAGAUUGUCACAGCCCGUCCCGGAAUUUUAAUUCUGAGAACGUGAAAAGACGAAAAUGCCCUUAAACGGGAGUAAGGGGCGAAAAUUUAACAAUUGGGAUUGAGUUGGACACGUGGGAUCCCCACAUCCCUCAAAACCUUCCCCAAUUCCCGUACCUUGUCACUCUUUCUCUCCUCCCUCACGAAACUCUCAGUUUUCUCUCCCUCUCCUUCGAACUCACACGGACAAGCUCCAAAACCACCCUAAACUUCUACCAACGACAGAGUUAAGACCACCAUCAAACUCCUGGAACCUCCACGAUCACGAUGGUAUCCAUUUCAGGUAAGUUUUGCUUCGGAAAACCCUAGUUUCAAAGUUCCCGUGAAAUGGUACCGUUCAUGAUCUUCUAAAUGACUACGUUUUAGGCUAAAACAAGAUCACAGCGAGCUUAGUGAGGUCCCAAGGAAGCUCGGAGUGCUUCGUUGGAAGUUUUUGGACGUAAGAACACGGAGAUCGACAAGUUCAAAGUUUGGCCGGAGCUUUCGAGGCUUUUUCCGGCGAAUCCCCGGCGAGUUAGGAGUCGAGGUAGGUAUCAAUUUCUUCGUCUCGUCAAGUACUACAACUUUCCUUUUUGUUUCACUCAAUUUCGUUGAGUAUUGAAGAAGUUAUACUCAUUUGAAAAAUACCCAGUUUCCGGCGACCUCCGAGGCUUUCGAGGCAGUUUCCGGCCAAACCACGGCGAACUAGGUGUUGUGCAAGGUACCAUUUGAAGAAGUUAUACUUUUCAAGGGCUACAACUUUCGUUUUUGAAUCACUUGAUUUCGUUGAGAAAUGACAAAGUUAUGGCAAUUUGAAAAACGGCCGCCGGAAAAACCAGUCCGGCGACCCAAGGAAGAAGAAGGUGCGCGUGGGGGCGCGUAGGUCCGUGCCUUCCUUGGCGCAUGGGGGCGCGUGCUACAGUAAAAAAAUAUUUUAAAAAUAUGUCGACGUCCGUGACGUCGAGUAGACCUCUGUGGUAUAUUCAUAUACCCAAUUUGAGCACCGUAUGAGAAAGUUAUUAAGGAUUGUUGGUUAGGUGUUCGAAUAACGUUUUAUAGUUUUGGUGAAAAUGUGAAUUGAUGAUCCGACCGUUGGAUCGUCACCAAAAUUUGAUACGUUGUAAUACGUAAUAUUUGAGGAUUAUAGGAACUUACAGAUUGGGAAUCCGAUUUGCGGAUCUUCCGAAAUUGGAGUUGUAAGUCCAUAAUAUAGAAUGUUAACUGUCACUUAGUUUUGGAAAUUGACGGAGAUCCAACCGUUGGAUGGUAAUGAAAUUUUAGGAUGUUAUCCUAGAGAUAUAUUGUGGACCUCUGGAAGUUAUGGAUUUAAAAUCUGAGUGGCAGAUCUUCCGGAUCGAACUACGUAGUGACGUAUUUUAUAUAAGUUAUAUAUUCUAUCGAUAUGAAUUCUGAGGUUGGAUUUGAUUACUAUUCUAGGCGGCGAUCGUCGUGACGCCUUGAUGUGUGGUGCUAGGGAGUUGUUGGACGAACUCCAGGUGAGUGGGCAGUUUUGUUUUCCGUAUACAUAUAUACUUGCCGUUUUCCCAGAAAUUGAAAAUGCAUGAAAUUAUGCUUUUAAUGAAAAUGUAUAAAAGUAUAUGAGAUAUAUUAGUUGAAAUGCCAUGCAUGAAAGUAUAUGAAAAGUAGAUAGAAAUGUGAAUCGAAUUGCCAUGCAUGAAAUGAUAUGGAAAGUAUGAAUUGAUAUAUGAUGCAUAUGUAUGAAUUGGUGCGGCGGACGCACAGGUGAGUAUCAGGUGAGUAUUUAAAUAUUGUUAUGAUGAUGUUGAUAUAUAUUGAGCUCAAAUCCUGCACCAUGGUUAGUGCUUAUAGUAUUCACCGCAUCGCACGCUCGCCUUGGAUCCAAGUAGAUGCUGGUCGCACAGUCCACGCGGAGUGGGUGCGACGGGCCAGUCGAAGAGUGUUAGUGAGAUUUCGACUGGUGGGUGACCUUAGAUUAUGUGCACAGAUGAUUGAUGAGAAAGCACUAGAGCGUAACUUGUGUGCAGAAGGCCGGACGGGUCACAGAGGUGACUCCGGUAGAGUGAUAGUGAUAGAUUUUGAGCUCUAGGUUCAACCGUACAGGGCUAUUAGAGGGCCUCCGGUUGAUUACUUUCUUGCACCUGAUAUGAUUAUUGUUGAUGCAUCCAUACUUAACUGUUGAAUUAGACAUGGCAUGGCAUGAUUGAUAAAGAAAAAAUGUUAAGUUAAUGAAUCGAAGUAUUGAGAAUAUAUAUGUAUAUUUAUAUUUUACAUUUCUGGGAAAGUAUACAGGUUUUACGGAGAGGGGUUACAACGUUUUGAGAAAUGUUUGGAUUUGGAAAAGAAUUGUUUUACUGACCCACUCAAUUUUGGUUUUGCGCCCCUCCAGGUUAAAGAAUAGCUGAGGUGUGGUGGCUACGAGGAAUUCAACGGGGUUCUGACAGAAUGGAUCAAAUUAGGACUCACCUUCGGGUGUAUCAAUUUAUAAAUUGUAUAAUUAAAGCUUCCGUACUGUGCAAAUGGUUACGUCACUCUCACGUGACGGCCAGCAUGCCCUCCUUCGGGACGGGGUGUGUCAUUUUAGGUGUUUGGUGAACUAAAAAAAAAAAGCUUAUUUUGGAAGCUGUUGUGAGAAUAAGCUGAAAUCAAAGGAAAAGCUGAAAUUGCUAUUUGCAGCUUUGGAAAACUGGCUUUUUUUUAAAGCACACGGAGCUACAAUGCUCCUUUAAUGAAAAGACUCACUAUCAGACUGUUUUUUUUUCAAAAGCACUUUUACAAAAAAAUUUACCAAACACUCUGUUGAUUUAUUUUACAGCCGUUUAUUCUCACAGCAGUUUUUUUUCAAAGCAUAACAAUACCAAACUAGCCCUUAAUUUUUUAAUUCAAUGGAAUAUUGGGAUUGAAUUAUUUACAAAUAAUUAACAUUAUAUAUUGUUUAGAGAAUGGUUAUUUAGCAAUUAAGCAUGAUUUUAUUUGAUUUUGCAUGAUGCGGGCUUUGAGUUUUAGCAACGUGUUUCACGGGCUUUGAGCUUUAAAGAAAACCUCAGUUAGUUCACUAUCUUGAGGACUCUCCCAGACUCAGACUGAAUCUUCUCUCCUCAAUCCUCCCUCUCGUAUCUCGAUCUCUCUCUUCCAGAGUCCAGGCUGACUCUCAUCCCUUUCGAUUCUUGGUUUUUCUGUCGAACUCGAAGGGACGAACGACAAAGUCAAUCUCUCUCUCUGUUGAACUUGAGGGGACGAACGAUGAAGUCGAACAACUUGAAACGAUGAAUCAGUCAUGUCCUCCAUCUGACUCAGACUCAUAUUUGCAGGGAAUCCGAGCUCUGUUGACGGUCAUUUUCAGUUUCGAGGUAUUAUGUUUUAGGGAUUUUGUUGGUUUCUUGAAUCUUGACCUCUGUUCUGUUUCAAUUUCAGAUCUUUUGUUGAAUUGAAUUUGAAUCUUCUGUUGGGUAUUAUUGAGAUUAUAUUUGGUUGAUUAGUGGAAUGUGUUGGUAUAUGGUCCAGCCCAUGAUGAAUGUUCUAGAUUAUUCUAGUAAGCAAGUGAGGUGGCUGGAGCAUGCUAGACAAUUCUAGCAUGUUAUUAAGUUGAUGGAAGAAGUUAGAGAGUACUAGCUUCCUUAGUUGCAAAUGGAAAGAUCUAGAAGCUACAAUUUUGUUGCUAGUCUAUAAUUAUCUAUGCUAGAGGAUUGAAGAAUACAAUAGAAACUAGUAGAAUGCCAAACCCUCACCUAUAAAUAUGGGUGUGAUGUUGUAGUGAAGUAACCAAUUAAGAACCAAGUGUGAGUAGCAAAGGAUCAAGUCCAAAGCUAGAGUUCCACUCCAAGAGUGAGAGUAAAAGUGUUCCACUACACAUUGUGAGUGAAGUUUAGAGUGAUAGAAAGUGUGUGUCAUACUUUCUUGUAUCCAUCAAGCCUUGUCUUUGGCUUGGUAAGACUACUCUUGUUGUACUCAUAUUUUUCAUAUAGUGAAGAUUGAUCAUUUGUUUAGUGGACGUAGGCAUAAAUUGCCGAACCACAUAAAUUCUUGGUGUCCAUUUUCUACUUUACCUUGUGUUGAUGCACAAAACCGGAGGUCUUGGAACAACGUAAAUCCGACCGUGAAUUCUGCACAAACGCUCAAGAACACGAAGAACACAAAGAACACAAGGAUUUUAUCGUGGUUCACCCCAAUGUUUGGGCUACGUCCACACUGUAGUUGAUUCUGUUUCUCUGUAAUUGUAUGGAUACAAGUGUUUGGGGGAAGUCCCCCGGAGGAGAAAGAAGAGAAGGGAGAGGAGAGCCUCGGUAGUGUGAGGUCUCUCCUGAAUGUAAUGAUAGCUUCUCUUAGCCUUCUUAGGCUUGGCUCUUUUGCCUCCCUUAGAAUGAGGGGAGGAGUCCCCUUUUAUAGAAUAAGGGGCUCCUCCUCUUUUACAAAGUAUGGGCUUUAGUGUGAGGCCCAAAUACAAGGCCCAAGGCCCAAAUAUACGAGGCCCAAUAUAUGGUACCAACAGGAGUCCCCCAAGUCUUCAGUCAAGAGAGUCUUUUGGCUGGAGACUUCAAAUUCAGUCCAUGUGUGGGCCGAAGUGACUAGAUGUUGUCCAGAACCAGUGCUCAACAUGAAGCAACGCUUAACAUAAAGUAAUACUCAGCUAGAGGUAGCACACGUUACGAGGUUGCCCGGCCGGAGGUGAUGCCCGUUGCGAGGCUGCUUGGUUAGAGGCUUACGCUCGCGGUGAGAACUUGCUUGGUUAGAGGCUUAUGCUCGCAGCGAGAGGUUGCUCGGCUGGAGUCGAUGCUCAUUGCAAGGUUGCUUGGCUAGAGGCUUAUGCUCGCGGCGAAAGGUUGCUCGGCCGGAGUUGAUGCCCAUUGCCAGGUUGCUCAGUAAGAGGCUACGCUCGCAGCAAGGCGGCUCGACUCGUGGCAUUCCUGGUUGCAAGUACGUACUUUAUGUCAAUGUGCACUCAGUAUGAGUUGAUUCUCGACCUGACUAGGGUCUGUAAGUUGGGUCUGAUUUUGUAAGUGCCCAAAAUGAAUGGUGUCUGAGCCCAUGGGUGUCCAAGCAAAUGGAUGUCCUGGUUGGGUAAGAGAUCAAUGUUGAUCAGUAGAGCUGGUUGCUCGAUAAUUCCUGACAAUAAAUGACAGCAUAAGUCUGAUUGUAUAAAUCAAUAACGUGGUAUUAAUCAUGUAAUAUAAAAAAUAAUAAUCAUAUUAUUUAAUCAUGAGUCAUCAUGAUAUAGAAAUAAUAUAAUCAUUAUUUUAUAAUAAUUAUAAUCAUCAUGACGUAAAAAUAAUAAAAUAUUUAAAGGAAAAGAAUAUUAUCCCUGUGUUUUCGGUGGAGGCAUGGUGGAGACAUAGUGAUGAUAGCGGGACUAUCCCACUAAAUUUCUGUUCCCCACUUUCUUUUUUAUUCUUUUCUUUUUCUUUUUUUUUUCUUUUCUUUUCUUUUUCUUUUUCUUUCUUUUUCUUUUUUCUUUUUUUUUUCUUUUUCUUCUUUCUUUUCCUGGUGCUAUGGCCGACACCAGUGGGAUUUUUCCCACCAAACCUGUUCCACUUUCUCUUUUUACAGGUUUAGUGGAUGAUUGCUGCCUUCUAGUGGAUGACUCCAAUUGAGUUGAUUCUUUCUGUUUCCCACUCUCUCUGAGAAAAAAAAUCACAGUGCCUCUCUCUCUGACCGUCCCCCUACGGCCCUCCGGUUCGCCGCGCGAGUCACUCUUUAACUCGCUGACCCAGUCACUGAGCUCAGCUUCAUCCUCAAUCAGACUCUUCGAAGCUCCACCAACUCUUCGUAGGCACGUGGCAACUCGGACCCCGACCUAGUCCUGGAGCCCCGGAACGCCUCGUCGACGUCCUUGCUGUUGAGCAGGUUGAUCGCCAGCUUCAGUCCAUGCGCCACCAGCGACGAGAACAGGAAGAAGCUGAAGGAAACGGCCUCCCCUCCGCAGCCAUCUCCGCCAUUUCGGCCACCGCCUCCGCUGAUACUAUCUUCAUUCUAGAACAGUCCUGAUCCUCUGUACUCAGCCUCGUCGAGUACGUCACCCCGCCUCCUAUCUGAGAGCUCAACCUAGCGCGCGGUCGGAGCUGGCAGUGGACCUAAUGGUGCGGCGAACCUUGCCGUGCGCGUAGCGGCACUCGCUUCCGUGGCCACAGGUUUUGGCCUCACGCCUGAAAAAGGAGCAGAGGCUGGUCUUCCAUACUUCAUGCAGUUUUGGUGCUCAUGGAUUGCCCAACAUGUUGUGUUUGUGUAGUAGGGAGCCUCUGGAUUUGGAACCCAUCAGAACAGAAGAAUUGGAAAGCUGAUUUCCCUGAAAAGAGCCCAGAAAACCCAGUGUCGCAGCCCAGGUCGAAGCUGCUGUGGCGGCUGUGGAGGGUCGAGAGAGAAGAGGGUGGAGGUGGCGAGUUGGGCCUGGAGCUCCGGGAGCUUGGCCUGGUAUUAAGGCCCAUUUUGGAGCAACGGUACACAAUCUGCCCCUUUUUGUUCAGUCAGAUUUUGAAGUUUUGGAUGAGUGGGUUAGUGAUCUGAGCAUAUCUACGGCAAAGAUCUGAUGAAUUCCGAGGAUGAGAGAAAGGUAGAGUGUUUGUGGGUUUUUUUUCUGCGAGUGGUGCAGAUUCACGGUGGUGAAAAUGAAAAAUUGAGGAAGAGAACCGACAUAGCUUUUUGUGUCGUUUCCCACAGACGGCGCCAAAUGUUGAUGCACAAAACCGGAGGUCUUGGAACAACGUAAAUCCGACCUUGAAUUCUGCACAAACGCUCAAGAACACGAAGAACACAAGGAUUUUAUCGUGGUUCACCCCAAUGUUUGGGCUACGUCCACACUGUAGUUGAUUCUGUUUCUCUGUAAUUGUAUGGAUACAAGUGUUUGGGGGAAGUCCCCCGGAGGAGAAAGAAGAGAAGGGAGAGGAGAGCCUCGGUGGUGUGAGGUCUCUCCUGAAUGUAAUGAUAGCUUCUCUUAGCCUUCUUAGGCUUGGCUCUUUUGCCUCCCUUAGAAUGAGGGGAGGAGUCCCCUUUUAUAGAAUAAGGGGCUCCUCCUCUUUUACAAAGUAUGGGCUUUAGUGUGAGGCCUAAAUACAAGGCCCAAGGCCCAAAUAUACGAGGCCCAAUAUAUGGUACCAACACCUUGAGUAUUCUCUAUCUUGUAGUACCGAGAUUCCUAACAAGUGGUAUCAGAGCCCGGUUGGCUCGUACUACGAGAUGGAAGGAAGUGGCAUUAUAAUCAAACUCACCAACUCCAAUUGGGUAACAUGGAAGCCAAGGAUGGAGGACAUUCUCUAUUGCAAGGAUCUGCAUGAGCCAAUUGAAGGAGAUGCCGCUAAGCCCGAGAGCAUGUCCGAUGCCGAGUGGAAGAAGAUGAAUCACAAGGCUAUUGGCACAAUUAGACAAUGGGUGGACGAUAGUGUUUUUCACCAUGUAUCUAAUGAAACCAAUGCCCGCGAGUUUUGGACAAAGCUUGAGUCCUUGUUCGAGAAGAAGACCCCAGCCAAGAAAGCAUUCUUGAUCAAAGAGCUCAUCAAUGUGAAGUACAAGGAUGGUUUAAGUGUAGCAGAACACUUGAACAAAUUCCAAAAUGUCAUCAACCAGUUGGCUACUAUGAAAAUGACGAUUGAAGACGAGCUACAAGCGCUCUUGUUACUUGGAUCCUUGCCAGACAGUUGGGAGACCUUUGUGGUAAGUAUAAGUAACUCUGCUUCUAAUGGUGUUCUUACUCUUGAUAAUUUUAAAAAUAGCUUGCUCAAUGAAGAAACAAGGAGAAAGACUUUAGGCACAUAUAGCAGCUAAAUAUUUGUCACAGAGAACCGCGGAAGAAGCAAGAGUAGAGGGCCUAGAGGCCAUGGCAGGAGUACUAGCCGAUCCAAGUCAAGGUUCAGGGGUGCAUGCCACCAUUGUGGCAAAGAAUGCCAUAUGAAGAAAAAUUGUCGAGUUUGGAAGAGAGAGCAAAGGAAAGGAAACAAUCAGAAGAAAGAUGAUACUGGUAAUACCAUCGCUGUCAUAUGUGGUGAUGUACCAGAAAUAUUAUCUGUUGGUGAAUGUCUGCAUACGGGCAACUCUGAUAGAGACACUGAAUGGAUCUUUGACAAUGGAGCUUCCUUCCAUGCUACGUCCAAACGGGAGUUCUUUAGUACAUACAAAGAAUGUGACUUUGGCAUAGUGAGGAUGGGGAAUGAAAGUUAUUCCAAAAUACUUGGAAUUGGUGAUAUUUGCCUAAGAACUAAUCUCGGUUGCCAGUUGAUGUUGAAAUAUGUGAGACAUAUUCCUGAUAUACGUCUCAAUCUGAUAUCCAUCGGUACCCUUGAUCGACAAGGUUAUUAUCAUCAUAUUGGCGAAGGAAAAUUGAAGCUUACUAAAGGUUUAAUGGUGGUAGCAAGAGCACGACUUUGUUGUACAUUGUACCGGUCAAAUGCCAAAGUUUUAAAAGGUGAGUUGAAUGCUGUGGAGGACUUAUUUCUAGACUUGUGGUAUAAGAGGCUAGGCCACAUGAGUGAGAAAGGCCUACAAGUUUUGGCAAAGAAGUCUCACAUUCCAUUUACCAAAGGUACGUCAUUAAACUCUUGUGAGCAUUAUUUAUUCGGAAAGCAAAUAAGAAUUAUCUAAGUCCUUUGACAUGAAGGACUUAGGGCCAGCCAAGCAGAUUUUGGGCAUGGAGAUAAUUCGUGACAGAAAAUCCAAGAAGUUGUGGCUGUCACAAGAAAAGUAUGUUGAACGGGUGCUUGAAAGGUUCAACAUGAAAGCAGCCAAAUCGAUAAGCUCACCUUUAGCCAAUCAUAUCAAGUUGAGCAAAGAGUCGUGUCCAAAAACAUAUGAAGAAAAGGAGAAAAUGGCAGUUGUUCCCUAUUCUUCAGUAGUAGGAAGUAUCAUGUAUGCAAUGGUGUGCACACGACCAGAUAUUGCUCAUGCAGUAAGUGUGGUGAGCAGGUUUCUCUCUAAUCCAGGGAAGGACCACUAGGAAGCUGUUAAAUGGAUUCUUAGAUAUUUGAAGGGGACUUCUAAGAUGUGCUUGUGCUUUGGCGGUUCCAAACCAAUCUUGGAAGGAUUUACAGAUGCUGACAUGGGAGGUGACCUGGAUGGUAGAAAAUCUACGUCUAGGUACUUGUUUACUUUUGUAGGGGGAGCCGUGUCUUGGCAAUCCAAGUUACAAAAGUGUGUUGCUUUGUCCACAACCGAGGCUGAAUACAUAGCCGCUACAAAAGCAUGCAAGGAGUUGUUGUGGCUGAAGCGGUUUCUCCAAAAGUUGGGUUUGAAGCAAAGUGAUUAUGGCGUUUAUUGUGAUAGUCAGAGUGCUCUGGAUUUGAGCAAGAACACUACAUAUAAUUCACGCACUAAGCAUAUUGAUAUUCGUUAUCACUGGAUUAGAGAUGCUAUCGAGAACAAGUUACUACAGCUGAAGAAUAUUCAUACCGAUAAUAAUUCUUCAGACAUGUUGACAAAGGUAGUCACAAAAUCAAAGUUGGAAUUCUGCAUUAAGGCUGUUGGGAUGGACUCCAGGUAACUUGGAGUCAUGAUUGGAAUUCCUCCCUCAUGGACUGGAGGGGGAGAUUGUUGGUAUAUGGUCCAGCCCAUGAUGAAUGUUCUAGAUUAUUUUAGUAAGCAAGUGAGGUGGCUAGAGCAUGCUAGACAAUUCUAGCAUGUUAUUAAGUUGAUGGAAGAAGUUAAAGAGUACUAGCUUCCUUAGUUGCAAAUGGAAAGAUUUAGAAGCUACAAUUUUGUGGCUAGUCUAUAAUUAUCUAUGCUAGAGGUUUGAAGAAUACAAUAGAAACUAGUAGAAUGCCAAACCCUCACCUAUAAAUAUGGGUGUGAUGUUGUAGUGAAGUAACCAAUUAAGAACCAAGAUUGAGUAGCAAAGGAUCAAGUCCAAAGCUAGAGUUCCACUCCAAGAGUGAGAGUGAGAGUGUUCCACUACACAUUGUGAGUGAAGUUUAGAGUGAUAGAAAGUGUGUGUUAUACUUUCUUGUAUCCAUCAAGCCUUGUCUUUGGCUUGGUAAGACUAAUCUUGUUGUACUCAUAUUUUUCAUAUAGUGAAGAUUGAUCCUUGUUUAGUGGACGUAGGAAUAAAUUGCCGAACCACAUAAAUUUUUGGUGUCCAUAGUGAAGAUUGAUCCUUGUUUAGUGGACGUAGGCAUAAAUUGCCGAACCACAUAAAUUCUUGGUGUCCAUUUUCUACUUUACCUUGAGCAUUCUCUAUCUUGUAGUACAGACAUUCCUAACAGAAUGUUUCAUGCAAAUUGGAUUUGAAUCUUCUGUUGGCAAUUUAUGAAACAUGUAUUCUCCUCUCUGAGAACUGGGAGAAGGCUGCGAUUCCUACAAACGCCUUGUACUGACUUACAGUGGUAAUUGGACUUGUGAAAAAUAGGCCAAGUUAAGUCCAGUUCCAAAUCUCAGAAUUCAUAUACCUGCCCCAGCCUGCCUCGUUGCAUUUUAAAACGGGUCCGGUGUGGUCUCUAUAAAUUCAGGCAUGGACCGGUAGGAAAAACCAAGAUGGACAUUCAUCCAAGACAAAGGAAAAGCAACAAGAAAAUAAAGACAGUUAAGCUUGGAGUUUCCAUCAAAAUAUGCCAAAGGAAAGCGCGCAAAUCUGCACAGCCCUAGCUAUUUCCUUACCAUGAAAUCUAACCCUUCCACAUGCCACUUAUUUUCCUCCAAAAUAACAAAAGCAUGUGCAAACAUAUAAUAUUUUGCAUAUAUGUAGAUGUAGCUGCAAGUUAUACCGCCAUAGAUGUAGAUGUACCCAUAUUAUCAUAGAAAUAAAUAAAUAUUUAUUUUUUGCUUUGAAUUUUCUACAGGUCAAAAGGGGGAGGUGACUUGUGCAUAAUUCCUGCCUAAUGUAUUCUUAAUUUGGAAAUUGUCUCGCUCAAACCCAUAUCCUUUAUAAAACCCACAUUUAGAGAUAGAUCAUAUAUACAUACAAACCAAGAACAAUUUCCAAUCAAAAUAUAUGCUACAAAUGGCAAUUCCAAGGCUUCCCCAUAUCUUACAACUUUCAGUUCUUGUGCUUGAUAACAUAUGUAUCUCUAGCUAUUCAUAGCUAUGAAAAGGAAGAAAAGGAUUUGGAAGAAGAAAAGAAGAAAAGUAUUUGAGAAAUAGAAAGUAAUCUACUGAUUGCAUUGAAUGAAUGAAAUGUAUAUUGUUUACAAUGCUUUUAUAACCAUCCCACACUUUUACUUACGAAACUACCCUUUCUUAUCUCUAAGAUUCUAACUAACCACAACCAAUUACACCCAUCUCCAACCAUACAAUUCUGACAUGUCAGCUACCAUUGAAAUAUUGCCAUGUGUCACUUAUCAUCCCCCCUCAAUCUUGGCUAGGGUUCUAAGCCUAAGAUUGCAACAAUGUUUGAAAAACACUGGACUAUGUAAACCUUUGGUUAAAAUAUCAGCUGUCUGCUCCUCAGUGGGUACAUACUGAACCAGGAUGUUCUUCUGCUGAACUUUUUCCCGAACAAAGUAGAAAUCAGUAUCAAGGUGUUUGAUUCUGGUGUGAAAUACAAGAUUGGAACAGAGAGCAAUGGCAAACAAGUUAUCAUAGUGUAUAAAAGGAGGGUCAGGCAAAAACUUAUGCAAAUCCUUCAAUAGAUUCCGAAUCCAUGUAAUAUCAGCAGCACAAUGAGCAAGAGACUUAUACUCGGCUUCAAUUGAACUUCAGGAAACAGAAGCUUGCUUCUUAGACUGCCAUGAGAUUGGAUUAGAACCAAGAUAAACAACAAAACCAGUAACGGAUCUCUUGGUAUUAGGAUCAGCUGCCCAAUCAGAAUCUGAGAAGGCAACAAGAGACGGAUCACUGGAUGAUGAAUAAGUGAGUCCAUAUUCAAGCGAACUUUGCACAUAGCGUAAAAUCCUUUUGACCAGAUCAUAGUGCACUUCAGUGGGAGUAUGCAUAUAUUAACACGCAAUAUUAACAGCAUAUGCCAAAUCGGGUCGUGUGAAUGUAAGAUAUUGUAAGGCUCCGACUAUACUGUGAUAGAGUGUUGGAUCAGGUAAGGGAAUGCCCUCUGAAUCAAGAAACUGAGAAUGAGGUCGACAUGGUGUAUUCACAGAUUUGCAAUUAUCCAUGCUGGCCUUGUGAAGUAAAUCUUUGGCAUAUUUAGUUUGACUGAGAAAAAUAUCUCCAUUUGAUUUAUAUGUAAUCUGCAGUCCCAAAAAAUACGAUAAUCUGCCCAUAUCUUUGAGAUCAAACACAUCCCCCAAUUCUAUAACAACUGCUUGAAUCUUUGUUGUAUUAGAACCGGUUAGAAUGAUAUCAUCAACAUAAAGUAAUAAAGCAAUAACAUCCACACCAUCAUAUUUCACAAAUAGACUAGUAUUAGAUUGUGACAUGGUGAACCCCAUAGCAGGUAGAUAGCCAAUGAACUCGGCAUUCCAUGCUCGAGGUGCCUGUUUAAGGCCAUAGAGAGACUUAACCAACUUGCAAACGUGAUUAGGAUACUGAGGAUCAAUAAAUCCUUAUGGUUGGUGCAUAUAGACCUCUUCUUCCAAGUCACCAUGCAAAAAUGCAUUUUUAAUAUCAAGUUGUCUCAAUUCCCACUUGUGUUGGGCUGCAAAAGAAAGAAUGAGUCUCACCGUAGUAUGGUGAACUACAGGACUAAAAGUUUCAAAAUAAUCCAAACCAUGUUCCUGAGAAUACCUAUGAGCCACCAAACGCGCCUUAUAUCUUGAAAUCGAACCAUCUGGAUUCUUCUUUAGUUUGUACACCCACUUACUUCCAAUAACUGCCCUGUGAAUAGGUGGAGGCACUAAAUGCCAAGUUCCUUGACUUUGAAGGGCAUCAUACUCCUCUUGCAUUGCAUUUUGCAGGUGUGUGUUUGUUCCAGCAGUUCGAAAGGAUGUUGGUUCAGCACUAUCAGUAAUAUGAGCCAUAAGAGAAAAACCAUUGUGACAUGUAUCCAUAUCAUCCAGUCUCAAAGUGGACAAUUCAGGCAAAGAUGCAAUAUAACUAGAGUAGUCUUUUCUAGAAAUGGCACCAGUUUGCAACUUGGUUUGCAUCCUGUGAGGAGGAGGAUCACAGUGUGAGAUAUUAUCAAGAGUAGAUGGAUCAAAGGGAAGAAUUACCUCCAAUUGUGCAGGAUGAAUGACAGGUAACACAGAGGCUGUUUGUGGAGCUAGGAGAGUUGUUUCAGAUUGUGUAGAUGAUGUAGAGCUAUCAAAUGUAGUGCUGGAACCCUGAAAGUGUGACGGUACCACUGGAACAGGAAACUCAGAACCAGACAAUUGCACCUCAGUACUAGGAGACAUAGGCACAAUAUCAGAUAUGGUGAUAGCAGGUGAAGAAAGUACUGGAAGAACAAAUGGGGCAGAUGAUCUACGACUAUGAGCUUCCUGAGUAAAAGACAAACCCUGAGAUUGAUAUGUGAACAUUGCAAAAUUGAUCUUGCAAGGAAACACAUCCUCAUUGUGAAUAACAUGUCUAGAAAUAAUCAACUUUCUAGACUGUGGAUGAUAGCAUAUAACCCCUUUGUAUCCAUGUGUGUAGCCAAGAAAAACACAUAACACUGCUCUUGGUUGUAACUUGUUUUCAUUGUAUGGUUUAAUAUAUGGAUAGACUGCACUGCCAAAGACUUUCAACUCUUGCAGCCUAGGAGCAUCACCAAAUAAUAUCUGAUAUGGAGAAUUCAAAUGUAAAAUCUUACAUGGCAUCCUGUUGAUUAAAAAAACAGAAUGAGCACAUGCAUGAAACCACAACUCUUGAGACAAACCAGCAACUGUCAUGAGUGUUAUGGCUGUUUCUACAAUAUAUCUAUGUUUCCUCUCAGCAACUCCAUUUUGCUGAGGGGUAUAUGGACAAGAAACUUGAUGAAUAAUACCCUUUUGAGACAAAAAAAUUCUGAAAUCUCUUACUUAUAUACUCUUCUCCUUCAUCAGUUUGAAUGCACUUAAUACCAACAUUAAACUGAGUAUACAACACUAUAAAACUUGAGAAAGACAUCAAAGACUUCUGAUUUAUUAACUAAUGGGAAUAUCCAAACAUAUCUAGAAAAGUCAUGUACAAAACUGACAUAAUAUCGGAAACCUUCAAUGGAUUUUGUAGGUGAAGGCCCCCAAAGGUCAUAAUGAAUCUUUUGAAAGGGAAAUACAGAUUUUUUUUCUUAUCUACAAAAGGUAAUCGAGUCAUCUUUCCUGAAAUACAAAAAGAACACAUAUGUUAUGUAUCAUCUACACUACUAGUUAUCUGAGAGAGCUUCAACAUUGUAGACAACACUUCAUUGCUCGGAUGUCCACACCGUUGAUGCCAACUCACAUGCUUGACUUUCUGACCAAGUAAUCCAGUGAGCUUAUUCUGAGACUCCACUAUAGCAUCUGUAAUCAACCUGGUAAGAAUCUUAAACAACUUUCCAUCAUUGCUCCUUCCUUGGUACAGCACAGCCUUGGUUACCUUGUCAUGCACAAAGAAAUCAUUUUCAUCACAUAUGAACCAACAGGAAUUAUCUUUACAAAGUUGUUUAACUGAUAACAGAUUUACUUCAAUAGUAGGCACAUGUAACACAUUUCGCAGAAUUAAAGAUUGAGGUAAUGUGUGCAAUUUUGUAGAUCCAAUGUGACGAAUAGGCAAACCCCCUAUUGCCAAUUGUAAUUCGAUCAGUACCCUCGUAUGCAUUGACUUGCUGAAGAGCAUUCACAUCUGCAGUCAUGUGAUGUGAUGCACCUGUGUCCACAAUCCAAGAAUCACUGGGCAAGUAAGUUGGUUGGACUUAUGCUUGCAUGGCAGUGAGUGACUCUGAUGGUACACUGCCUUGAUAAGAAAAAUUGUUCCGAUGAUAGCAGUCCAAAGCAUUGUGACCCUUCUUCCCACAGAUCUGACAUUCAACUACUGUACCACUCGAGUUAGGAGUUGUAGACCUUUUCCAGCAAUUUGGAGUGGUAUGACCUCUUUUGAAGAAAAUCUGACACUCGGGGACAAUAUGUGACCUUGUUUCAGUGUUACCUGACCAAGAAUUCCAGUUGCCAUUAUUCUGCCUGUUACCAAAAGAUUGGCAUCUGCCAUGACUUGUAUGAUUCCCACCUUGUGAGGAUCAAAAAUUACCAUUCCCAUUACCAUUAUUAUUAGGCCUGAAAGACCGCGGACCACCAUUGGUAUUAGAAAACUGCCUUGGUGCAGCAACAUUUCCCACAAAACCAUAUGCAUUCGGAAACUCAGAAUAGCUCGAGAAAGAAGCUGAUGAGGAAGGAAACUGAUGGCCAGGAACUUGAGGAUACAGUAGUGGCAUAGUAGAAGAAGCCGGUAUUGAAACCGGUGUAAAUGGCAAAGAACCACUAUUUGAAACAGUUCCUUGGGAAAAACCAGAAGCUUGCAUUCCAAAUGAUGAAGACCCACUUGGCAUUUGAGUUAAAACACCGCCAGUUGUACAUGGAAUCCCACCAGAGUUACUAGAAGACCCCUGAGAUGAACCUUGUGAUGAUCCUUGCAUAUACAAACCCGUGAAAUUAUGAGGCAUAGUAGUCAAAAGAGACUCAGCUUCUCUUUCAGCACAUAACAACUGCUCACGAAAUUCUCUUAGUGUGAUAGAAGUAUCCCAAGUAAGAAUCAUUGUCCUGAUGGUAAAGUAUUCUCUAGGCAACCCAGAUAAAGCAGCCAAGACAAAGUCAUUAUCCGAAACAAUCUCUCCAGCAUUAAGUAAUUGUUCUUUAAUGACCUUAAGCUUUGACAAGAAUUGAUCUAUGGAAUCACCUCCUUUCUGCACAGUGUGAAACUCAGUCUUAAGAGUAUUAACUCUAGCCUUGGAAACUGAUGCAUACCUAUCUUGUAAGUUAAACCAAGCAUCAUGUGCAGUUCUGCAUCCAAUAACAUGCUCAAUUGCUUCAUCAGACAAGGUAGCAAGAAGUAAACUUAACAAUGCCAUAUCAACAGAUUCCCACUCCAAGAAAGCUUCAUUAAUUGUUGUAGUAACCCCAUUUUCCGGAUGAACAACAUAUUUUGAAUGACACACAGCAGAACCGUCAAAGUGAUCAAACAACUUAUACCCUUUCAAAACGGAUUUAAACUGAAAAGCCCAUUUAGAAAAAUUUCGAUCAUUCAAUUUAAUCAUCAACAUCCCCAAAAAUCCCUCAAUUUUCACACCAGGAACAGUCAUGAUUUACAGAUCAAAGGAUUGCACAGAGAUAACACCAAUUGAAAACCUAAGAAUUGCAGAACACCAGAGAAUGGCUUCGUAUUCAAGAACAACCAAAAAUAGCUUCGUGCCUCAAAACAAAUUUAACAAGAUUCACGACUUCAGCAAGAAAAAUGGCUUUGUGCCCUAACAAUCCAACAAGAAAAAUGGCUUUGUGCCUCAACAAUUCAUCAAUUCAACAAGAAAAUGGCUUCGUGCCCCAACAAUCCAUCAAUUCAACAAGAAAAUGUCUUCGUGCCCUAAAACUUCAACCAGAAAUUCACCAAAUGAAACAUAUCACCUGAGAUUGACAUGUAUUCAGAUCCAAAACUACAGAAUCUUCAGCUUUUCAUGCCCACAGCAGAUCGACGACUCUGAUACAUAUGUAUCUCCAGCUAUUCAUAGCUAUGAAAAGGAAGAAAAGGAUUCGGAAGAAGAAAAGAAGAAAAGUAUUUGAGAAAUAGAGAGUAAUCUACUGAUUGUAUUGAAUGAAUGAAAUGUAUAUUGUUUACAAUGCUUUUAUAACCAUCCCACACUUUUACUUACGAAACUAUCCUUUCUUAUCUCUAAGAUUCUAACUAACCACAACCAAUUACACCCAUCUCCAACCAUAUAAUUCUGACAUGUCAGCUACCAUUGAAAUACUGCCAUGUGUCACUUAUCAGUGCUCCUAUCUAUUUCAUGGGCAGUUUCAGCUGAUCAUGAGACCUUUGUUCAUUGCCUUCUAAACCAUUCCCAACCCUCUCACCCAAUUGCCCCAGCAAUUCACACUUCCAACAAUGCUUCCUACUCAUCCGUUUUGGAAUCUUACAUCUGAAACCUCCGAUUCAACACAUCUACAACCCAAAAACCCUUCCUCAUCCUCACUGCAUUGCAUGAGUCCCACGUGUAAAUAUCCGUUGUUUGUGCCCAAAUCCAUAACUUUCAAAUGAAGAUUAGAAGUGGAGGCCAUGAUUUUGAGGGUUUAUCAUACGUGGCUGAAUUUCCAUUCUUCAUCCUUUACAUGUUUAAUCUUCGAUCCAUCCACGUAGACAUCAAAUCCGAGACUGCAUGGGUCCAGGCUGGGGCUACUCUUGGUGAACUUUACUACAGAAUUGCUGAGAAAAGCAAAAUCCAUGGCUUUCCUGCUGGUGUUUGCCCUACAGUUGGUGUUGGAGGCCACUUCAGUGGCGGUGGAUAUGGUAAUAUGAUGGGAAAGUACGGCUUGUCAGUUGACAACAUAGUUGAUGCACAACUUGUAAAUGUGAAUGGUGAACUUCUCGACCGAAAAUCAAUGGGAGAAGACCUUUUUUGGGCCAUUACAGGAGGCGGAGGAGCCAGCUUUGGAGUUGUGAUCGCGUACAAACUUAAUCAUGUACGUGUUCCAGAAACAGUUACUGUUUUAAAGGUUCCGAGAACCCUAGAACAAAAUGCAACGGACAUUGUCUAUCGUUGGCAAUAUAUCGCGGAUAAGCUUGACAAUGACUUGUUCAUCAGGCUUAUCAUGGAUAUUGUAAAUGGUACUACUUCAAAUAGUAGUGGAGAAAACAAUAAGACUCUUAGGGCUUCAUUUAUUGCCAUGUUUCUCGGAGACUCUGAGAGGCUCCUCUCAAUCAUGGACAAGAGCUUCCCUGAAUUGGGUAUGAAGCAAUCUGAUUGCAAUGAAAUGAGCUGGGCUCAAUCUGUGCUUUUCUGGACGAGCUUCCCAACCGGGACAGCAACUGAAGCUUUGCUUUCAAGAACACCUCAAGUGCUUACACACUUCAAGAGAAAGUCAGACUAUGUCAAAAAACCAAUUCCAAAAACUGGUUUGAAGUGGAUUUUUUAGAAAAUGAUUGAGCUUGAGACACCAUUGUUGACCUUCAACCCCCCACGAAGGAAAAAUGAGUGAGAUAUCGGCGUCGGCAACUCCAUAUCCUCAUAGAGCUGGGAAUCUCUGGAUGGUUCAGUAUGCAACAAACUGGAACAUACAAGGGCCUGAGGCAUCAGAUCAUUAUAUUGAUCUGACAAGAAAACUCUACAUGUACUUGACUCCUUUUGUUUCCAAGAAUCCAAGGAAAUCCUUUUACAGCUACAAGGAUCUUGACAUUGGGAUCAACCAUAAUGCUAAUGGCAUUGCAAGCUAUUUGGAGGGGAGAGUUUUUGGCAUUAAGUACUUCAAGCAUAACUUUGAUAGGUUGGUGAAUGUGAAGACCAAGGUCGAUCCUGGUAAUUUCUUUAGAGCAAUUCCACCCAUGGAGCCCUUCCCCCUGGCAAUCCACUAUUCAAUCCACCCUAUUAAACAGUAACUGCCUUAAAUGAAUAGUAACUACUAUUAAUGAACAGUAAUUGCCAUUUACAUCUCCACCCUUGCAACCCUCCCCCUGGCAAUAAGCAAUUAAAAUAAUAGUUUUUUUUGUUUGUUUAAAUAAUAAAAAACCCCUCUCUCUCUCUGACACAAAAAAAAAAAACAAUUACAAAGCCCUCGGGCCACAGGCCCGUCGACUUCCCCCCCCCCUUCGCUCGGCCUCCCACCCUCACUCGGGCCCUUCCCCGCUGGAGCUGCUCCCACCGGCCCUCAGGCCCUUUCUCCUCCCCUAUCGCCCGAGCAACCAACAUCCGCUGGAGUUGCUCUUAGGAAUGAACAAAGUAUCCCACCACUUCCAUACAGUCAUUAUUUAGCUUCUUGUUGUGCAUGUUUUUUUUCUAUUGCUUUGGGGUUAGUUAUGUACAUCUUUAAUCAGCCAAAGAAAUAAAAAAAGAAGAAAGAUAUUGCUUACAAGAUUGCAAUUUGUUAGUACUUAAUUAUUACAAGUUUCAAGAAAAAUCUCUCCAAAAAUUGACAAAUUAGUAGGCUUUCUGGGAUUUCACUUUUCUAACUCUUGUUAAAAAAUUUACUUGUUUAUUUAAAGACAUUCCGUCAUUGAAAAUUUAGUAGGGACUAAUUGGCUUUUUCUACUUGCUUUGAUCAACAUGUUGUAGCAUGUCUCACAUUGGUAUCUUGAUUAAUUAUACAUACAACUUAUAUUGAACGAUUCUAUUACUAAUUACAUCAUGCCCCUUUGCAUAAAAUUUCACACAUAGUGAAUGACACAUGUGGUUAAGUUUGAGACAAUAGAGUUAUCUUCGUGUGCGUGGCCCACUAAAGAGGACAUGUUAAAGCAUGUCUAACAUCGUAAACAUGAGGGGGGGGGCACAAUGUCGUUGCAUGGGGAUGCGAUUCGCCAAGCUGAGCCAAACAAAACAGUCUGCCCACCCCCCCCCCCCCAAAAAAAAAACCACCGGAUUAGGAAUGCGAAGGCCUCCCCUUUUCUAUCACUUUGUUUGAGAAUUACAUACAACUGAUAUUGAUUAAAUUACAUACAAUUUAUAUUGAAUGAUUCCACUAUUAAUUAUAUUGACCUUUUUUAUGAGACUCAUACCUUUUAAAUUGCACAUUUUGUUAAGAAGACAAUAUUAAUAUAUGGAUCAUUUCUAUUUUCUUCUGUCUCUUGAUCUUGGGAUAAAUAGUAUACAUAGAGUAGUUUGGUUCAACUGAAGUGACACCGUGAUCAAUAUCGAUAUCUAAUCUACAAGGAAAUAUAUACGCAUCUAAAUUGGAUUCCUUUUUUUUUUUUUUUUUUUUUUUAGUUUGGUUCAACUGAAGUGACACCGUGAUCAAUAUCGAUAUCUAAUCUACAAGGAAAUAUAUACGCAUCUAAAUUGGAUCCUUUUUUUUUUUUUUUUUUUGGGGGGGUGAAAAAGAAAAAUCCCAGUUGGUUGGUAUGGCCUAUGGUCUUUUACUCCUAAAAUUUUGAAUUCUCCUUGUGCCAAAAAAUUUAAAAGUUGUCAGCGAUGCGGGAACUGUGGCCACUUACUUAUUCCCCAUCCAUCUCAACCCUUGCCAUAGAUUGAACCUCAAUUAUUUAACUCCCAACUCCUUUAAUAAUUUCGAGCCUGUGGCCCCAAACAUUUACCUCUACCUGGUGAACGGGUUCACCGUUCACGUGCUAAGCCACUAAUACAAUGUAUAUGCAUAUUUGUUUGAAAAUAAUUUGUAUUAGUGGUUUAAGACGUCAUGACGAUGAUAAACUUGUUUUAUGAAAGUUUCUCUCAUCAAUUAUCUCAUGUGAACCUCAUUUUUUUAUCAGAUUUUGUCAGUGGAGACCUUGCAAUUCACGUGUGUUGCUUUUAUUUGUAUAUAUUUAUAUGUAAAUUAUACAAAACUACUUCAAAUAUGUGUCGAACCACAAUCUCAUACUUAAUGUUUUAAACAUUACAAUGUCAUACCUUAUCUUACGAAUUCAUUGCCAUAUCAUACUUCCGUAAAAUUUUAUGUUAACUUUGAUUGUUAAAUGAUGAGAUGACACGUGCGGGACCUACAUACUCACCCAAUUGAAUUAAAAAAUUGAUUAAAUAUUAAUAACCAUUAAAAAAAAGAAAAUUAAUUAAAAUAGUUUGAAAACUUUAAUUUUAACGAUAAAAACAAAAUAAAUGGUAAAAUGAAUAGUAUCAAGAUUGACUUUUUACUGUAAAAAUAUAAUUUUUCGUUAAAAUAAACUGUACUGAGAACUUUAGGUUAAAGUUUAUUUAAAAAAAUUAUUAAACAAAUUGCGGGACCCACCUCCACCACCUACUUUAUCCCCACUCCAUACGUCCCCCUCCCUUUUUCCCUCUUUCUGUUCCAGAAACCCUCCCCCACCAUUUUUCCUCUGCAAUUCUCCCCCGCAGCCCCAACAACAAAACCCACCGCCAUUGUCUCUUCCUUGUCCUCGGGGAAACUCUCUUCCUCACUCACUCACUCAUUUCUUCUCUUCCACUCCUGCAACUCCCAAUUCACUCAUUACCAUUCCCGUCUUCGCCACUCUCUCUUCCCCUUUAGAAAACCCGCCUCUGGCCCAAGAUGGGCCCAACGGUUCUACUCGGAAGCCUAUUAGCCUUUCUUCGGGAAUGUACCAGUCGCCGGUGACAAUUGCGUUGUGGGAAGCGAGGUUGAAGAUCUUCGAGAGGUUCUUUCUGGACCCGCCCAAAGACGCGCCGUCACAUAACAGGACGAAGAUUCUCUACAGUGCAUUUGUUGGUGUUUCAAAAACGUCGUUGAUGGUGAGGAGGGAGCCUCAGCAAACUCCGGUUGGUGUUGCGAGAAAUUCCUCUGAUUCGGGCCGGGUUAGGUCGUUUGUUGUACCUUCUGCAUGCUCAGGUCUGCAAACUCCAGUUGGUGUUGCAGAUUCGGCAGAUCAGACCUGAAAUCGAACCGAAAAAAUGGUUCGCCUCGAGCCAGGUGCACGGGUCAAUGGAGGUGGAGUUCCAGGUGGUGAUCUUGUUGGAUGGUUAGAUGGCUUUGUUUCUCUGCAAGUGAGAAACAAAGCUAGGAGGUGUGCUGAGCAAUGGCGUGGUCAGAAAUUAUUCGACUGGUGGGCUAACCUAAUAUUAUUAGUCCGAAAUCAAAAUUUAAUCCUAUUUUUUCUACAUAAAGUUAUAUAAUAGUAAAAACUUGAAUGUAGUAAUUUGAAGCAAGAAAUUUAUGCUAUGUUUUAUAGGUUUCUAGCCUUCAAACUUUCCAUUGAAUAAAAUAAGGAACUAUUUGUGGUAUGAAAGUUUUAAUUUAUUACUAUUAAAUAUAAUAUUAGUUAAAGUGAUGAGUUUAUUUAACAUUUAUUAGUUCUUAUUAUUCUUAAAAACAACCUUAUUAAUAAUAAAAUUUCAUUUCCUAAAUGAAAUAUGACAAAUAAAAAUUAUAAACUAACUCAAAAAUUAAUAUUUUUAAGCUUGAAGAACCAAUUGUACUUGACUCCGCCCUUGGUGCUGAGGUUCGGCCAUGGCUGCCUUUUUUCAAGUGAGAGCAGAGAGAGAGUGAGGGAGACAAGUGAGAGGGGAGAGAAUAAUUGAGGAACAGAGUUCUUUUAUUUAAUUGUUAAAUAAAAAUAAUAAUUUAUUAUUAAUUAAUUGUUUUUUUUUUCUAGUUGGAAAAGGAUGGGUCCGUUCCUACUACAUCAUCAUUUAACAGUCAAUUGAUAGAAAAUUUAACAGAAGUUUGACAUUGUAACAAAUUUAUAAGUUGAGGUAUGACAUUGCAAUGUUUAAAACAUGAAGUAUGAAAUUGUGUAGUUCGACUCAUAAUUGAUGUAGUUUUGUGUAAUUUACCUUAUAUUUAUUUAUUUAUUAAUUUACCAUUAUUGAUCCAACAGUUGUGAUUUAAACCAUAGAACAUGAAGUACAAUUCCAACUGUGAUUAGCACCUAAUUAAAAUAUCGUAUAAAAAAUUUAAAAUAUAUAUAUAAAUUGAAGGAAAAAAAGAAAAAAACCCAAAAGUCCCCUUCGUCCCCAUCCCUUCUUCGCACCUGAACCCAUCCCCCAUCAGCCAUCAGCCAUCCCCUUCUCCCAUCCCCCAUCCCCCUCUCUCUUCCUAUACCCUCUCUUCCUGUACCCUCUCUUCUUACUCCCGUAUUCUCUCCCCCUUUCUCCUUUUCAAUUCACGAUGCAACAGCAGCCAAUUCUUUCUCUCUUCCUCUUUUCCUCUCUUCCUCUCUUUAUACCCAGUUGUGAAGGUGCUUGUAAUUUAAAGGAUGUUAAGUUGCUGACUCUUUUUUUGUAGAAGCUGCUGCUUUGAGAUUUGGCCUUUUCCAAGCCAAGCGUGCAUGUUACUCAGGGUUGGAGCCGCAGCUAAUCCACAACAAUGUGAAGUCGAGUAAUGUGCUGCUGGACCGCGGAGGCUAACUGAAAUCAAAGAAUCAGGUAGUAGUGAUUGUGAUUGAUGACGUGCCCAAGUAGGAGGAGCCGGAGAGCUACGGAUUUGCCUCUUUUGCUAUCGACCUCGAUGGUCACGACGGCUCCGAUGGCCUCUUCGAUUCGUCCCCAACGUUGGCGUCGUGGUCAACGACUACCUCUCGUUCUUUAAUUUGUUCAAACAUUAGAAACCACAAUUUCAGGGACAUCUGCAACACUAUCUUCAGUUAACAAACCCCUCGGGUGGAGAAGAAAACUUGGGAUGGGGUGGGUUUUUGGAUGGGAGGGGAGAUGAAGAGAGUGGAGGAGAUGGACGUGGGUCAGGGGAAUGGAUUUAUGGGUUCCAUUUUUUUUUUUUUUAAUUUUAAAUAGGAUAAAUUAUUGUAAUUUUUAAAUGCAUAAAAAAAUUCUUUUUUUACCACGUGACACACAUUUAGCAAUCACGUCAGCUCUUAACGGGCCAAUGGAUGGAAAAUGUAACGGUAACGGUUGUAUUAUAUUGAAAUAAAAUAGUAUUUGAGGUACGAAAGUGAAAUUUUUAAAGAUGUUGUAUAAGGUUGCAAUAGAUUUAAAACCGAAGGUGGUAAAGUGUAAUUUACCCUUUUUUUUCCAGUUCCUUUUCACUUCAUUUUCUCUGUCCGUUCAACACUAUCUCGCUUGCCGCCGUCAAUACAAUGGCGUCCUAAGUGGGAACCUACGUCGGGUGCCUUAUCGACAACCUGAGGUGGUAAUAUGAUUUCCGGAGCACAGUUGCCGUGUUAGCCUUCUAUUUGGAUCGCGAGAAUUUGGUAUCCAUUUUCUGGGAAUCUAAGAGAAGGCUUCAGUGGUGAGACUUUCAAACAUGAAUAUCUCAGUACGCUGAUACUGAUGGACCAAUCAUUUAAUUGAAAAGUCGAACAAGUGGUGUGAUAAUGUCGGCUCAUCAGGCGGUGGGUCGUCGUCGAUUUUUGUCAGUAAAACAGCUAAUAGAAUGUCCUCUCUCUCUUUCUCAGUCUCUCUAGCUAUUUCUCAUUCUCUCCGUCUAAGCUUCAACUUUCUAGAUUCGACGGGCGACAUAUUGUUGAAGGGUAGUAGCAAACCUUCCAUAAAUGCAGCAGCAUACCCGGUUUCGCAAGUUCGAAAGAUUUGAGGGGCAUAAUCCGGACUUUCAGUGGCGAUUUCAGACGAAUGAAGGGGCGGUCCCUCUGUAGCUUCGCCAAUGGGUGAUAGGUCUUGGCAGUCUGGAAGGUGGUGUGGUGGUUUGCGUUGGUUAAGGGUGGGGAUGGGUGUGUGCUUUGGAUGGUUGAAUCAUGGGAGGCAGAUGGGAAAAGCAGGGCAAUUUCGGUAGAGAAGUUUGAUUCCAGAUGUUGGCUUUCUUUCAGAAUUCAAUUACCACCUUCAAGUCAGUAUUUGGAUUCUGGGGAUAUUAGGAAUCCGAUUAUUGAUUUUGGAUGGAGCCUACUAAUUUUUUCAUUCCCAAAAUUUGGUCAAUGCCAGAAUCACUUGGAGAAAAAUUUCAUUCCCUUUCUUCUACCUCCAUUCCGAUUUGAUAAACGCGUGGUGAAGACCAUGUCAUCCAUUGGAGAUGCCCUAACAAAAUUAUUUUGUUAGAUGGACUAUGAAACUCAUGUUAAAAAAAAAAGGAAAAGAAAAAGACCAAUGCUAAACAAUCAUGGAAUCCAUUUUAUUUUUUCUUGAGACAAAACGAGGUCUCCAAGUCAAAGUAGACCAUGCCCCAAUAGGCUACAGAAUUUAGAUAAAUUAAGCAAAUCCACUCCUAGCUAAUUGUACACCAGGGGCUUCCUUUACAAUACAUCAAAUCAAUAAUAUUACAAACAUCAAUGUAAUUAUCGAGCAUGACGUGAUAGACCAUACUGCAUGUAAUUCAUUGUCAAACCUUCCGUUCUCUCUCGUAGCUAAACAGGUGGGAUACUUUGUUCAUGCUUGAAAAAAUUAUGAGGAUCAACCAUGGUUUUCACACGUACCAGUCUAUCAAAAUUACCUUUAAAAUACUUGCUCCCAUAAAUCUUCGCAAUCUGAAAGUUAGUCUGAUUAUCCAGAUUAGCCCCAAUUUCUAGAUCCCGGUAGUUUUGGAAGGCCUCUCUUGGGUUCUUGGAGACAUAUGGAGUCAUCAGGUCAAACAACUUUCUUGAUAAUUGAAGGUACUUGCUGGCUGCCUCAACACCUUCCUCUACCCAUACCGCAUAGUAUUGAAUCAAAAAUAGGUUUCCAGCUCUGUGAGGGGACGGAGUUGCCGACUCAGGAAUCUCGCCCAUUCUUCCACCGUAAGGGUUCCAGUCCAUCCAAAAAUUGUCUAUCUUAAUCAUCUCCUUCCAUAAGGAUUCUAUAACUCGUUUCGGAAUCGGUUCGUCACAUAGUCAGACUUGGCUUUGAAGAAGCUUGGUUGUCCAUUUGUCCUGUUGAGAAGAGUAGUUAUCGGAGUUCCAAAUGGGAAAUCAGCAAAGAACACUAUGUUUUCAAUCCAGCUCAUUUCGAAACAAUCUCUUCGUUGCAAACCUAAUUCGGGCAAGCGCUCCUUUACCAACGGAAGAAGCUUGUUAGUUCGUCCCAAAAAAAGACCAAUGAAUGAUACUUUCACAGUCUUCUUUCUCCCGGUGCUGUUCACUUGUAGUGGCCUUACUCUGAGGAAGAGGUCUUUAGGCAGCAGGGGUGCUGCGUAUUGCCAUUUAUAAACGACAUCUGUAGCCCCUUGCUCUAAGGUUAUUGAGACGUUGAACACAGUCACUUUAGCUGGAACCGAAACCAACUUGAGCUUCCACGAGAGAAUGACCCCGAAACUAGCUCCACCGCCUCCUCUAAUAGCCCAGAAAAGAUCUUCUCCCAUUGAUUUUCUAUCAAGGACUCUACCAUCUGCAACAACUAUCUUAGCAUCAAUAAUAUUAUCGAUGCUAAGGCCAUAUUUACGCAUCAAAGAGCCAUACCCGCCGCCACUAAAGUGACCACCAGCACCAACAGUUGGACCAACCCCAGCAGGAAACCCUAGAACGUUGCUUUUCUCAGCAAUUUUGUAAUAAACUUGGCCAAGGGUAGCUCCGGACUGAACCCAAGCGGUCUUCUCCGCAACAUUAACAUUAAUGGAUUGGAGUUGAAACAUGUCAAGAAUGAUAAAGGGUACAUGGGACACGUACGAUAGACCCUCGUAAUCAUGGCCACCACUUCGGAUUCUGAUUUGCAAUCCUUGCUGUUUUGCACAUAGAACAGUUGCUUGAACAUGGUACUCGUGCUUGGCUGCUACAAUGGCCAAAGGUUUUGGAGUUGUGGAUGUAGAAAAUCUGCGGUUUUUAAUACGGUCCGACAGAACAGAUUGAAACGAGGUGUUUUGAGGGGUGUAAAUGCCUGCAUGGAUUGAGCUGGUAGACUGAGAUUGUUUAGAAAGGCAUUGCAGAAAGUCAUCAAUAUUGACAAGUGGAUCUGAAGUUGCCCAUGAAACUGUGACGACUGAAAGGAUUGAGAGAAUGGCGAGUUGAAAUGGAGAGCUUGGGAACUUCAUUAUUGUUGAUUUCUGGCAGUGUGACAAAACAAACGACUUCGGAGUAUUUAUAAAGAAGCCAAAGCACCAAACUUUGACUCCGUUUGUGCAUGGUAAUUAAAAUAUGGGUGCUUUAGAUUUAGCCCCUUACAACUGUUGAACUCUAGACAUAAACCCACCUGUAUUAAAACAUCUAAAUCAAAAUCAAAAUUUGAAUUUGAUGUCAUGUAAGAUAAAAGAUGUCCAUACAUUUAAAUUUAUUUACAACACCAUGCCACCUAGGGGUGGGUUCAAAAAACCGAAAACCAAACCGAACCGAAACCGAAAAAACCGAACCGAACGAAAAAAUCGAACCGAAUUGAAAAAACCGAACCGAAACGAAUUCUUUUGGUUCGGUUAGGUUUUAGUGAUCUAGAAACCGAACCGAACCGAAUUAAUUAAAUUAAUUUUUUUAUUUAAUUAUUUGUUUUGGGUAUUAUUUUCUAAACCCAAUUUGUAAGUUAAAAUGUGCUAAACCCAAUGUAUUGCCAAACUUUAAGCUCAAAAUAUUUAAAAAAAUGCCUAUAAAAACUCUAAACCCUAACCUAUUAUUUCUCCCCUAUAUAAGGUUCCGGAACUAAACCUCCUCCUGAAGUAUCUACAUCCAUCUCCAUAGCACUGUCUACUUCUGCCCCGGCUUUCUUUUCCAAAUCUACUCUCAUAUAACAUGUAACAAAAUCCAUAAACAUUUAUUUCGGGUAGAUUACUUGGGUAAUUUGUGAUGGAAAAGAAUCCAACACACACUAAAUAAAUCUACACACGCAUUACUUUUACUAAUUAAGUUGUCAACAUGCAGUUACAAGCAAACAACCCUGAUCUUUGAACAACAUCAUACAAUUUAACUUUUCUAAGUCAUUUGUACGAUUUUUGUGCUGUGAGGUUGUUAGUUUGGACUUUGGAAUACUUGAUUGAUGAUUUUAGUUCAACUUUAAAUGUUUAUUUUCAUUGUCUUUGAUUUUAGUAAGAAUGCUUAUGUUAUGAUUGUGUUGCAUAUGUUAAAAUUUAAAAUUUGAAUGUUUUUCAUUUUUUGAAAAAAACAAAACAAAAACAGAAACCGAACCGAAACCAAACAGGAAAAAACCGAACCGGAAAAAAACCGAACAAAAAAAAUGAACCGAACCGAAAUUUCAGUUUCGUUUCAAUUUUGGCAAAAAACCAAACCGAUUUAAACCGAACCCACCCCUAAUGCCACCAACAUUAAUAUGACUAUUACGGUUUUUUUUUUGUAGACUUUUAAUUUAUUGUCUUUGUUUGUCAACAACAUUCAAUUAGUUCAAGUUUUUUUUGCUUUUAAUUUAAAAAAAUAAGGAAGUUCUUUUCUUCUUUUAUGUGAAAUCGCCUAAUCCAAAUCUAAUUAGUUCAAUAUACAUUCUAUUGAAAAAGUAGAUACAUUAACUUGUGAAUUUUUUUUUAAAAAAAAAAGGUAAAAAUAAACUAGUAGAUACAUUGUUUUUUUGCAUAUAUGGGUUUGUUAUUAUGUAGGUAAAUUAUUUUUCAUGUAUUUUACAUACACUGGGUAUAUUAUUUUUCUUUUUUUAAGCAAUCUAACAUUUAAAAUUUUUAAUAGUGGGUGCACUGUUUGAAUCAAAUGUUUUUUUUUUUGUAGGGAAAUUAUUUUGCAUGAAUUUUACAUAUAUCAGGCAUUUAUAUAUGUGUGUGUGUGAGAGAGAGAGAGAGAGAGAGAGGGAAAUAAUUUACCUACAUUAAUAUGUAAAAUAUAAUUUUAUUGACUUAAUUAAGCAUGUAUAAUAACAUAUAUUAGACCUGUUUUAUGUUAUUAUAUAUUAGGCAAUGAAUUUAUAACAUUAUUGUUUUUUUUUUGGUAAAAUCAUUAAUUCUCUCUUAUCAUCCAUCUGCAUGGCAUUAAUUAUAUAUCAAACAUUCAAAUAGGGUUUAUAAAAAAAUAAAAAUAUUCAAAUAGGGGUAUUUUAGGCAUCCGAAUUUUUUUAAUUUGUGAAGUCAAACAUAAUUAAUGAAUUUGCUGAUAUGAAAUCUAGUCAAUGGUUUUAUUCAAGAAAAAAACUUAUCUCAGGUUUUAUGUAGAGAAAAUUAAAAUUUUAGAGCUAAAGUCAUAUUUUCAGUUAAAAUAUCAAUCAAAUUUCAUUGAGCGAAGGAGUUGAUGUGUGGCGGAGAAUUCAGGUUUAUCUGUUACUCGUUUGUUGAGGGAAUCUAACUUUUAAUCGAAUAAUACCAGAGGGUACGGGCAAUUUCGGUUUCGCCAUAAAUUAUUUGUCUUCUACACAAACACAAAGAGCAUGAAUGAAUGUUAUGGAAGGAGACGCAAGUGUCAGUAUUUAGGCCCAGUAUUUAAGUCGUGGGUCAACGCGGAUUUGAAAAAUGGUGCACGUUUUUGAUGCGAUGAUGCGAAUCAAGCAUACAUACAAGUAUAUCCCACCCAAAAAAUAAAAGCGUAUGGUCCCGGCCAAAAUAACCUUCUCUCUUUUUUUUAAUCUAUAUGUACCUUGAGAGUUGGAUCAUAUAUAGUUAAUAAGAUUAUAAACUAGUACAAGAUUUUAAUGAAACUUCGUUUUUUAUUUUUUAUUUUUAUUUUUUUAUCUGAGUGUCGUAACAGAGGGCCGUGAAAUUAUUAUUCGUUUCAUUUUAGUUUCAUAGUUUGGUAAAAUAUGGGAUUCAAUUAUGUUUUAUGAAGAGAAGAAUCAUAAAUAGAAAAGCGUCUAUGGCAAUCAGUAAAGGAUAAGUUGGGCACGAGAGAUUUUUCAGUGUGACCGGUACACGGAGUGGUAUACCACGUGUUACUACACAAAUGAUUGGAUAUGUGUGAUAAAAAGUUAACUUAAAAAAUAAAAUUUCCCACCACAUAUAUAAAAACACGUGAUGUACCAUCUGUGUUCCGAUCACAAUGAAAAAAUUCUCGUUGGGCACAAGUAGGGGUGGGCACUUGGAACCGAAAACUGAAACCGAAACACGAAUUGAAUCGAAGAGCACCAAACGGUUUGGUUUUGUGGUUUUGAAAAGGUUUCGGUUUCGAAACCAAACCGCGGCAAAGAAAACAGUUUGGUUUCAAUUUUUGGUUUUCGAAAUCGAAACCGAAAUUGAAACCGCAUGUUAUGUUUUCAACUAGGUUACUGGACUAUCAUCCAAUUUUUCACUUCGAGUCCUGAAGGCUGAAACUCAUCUUCAUCUCUCUCAAAAGUCAAAACCCAUCUCCAUCACUUUCACAGUCGACAUUAGUGCCCUAAACUCAUUAUGUGCGACAUGGCUGCUUGCAUCUCUGCGACCUCACCGCUUGCAUCCUCAGAUCCCAUUCAUUUGGGAGCCCUGUAUUCUGCAAAUCAAAAGCUUUGCAAAACAAACUUGACAAAUCAUUCACCUGCUCUUUGUCACAUCCCGGCCCGGGAUAGAUCACUUCCCGGGCCCGCUCCACCACCGUAGCAUGAUAUUGUCCGAUUUGGGCUCCGACCACGCCCUCACGGUUUUGUUUCUGGGAACUCACGAGCAACUUCCCAGUGGGUCACACAUCAUGGGAGUGCUCUAGCCCCCUUCUCGCUUAACUUCAGAGUUCCUACGGAACCCGAAGCCAGUGAGCUCCCAAAAAGCCUCGUGCUAGGUAGGAAUGGGAAUAUACAUUUAAGGAUCGCUCCCCUGGGCGAUGUGGGAUGUCACACUCUUCGUUCCAGCUAAUAUGGUAAGAACUUGGAACUUGUAUUAGUAAGUUUAGUUAAUAAUUUGUAAUUAAAUUAAUUUUAUAGUUAGGGUUCGUUUGAAUCAAAGAUUCAAAAAGGGAACUGGGAGCACUUUCUUCGAGUAUUCUGCAUACCACAUUAUAUAUUGAUAGCAAAAUCAAGAAUUUUCAUUAAUGCAGUUUUUCUUACUCAUAGGACAAUGAAAACUCUGAAGUUAAGCAACUUAUUCAACUCAAGAACUUUUUCCUCUCUUUCUUUCUUGUUUUGUAAAUCGUCUAUUAUUGAUUUUCUAUUUUCAUUGUUCUUUUGUUCUUUCUUGUUUUGGAGCAUUGUUGCGUAUGAGUUCUUUUGUUAUGUUUUCAUUGAUUUUUUGUUUUGUUGUUCUCUAGUCAGUAGUCAGGUGUAGUUCUAAGUUGUAGCAGAAAACUGGUGGAUUAAAUUUAAAGUCAUUUUAUGCAAGAGGCUUGAAAGUCGUCUUUCAAUUAAUGGUUAAAUUCCACAUGCCAAUCUAACAAAACAAACUCAUUAAUAUCAUGGCAUUGAAAUUCAAAGUUAGGACAUUACUUUAUUAAUUACUAUUAAUAUUAGGGUACCAAAUUGACAGGUUAAAGUUGAACUGAACUGCCCCAACUAGGGUUGAAAUAAAAUGGCAUAAUUACAUAUGGUCAGAGAGGUUUUCUUUAAUGCUUGUGUUGUGUGUUGUAGAUUAUGUGCAUUCCAUUCCUUUAAGAUAAUGAGCAUUUCGUAUUUUAUUUCAAUCAAGAUAUGAAGAAUUGCAGCAAGCAUAGUGGGAUUAGUCACUCUUCUACGGGGGACUCCCCUGAGAAGCCAGAGGACGAGGCAAUAGAAAUUGACUUGAAAAAUGAAAUAGAUGUUGAAGGUGACCCUGAAAAUGACGGCGAAGAAUUUGAGGGCGAAGAUGAAAAAGUAAGUAACUUUGAUUCAAGAAAACGUAGUUGGGUUUGGGAUCAUUUUACAACAUAUUGUGUGACGAAAAAACAGUCGAAAAUUAAUGAAAAGGGGGAGAAAUAUUUGGCCGAAGUAAAACGUAGGAGAGCUAAAUGUAAUUAUUGCCCAAAACAGAGCAGUGUGGGUGACUAUGCAGCUGAAGCGAGAGUUAAUGGCACCACAAGCAUGAGAUACCACAUUGAAAGAUAUUGUAAAUUUUACCAAGGGAAUAGAAGUAAAAAGCAAAAUAUAUUGCGUGCCCUUUAUGAUGAAUAUGCUCCCAAUGUUGAAGGUGGAAAAUAUAUGAAGAAAUCGGAAAAUUUACAAUCACAACCUUCUUCUACCUCAUCUAAUGUGGCUAUGACGGAAGAUGAUCUAAUUGAUGAAUUGAUGCAUUUUGUUGAAGAUAGUGAUGAUAAAGUGGUGGGAGAUGAGGUGGAUUCUUUGUUUGAUCCUUUGGUACAAAUUACAAAAGAGGAGUCCACAAAGCAUUUUAACAUUCUCCUAUGGUGGAAGGUGAAUGGUAACAAGUAUCCUAUCUUGGCCGCAAUUGCAAAAGAUAUUUUUGCAAUUCAAGUUUUGAUCGUGGCAUCGGAGAGUGCUUUUAGCAUUGGUGGUCAAGUGAUUUCGGAUUUUAGGAGUUCUUUAACUCCUAAAUUGGUGGAAGCCUUGAUAUGCAUGCAAAAUUGGUUGAAGGGCGAUAAUAUUAUUACUUUGGAGGAUGAUGCACUUUCAAUUGACCAUAUUGAGUUCUAUGAAAGUAUUGAAUCAGGUAAGUAUAUCAUUUGAAGUAAAAGAACUUUCUCGUUUUCUUUUUUCAACUAAACAUUAAUUAUAUUUUUUAUGUUUUGUAUUGUGUAGAGUUGGCCAAAUCAGCUUCAAGCAUUGCCUCUCUUGAUCCACAACCACAACAAGCUCCAAAGCAAUCUCAAUGUUCUAAUUCACAAAAGCCUCCCAUUUUGCGUUUACAAGGUGCAAGGCCUUCACAAGCUCAAAGGCCUCCUAAACCUUCAAAGAAUAAGUGUCCAAAAGGAAAAGGAAAGACAAAGGUUUGAAACUUGAACGAUGCAAUGUAAGUUGAAAACCAAGACCUUGUUGAAUUCCAUGAACCAUUUAUUUAUUUUUUGUUGUAUUAAUGCCAUAAGGCAUUUUGACAUUGAACUUUGUUUGAAACAUUGAAGUUUGAACUUUAGUUGUAUUAUGGCAAACUUAACUUUUCAAUUGGGUUGUAGUAAAGUAUUGUGAUUGGUGAUCAAGUUGAAUUUUAGUAGAUGUGAUGCGUAAGGAUUUAAAGUUUAAACCCAUUGAUGCAUUGGAUGUUGUCUCAAUUUUAGUAGUUGUCAUUUGUUGCAGUUUUGGUACAAGUUUGGUACAUGUUAGUUGCUUUUUUUGCUGCAGUUUUGCUACAGUAUUAGACGAUAUGGGGUGACUGAUGCUACAUAUGACUGAUGCCGACUAAUGUUGCUUACUGAUGCUGCAUAUGACGGUGCAUAUGGAUAUUACACGAUAUAAGGUGACUGAUGCUGCAGUAUUAGACGAUAUGGGAUGAUUGAUGCUGCAUACAACUGAUGCUACAUAAUGAUGUUGCAUACGACUGAUGCUGCAUAUAGAUAUUAGACGAUAUGGAGUGACUGAUGCUGCCAAAUUUUAUGUUUCUUUCCUCUUUCCAUGGGAUUCUCAAUUAAGUCUAAUCCCUUAAUUUGAAGAAGAUUGACAUCUAGAUGUUGCCAAAGUUUAUGUUUCCUCUUUUUUUUUUUUUUUUUUUGCAGUUUUGCCACUAUUUGUUGCUGCAUUGUUGUUGCUGUUUUUGCUGCAUAUUCAUUAAUUAAUAUAUGAGGAAAAUAAGACCGCCUUUAAAUUGUACAUUUUUUUCUCAAAAACCAAACCGAAACCGUUUGAAACCGCACCGAAUUGAACCAAACGGUUUAAUUUCAUUUCGAUUUUAGCUUCAAAACCGCACCGAACCACACCGUAAAAAGUUUCGAUUUUGGUUGCGGUUUCACUUGAAACUACACCGAACCGCACCGUGCCCAUCCCUAGGCACAAGCAGGAAAAGAGUCGAGCCAAGUACAAUUCGAUUAUUUGUGAUGACCUAAAUUAGCUAAAGGCAUCAGCGGAAAUUUUGGUUUCUCUAAAUGCUUGGACAUUUAGGUUGACUUGCCCUCAAUUUAACAAAUUCAUCUCCACCAGUAAAGAAAAGGGCAAUUGUAUAAAGGGCAGCAGCCUGUCGGACUGCCCUUGCAAUAAUUGCUGUGCCUUGAGCCAGCCAUGAUGCCAUCAUACUGCAGAAAGUGGGCCCCACGUGGACGCCACCGAGCCAUUGGGCUGAAUUUCCAGUCUGGCAACUGUUGGAAAUUCCAACUGUCUUCUCGUUUGGAUCCGGAGAGAUCCUUUUCCGUUUGUUAUUUACCAAUCAAAGAUGAUCUUGUUUGCUUUCCCGUCACGUCUUGUAGUGCUAAUUAGGGUAUCUUGUAUGCUUUUGCUUUUCUUUUGUUUUUUCGCAACUUUGGAAAUGAGUACAAAAACAUUCAACUUCGGAUAAUAUGUUUUUAAAGAUUUUAGAUUUGUACGUUUUGUGGGGUUUGUGAUACUUCCAGAAACUUUGUAUGACUUUGCUGUGUUCUACAGUGAUCUCUCUAUAGGAGAGUAUUCUUAAGUGUGAUUUUGGUAUAGAUAUGUCGUGUUACACCUAUUUUUGAAGAAUUUAUCAUUACCCAAAAUUUACUAGCAUUCUUAAAUGUGAUUUUGGUAUAGAUAUGUCGUGUUACACCUAUUUUUUGCAAAUUUGGCAUUACACAAAAUUUUCUCUUAGGCAUCAUCUUUUAGACAAUGCCUAUCUCACUUCACAAUGGAGACUUUUGUUUUUCACUCUUAGAUUUCAGAAUUUACAAAUUUGAGUAAGUGCCGCCGAUGCCUUCUCAUUUUUAGACUUCAGUAUUUAUAAAUUUGACACCUAAACUAUUAACACCAUCAAAUUUUGUUUUUUUCCGACGGUGACAAUGCAAUUUGGUGGCCGAAUUAGGCUUUUAUCUAUUUGUUGGUUGUGUAUGCGUAAUUAUGUUUAGGUCAUGUUAAAGUGUUGGAAUUCGUUUAAAGGGUUAUGUUGAAACUGGCCAUGGAAAAGUUAUACUCAUUUUUUUAACAUGUUUGUUCUUCGUUGCAAUGUUUAUUAAUUGUCAUUUGGUGGAGUGGAUAUACGUUUUGUUUUUUCAAUUUAUGUUGCUUAGUCGUUACCUAAUCUUGUCACUUAUUGAAGACAAAAUCUUUAGAUGGUUUUUUCUUUGUCAAGCAAAUCUUUUGGAAAGUUGCACUUUUCGUGUUAGCUAAUUAAUCAAAGAUAUAAAUUUUGUUCGACGACAGUACCUCUAAAAGAAAGUAACAUAAAAAUUUAGUUUCGUAGAGAUAACAUUGAUUACAUCAUAUUUCAUUUUGUUAUAUAAAAAUCCAUGUAUACUGUUAUUAUCCGUGACACCAUUAUUUUCACACAACUUUUGACACAUGGUUUUUAUAGGAUCUACUUCGUAAUGUAUUUCAAUGAUCUGAGUCAUCUAUCUUUUAGGUCUUCCUUCAAGAUCAUGUCUACCAAAAAUACCCAAAUCUGAAACCAUGACCAUUGGAUUAAGGGUUUAUGUUUCUUUGUAGAACUAUAUUUGUCUAUUUUCUUCACUAUAAAGGAAUGUUUUAAUGAUUUUAAAUUUGUAUAAUUGUUUACAAAAAUGAUCUAUAAAUGACUUUCUAAAAGAUAAACGAUUCAUAUAUGAAAACAAAAUAAUGUCACAAAUCUGUAUAUAAUAUUACAAGGUUGACUGACUCUUUUCAAAAACUGGUAAACCAGUAGGUUAGCUGGGACUUAAUAAUUGGUGUUAUAUUUAUAUAUUAUUGCUCAAUUAAUGGUCCAUACAUUUGGUUGCGUACACUCCAUAUGUAUUCUCGUUGGAUCCUUUUUGUGAUGAUCUUAGGAAUCUGUGAAUUAUGUUCAUUUAUUAUAUAUCGUGCGGUCAUAAAUUAUUUAAAUAUUUUUAUUUAAAAUUAAAUAUAAACAAUACUUAAUAAAAAUUGAUUGCAUAAUGUACGAUAAUAGACACCAUUCAUGGAUCUAUAGGAUCUUCAUCAAAAGGAUCCGGAGAGGAUCUGUUGGGCGUACACUGCCAUGGCCAUUAUUGAGUUUGAAUUCAGAUAUAAAGGCUUGGACAUAAAACUCACAUAUAUCAUCACACAUGAAUUAUAUUAGUGGAUAUAAUUAUGUGAGAACAAGCAUGUGGUGUAUACAUGGAUGACCAUACGUAUUCCAAACCAUCUAAAAUAAGUAACUCGAAUCCUUGCAAAUCAAGAAAAACCCAAAUGGGAAACCAAUAAUGUGUCAAAACCAAAAGCAACUAGGAAUACAAUAAUUUCUCGAGGAUAAUGUUAGGAAGAUAAUUUUUAAGCUGAAUUUACAAAGCAAAUAAUGUGUCGUCAAUAAAAAAAAUAAGCACGUUAAUCAAUAUUAAGUAAUAAUCCAAUUAUCAACAUCCAUAUCAUUUGGUUUACAAAAUUUAGUUUAAAAUUUUAAUCUCUCAAGCAUUACCUUUUUCUCAAACUUUCAUGAAUUGAGUCUGUAACAUCCCGGUCCGGGCCCCCACCACAUCCCGGGCUCGACUCCGACGUAGCACGAUAUUGUCCGCUUUGGGCCCCGAUCACGCUCCCACAUUCUCAGUGGGUCACCUAUCAUGGGAUUGCUCUCGUGCGAACUUGCUUAACUUCGGACUUCUGAUGGAACUCGAAGUCAGUAAGCUCCCAAAAAGGCCUCGUGCUAGGUAGAGAUGAGAAUAUACAUAUAAGGCUUAUAGGAUCCACUCCUAUGGGCAAUGUGGGAUGUUACAAUCCACCCUCCUUAGGGGUCUAACGUCCUCAUCAAGGGAUUGGUUCGGACACCAAAUUGUCACAUCCCGACCUGGGCCCCCACCACAUCCCGGGCUCGACUCUGCCGUAGCACGAUAUUGUCUGCUUUGAGCCCCGACCACGCCCUCACGGUUUUUUUUUUUAGAACUCACGAGCAACUUCCCAGUGGGUCACCCAUCAUGGGAUUGCUCUCGCGAACUCGCUUAACUUCGGAGUUUCGAUAGAACUCAAAGCCAGUGAGCCCCAAAAGGUCUUGUGCUAGGUAGAGAUAGGAAUAUACAUAUAAGGCUUACAUGAUCCACUCCUCUAUAUGAUGUGGGAUGUUACAGAGUCAGACUCAACUAGACCUGGAUAUACACACACAUGUAUAUAUGCAUAACUUGGUCUCAUUACGUGUGUGGAAUAUGUCUUUUGAAUACAAUGAUAUUCAAAGUUAUUUUGACAAUGUUACGUAAAUGACUAGAUUUGAGAACGAGAAUGACCGGACGUCCUGACUCCACAAAGAUAAGUAACUCAAAUCCUUGCACAUCAAGAAAAACCUAGAUUGGAAAGAAAUAAUGUGUCCAGAACGAAAAGAAACAAGGAAGCAUAAUAUUUCUCAAAAUAUUGAUCAACUGAGCCGGACUCAGCCUAACAUGUUUCUUGAAUGUAUAGUGGAUUGCUAUUUGGCUAGGAAAAGAUUGAAAGGGAGUUGCUACAAGACACGUUUGUGUACAUUAUUUGCUACAAGACACGUUUGUGUACAUUAUACACAUCACAUUGUUUAUAAAUUUGAUCUAAAAAGUUGGUUUACCUAGUAUUACUCUUUGAUAAUAUUUGUUCUCAUUACUUGUGUGUAAAGGGAACUGCUAAUUUGUUUUUUGGAUACAAUGAAACCGAAUUAAUUCUAUUCUCUAACAAUAUUAUGCACUACCAAAGUUGAACUAAACAGAGUUAUAGAGACACGGUACUCAUGAAGGUAGAAGAGAAUGAAUUAAAGUAGUAUUCUUCCUUAUAUAUAGAGGAUUAAGUGUUAUUUUCCUUCAUUAUUAGAGGUAGUUUUAUUUGUAUAUGUUAGUUAUUAUUAGAUGCAUUUAUUGUUAAUUUUCGCCUUUAAAUUCCAGGAGGAGCGAAUAAGAUAUUUGUCCCUAAAACUAUUGUGGCUAUUACUAUAUCUGAACCUAAUAAUAGCAAUUUUCGCCCCUAUUGCUGUUCCUGCCAUGCUGACAGUUAAAACAAUAUAGUCAUACAAUUAAGCCCCUAUUGUAGUUAACUAUUAUAAUCAUUUAAAUUUAAUUCCCUUGUAAAUUAGAUUAAGGAACAAUUACACAUACAUCCAAAUUAUAAGACUAUAUUUUGGAGAAGGACAAAUUUUUUUAUUGAUCUUAAAGAGGGACAAAACUUAUCCAUGUCGCAUAAUGUCACGACUGAUUGGUUUUUUAAUUGUUUUUACAUUUAUAAUUUUACCCUUGUAUAAUUGAGAGAUGAGUCUAUCUCUUCGUUAGCACUAGUUCUCUCUCUCUCUCUCCUUCCUUUUCUUUGUGAUUUUCUCUCUAUGUUCCUUCUCUUCUUACCCGUCUCUCUCUUUCUUUCUCCACGUUCUUCCUACCUUUCUCUCUCUUUUUCUCACUCUCCUUGUCCGUCCUUAUUCUUCUCUCUUAUUUCUUCUUCCCUCCUCUCCUUCUUCUUGUUCCUAUUUUUCCUUAGACUCAUAAGUGGUUUCUUUUCUAAGAACGAUUAGGAUUUUUUUUUAUUCUCUUUUUUUUUUUUAAAAAAAAUUGAUUUUUAAGCUUUGAUUGAUUUGGAUGCAUGAAUUUUGAAACUGAUAUUGCAGAAAUGCAAGAAUUUUUUAAACUAAUCUUGCAGAAAUGUUGAAAAUUUGAAACUGAUCUUGCAGGAGUACUAAAAAAAUUGAAACUAAUCUUGUGAAAGUGCUGAAAUUUUGAAACUAAUGUUGUGAAGUGCUAAAAUUUUUGAAAGUAAUAUUGCAGAAAUACUGAAAAUUUAUAACUAUCUUACAGAAGUGCUGGAAUUUUGAAACAAUAAGUGCUAAAAACUUUGAAACUAAUAUUGCAGAAGUAUUGAAAUUUUGAAACUGAUCUUGUAAAAGUGCAGAAAAUUUUGAAACUGAUUUUACAAAAAUGAAGAAAAUUUUGCAACUGAUGGUGCAGAAGUGUUGGACUUUAAAAAUGAUCAUGCAUAAGUAAUAAAAAUUUUGAAACAUUUUUUUUUAUCAAGGUAAAAUUUUUGAAACUAAUGCACAUAGUACAAAGCUUGGAAGAAAAAGAACACAGCCAUACUACUAAAAAAUGUAUGAGAAAUUCAAUGUCAAAUUGUAGUCUGACCUAUCUAUACUCUAAAACUAUUAAGAUUUCACAAAUCACAAAAGGAGCACUAAACACCUGCAUAACCUGGCAAGUAUUCAGUUUGAUCACGAAUCAUAAUGAUAUUUUCACAAACUUAACCACUUGUACAACUCGACAUGUGUUGGAUUUUAUUACAAAAAGUAUCGUGCAAUUAAGAGUGAAACCAUUCAAUAUGAUUGCAAUUUAUUCUAUCAAGUUUUGAAUGUGGAAUUACAGUCUUCAACAAAAACCGGUAUAUUUGUGACAUGUCGUUCCCUUUAUUUUGAAAAAGUUUAAAAUACUUUUUAUUUUAUUUUAAGAAAAACACAAUAUUUCAUUCAUUGAUAAAGGCCUUUACAAAUAUUUAUCAUGAAGACCUCGGUCCCAAAAGAGUCCUUGCAAACUAGAUAUAAAAAUACUACAAUAAAGCAUCACUAAUCGCAAAGUAAUGAGUAUACUUCAAGCACUUGUCCAAACUCAUCGAAAACUGCACGAUUACACAAAUCAAUAAAACCGUUAAUUUUCGUGUUACACGAAGAUUAUGUGAGAACAAAAUCUCAAACCAUAAAUUGGAACAUGGACUACGAUGCCAAUGGGUCAAUCACAUCAUCUAACCACCCCCACAAUCCCUGAACACCAUAUGAAGUAAAUCCAGCAAAUCAAACAUCUCCAUCCUUUACACUUAGAUCCAAAAGAGGUAGCACACCCAAAAAAAAAAAUUUAAAUGAAGCAACUCUCCUAUAGAGAGAAAUCAAACUAGCAAACUCAAAUCAAACCAAAGUCCAAGACAAUUCUUGAAAAUUAUUAAAUAUAAACAAAAUAAAAGGAUAAAAUCAUGUCGCCGCACCGCAUCCUCUAGACAUCCGAAAGUCAUAUCACUACACCGGCUAAACCCAAGUGUCGUAGUGACUAAACUUGAUCCCUAUGCAAUUAGGCAUCUUCCAUGGUGACUAAAGUGUUUCACAGUGACAAUUCAACAUCAAAAUAGAAUAAACGGAAAUUGAGAAGGAAGAGACCAAGAAUGAUUUUCAAGCCGAUUGCCCCAACCCCCAAAGCCAAGGGCAGGUCUCGAUGGCAGAUGAAUUUUCCUGGGUUUUCCGGCUACGGUUUUUCGUCAGAUUUGUUAACAAUGUUAUACAAUGAAUUAUUUAAUAUCAUCCUAAACAAAACUUUACGGUACAAAUAAGUUUAAAAUACUUAAAUCCGUUUUCUUUCUGCAUUCUUCAACGUUGAAUUAAUAAUGACAUCGCAAGUCUCAAGCAAUUAAUUUUUGCAAGCUCACGACUAAUUAAUCUGAUUUUGUUCUUUUAAGUAAAGGUUAAUUAAUAGGACCAAUUAAUUGAUUUUCAAUGCGAAAAAAAGAAGAAAAAUAGCUAGAUGUUGCAACUGAUCGCAAAUCGUUAAACAAUAAAUUUGACAUCAAGACAACUUAACCAAAUGACUUUCGUUAGGAGGAUUGCUGAAGUUCUCUUUUGACUGCAGAGCUUUUGCUGUUGUACAACAUUGAGGGACACAAAUGUCUCUGGCUGUUGUACAACAUUGAGGAACACAAAUGUCUCUGCGACUAAUUAGCCACAUUGCUAUAUUUAUAUCAUCUUUGCCACACAAAAAUUACACUAUUGCUAACUCACUUCUCUUAUCUUGUACAUAAUUACAAAUGAGUCCAAGGUAUAUUUCCACGACUCACUUGUAUUAAAAAGUGUGUCAACAAUAAUAUCAAUUUAGUGUGCCUAAAUAUAAUUACCGAUACCAUAUCGACUUGCAACAUUUCAAUUUACAAAUUAAUUUAAACAGAGUAACAACAUGUAUUAUUUUUUUCUUCUAGAGCAACAACUAGUGUCUAUUUAAGAACUUGCAACGUUCUAAAUUAAUUGUUUUGAGAAAAAGAAACAGUUUUUAGGCAGGAAUAUUAUUUGUUAUUAUUACUUCUUUGCAACAUACUCUGUAAUUAAUUGGUCAUAAACAUUACGUUUUCUCAUCAUAAGGAAAAAAAAACAUUAUGCUUUCAAGAACUCAAGAAGAAAAUACCGCAGUAGAAAAAAUUGCAAGAUAAUGAAGGGACAAAGCUCUGCAACAAUACCCUUCAUUUUCCCAUUCCUUUUGCUCUUUAGUAGCACUGUUUAUUGUCUCACUCCUUUCUGUGCAUCUAUUGAUCCACCAAUAAAGGAUAUCCCUGAUCUCAAAUACACCCCCAUACCGCUUCCGAAACAUUCUCAACAAAUUCUCAAUGACUUCCUCGAAUGCCUUGCGGUAAAAUUUCAGUCCACCAACCACCCUAUCAUGGAAGCCAUUUACACCCCACAAAAUACCUCAUUUCACCAAGUUUUGCUGGCACACACUAAAAACCGCAGAUACACAACGCUUGAUACUCCAAAACCUUUGGCUAUUGUAGCAGCCAAGCACGAACGCCAUGUGCAAGCAACCGUAAUUUGCGCAAAACAACAUGGGUUGCAGAUUAGAAUCCGAAGUGGUGGCCAUGAUUAUGAAGGUCUAUCAUACGUAUCGGAUGUACCCUUUGUCAUUCUUGACAUGUUCAAUCUUCGAUCCAUUGAUGUUAAUGUGACGGAAGGGAGGGUUUGGGUUCAGUCAGGGGCUACAAUUGGUGAACUUUAUUAUGAAGUUGGAAAGAAAAGUAGGGUUCAUGGGUUUGCAGCUGGAUCUUGUCCAAGUGUCGGUAUUGGUGGUCACUUUAGUGGUGGUGGGUAUGGUCCUUUGUUGAGAAAAUAUGGGCUUACAGUGGAUAAUAUUGAAGAUGCUAGACUAGUUAAUGUGAAUGGUGAAAUCCUUGAUCGAAUGUCAAUGGGAGAAGAUCUAUUUUGGGCCAUUAGAGGAGGUGGUGGAGCAAGCUUUGGAGUCAUUCUUUCGUGGAAGAUCAAAUUGCUUCCAGUUCCAGCCCAAGUGACUGUGUUUCAGGUAGAAAGGACGCUGGAACAAGGCGCUAAGGAUGUGGUUCAUCGAUGGCAAUACGUUGCACCUAAGCUCCCUGAAGACCUCUUCAUUAGAACAGCAAUAAAAACCAAGAAUGGCUCCCAAGAGGGCACGAAGGCUGCGGUAGCAAUAUUCUCUUGUCAAUUUCUGGGACGAGCAGACAAGCUUCUUCAAUUGAUGAAUGAAAGUUUCCCUGAGUUGGGUUUACAGCAAAAAGACUGCUUUGAAAUGAGUUGGGAAGAAUCCAUGAUAUUCUUGGCUGGUUGCCCAGUUGGAACUCCCCUAGAAGUUCUACUUUCUAGGCCAAAAUUGCCAGUAAUUUUCUUCAAAAGUAAGUCCGACUACGUGAAAAAACCAAUUCCAAAACAUGGUUGGAAAUCUUUAUGGAAAAAUCUGAUUACGAUAGAUCACUUGUUAGUGCAAUUGAACCCUUACGGCGGAAGAAUGAGUGAGAUUUCUGAAUCAGGAACUCCAUUCCCUCACAGAGCUGGAAAUCUGUUUUCAGUUCAGUACUUUAUUUCUUGGAAGGAAGAACAGAUUGAGACCAUCAAGCGGAAUAUUCAUAGGUCAAGAAAGUUGUACAAAAGUAUGGCUCCAUAUGUCUCCCAGAACCCAAGAGAGGCUUUGCAAAACUAUAGGGAUCUUGACAUAGGUGCCAAUCUGCACAACCGGACUAACUUUCGAACAGCCAGACGUUAUGGUAGCAAAUAUUUCAAGGGUAACUUUGAUAGAUUGGUACGUGUGAAAACUAUGGUAGAUCCCCAUAAUUUUUUCCACCAUGAACAAAGUAUUCCUCCCCUUUAAAAAUUACAGAGAAUCAUAAAGUCAAUUGCAUUGGUAAUGUACCAACAAACUUGUAGGUAAGGAUACAACAGGGUAAAGUGGGCAAAAAACAUACAAGCAAUUGGAGUUAUGAAAUUAAAAUUUCUUAUUAGUAUGGCGUUUCCUAUGACACAAUUGAUUAGUUCUGAGAGUUUUGAUCUCUGACAUGAUCUUGAUAGUACUAGAUUCAUUGGCUUCAAUGGAUCCUUCAUCAGUUUCAGUUUCUUGCAAUAUUUAGGAUUAGUUGUUAAUUAACUUUUGUUGAUGCACAAAACCGGAGGUCUUGGAACAACGUAAUUCCGACCGUGAAUCUGCUAGAAAGUAAAGAACACAAGGUGUAUCGUGGUUCAUCCCAAUGUUUGGGCUACGUCCACACUGAUGUUGAUAUUGUUUUACUCUGAAUGGUGAAUAUACAAGAAGGCUAGAGGCAGUGUGCUCUCUAGCCUAUUUUCUGUGUUUGCCCUCUCUGAGAUGUUUUCUCUCUUCCCAUGGCCUAAACCUUGACCUAUCCUAAUGAGGAGAGUGAUGAGUCCUUUUAUAGAAUAAGGGCUCCUCACUUAUUAUAUAUUUGCCCAUUCAUUUAUUACAUAAUUACAUUUGAGUCCCCUGAGUAUUUAUACGAGGUCUAAAUACGGAGGCCCUAAAUAUGGUACAAAUAGUAGUCCCCUAAGUCUUCAGUCAAGAGAGUCUUUUGGCUUAAGACUUGAAAUUCAGUCCAUGUGUGGGCCGAAGUAACUAGAUGUUGUCUAGAACUGAUACUCGAUAUGAAGUGGUGCUCAAUGUGAAAUGAUGCUCAACUAGAAGUAGGACAUGUUGCAAGGCUGCUCGGCUUGUGGCUUAUGUUGCAUUGGUUGGCUCUGCUUGUGGCGUUGAAGGUGAGAGAGUCCCUUUUAUAGAAUAAGGCAUCGCUCCUCAAUACAUAAAUGAUGGGCUAGAGUUGAUGCUCGCGGCAAGACGGUUGCUCAGCAGGCGGCGAUGCUCUCUAAUGAUGGUGAGGGGGUCCUUUUUAUAGAAUAAGGGCUCGCUCCUCAAUACAUAAAUGAUGGGUUAGGAGUGAUGCUCGCUGCGAUGCCGUUGUUCAGCUGGCGGCGAUGCUCUAUAAUGAAGGUGAGGAAGUCUCUUUUAUAGAAUAAAUGUUCGCUUCUCAAUACAUAAGUGGUGGGUUAUGAGUGAUGCAGGCGGCGAGGCUGUUGCUCAACUAGUGGCGAGGUUGUUGCUCAGCUGGCGGCGAUGCUCUCUAAUGAAGGUGAGGGAGUCAUUUUUAUAAAAUAAGGGUUCGCUCCUCAAUACAUAAGUGAUGGGCUAAGAGUCUUUCUUUAAUGAAGGUGAGGGAGUCCCUUUUAUAAAAUAAGGGUUCGCUCCUCAAUACAUGAAUAAUGGGUGCUCUCUAAUGAAAGUGAGGGAGUUCCUUUUAUAGAAUAAAGGUUCACUCCUCAGUAUAUAAAUAAUGGGCUAAGUCCCCCAAGUAUUUUUCAUGAGGCCCAGUUGCGGAAGCCCAAUAUAUGGUACAUAGUGUAGUCCCCCAAGUCUUCAGUCAAUAUAGUAUGUUGGCUGGAGACUUCAAAUUCAAUCUAUGUAUGGGCUGAAGUAGCGGUUGUUCAGAUGCGGUCUUUGUAUACUAUGCACUGAAGCUUUGUAGGUGAGGCUUUGAAAGUAAAGCUUUGAAGCUAGAGCUUUGUAAAUGAAGCUUUUGAAGCUGAAGCUUUUGUAAAUGAAGCUUUUGAAUGUUGCUUGACAUGAGUGAUGCUCAUAGAUGUUGACAUGAGUGAUGCUCAUGAAUGUUUAUGUAUGAUUGACAUGAGUGAUGCUCAUGUAUGAUGAUGAUUGUCAUGAGUGAUGCUCAUGUAUGAUUUUUUUGGAGUACUGGACGUACUUUUGAUCACUUAGUUGGUGAUAAUAGAGGGUGAACCUUAAGUGGAGGGAUGGAGGUUGGAGUUUGAAGUCAUAGGGCCUGACUCUUUUUGGCAUAUGGGCAUUCGCCCUCCACAUAACAUUUCAUCCCACUAGUUUGGGCUUGUCGACAGUUUGCCUUUAUUUUUAUUUUUGGCAUGCUGCCUUCUUUACACAUCAGUAUAACUAUUCAAUAAUUGCUCCAAUUUGCAGAAGACAACUUAAUAAAAUAUUCAUCAAUGACAGUGGGUAUGGGCUGUAAAGAUAAGAGUCUUAUCUUUGUGGUUGUUUUCUCUGAGUGCGAAUGGAUGAUUGAGUGUGGCAGAGGAGAGACAUGUGCAUGGUGGGAAUGAUGCUCAAUGUCUUAUCUUUGAAGAUUUGCAGGCAUGCCUUAAAACAAACACAUCCAUAGCUUUUCCAUACCGUCCACCUUCAAAUUAUGCAGCAAAUUAGUCUCUUUAAAUACACCCACUUGCUCAUUUUCUUGUAGCUUUUUCAGAAUAUUCAGAGCAUGCUCCUUUGCAAAUUUGCAUGCUUGCUUUACAGCAAACACAUCCAUAACUUUUCCAGGCUGUCGACAAAAGCCAUUUUGCAUAAUAAAGUUCUUAUCUCUAUUUUCCCCCAGACAGUGAAGAUGGCAGCAUGUGACCAGCCGUAAUCAUGCCCUCCGCCAUCUGUAGAUGACAACAGAUCAUCAAUGCCAGUCCUUCCCACCUUGGCCGAUAAGAUUUGCAUCGACACCAACAACUUGGUAUAAAUGCCUUCACUUAGUUCAAUAAUCCCAGUUGUUUACGUUGGAUCACCACCAAGAGUACUAAGAGCGUGGUUUGCAACAAAACAAGCAUAUAAUCCUUCAUCAGAUCCUAACUUUUGCUAUUGCUGCUGCUUUCAGAUUCAUCGUCUUCGAGUUUUCGUCGUAGAGCUUCAGUCUUGAUCUCAUCCAGAAGGUCGUCUGCAGCAUACAGAGCAUCUUUGAGUUCGUCGAGCCACUCCCUCAUAGCUGGGUUUUUGAACUGCUUCUCAUCUGCAUCAUCAAGAACCGAAUUAACUAAGCAGCUUAAUCUUCAACUUCUUGAGCAGUCCGCUGAUGAUCUUUUGUCUGCGGAUGAAGUCGACGAUGGGACGGGAGGCCAGCCUAUCAAAUAAGACAGAGAGAAAGGAAGAGAGAAGAACACCGCCCAUAACUUCUAUCGCCAUGGAUUUCAAUCUUCUGAUGGAUGGGAAGUUAAAAGAAAUUGGAUCGGGUGAGGGCGCGGUACCAGAACUUGCAAACCAAUAAGGCCCUACUGCGGUCGCGGCGGGAGGUGAGGAAGCAGAUGACGUUUUGCAGAACGUUCUCGAGGACUUGGUCCGAGUAGGGGACAAUAUACUCGACAGAGGUACCUACGCCAGAGCCGAAUACUCGAGAGAACUUGGCCGAGAAAGCUGAGUGUUUUUUGGUGACAAAAUUUUCUUCUUUUUUUUUGUGCACUUUCGCUUCUGUGUGUGUACAAGAAACUAGAGAGAACACAGAAGACUAGAGGGGAGAGAGAUAGAGGUGGUGAGGUUUUGGGUUUUGCAAUGACUGUGCACGUGUUUGGUUCUUGGGUUUCUGCAGAUUCACGGUGGAUAUUGUGGUGAGGUUUCACGGUGGUGAGAUGAAAAAAUGAAAAAGAACCGACAUAGUUUUUCGUGUCGUUUCCCACAGAUGGCGCCAAAUGUCACUACUACAAUAUUAGCUUUAGGUGUCGAACGAUUCUGGCGGUUAAUAAGUCAUUCUGAUGGAUAAAAGAUAUCCGACACAUAAUUUAUUUACUGUCGGAUUAAAGUUAAUUUUUGUCGGAUAUAUCCGACAUAAAUUACUAGCGGAUUUAACCGCCAUAAAAUUAUUAUAACUCUCAGUAUUUUGAAUUCUUUUUUUUUUUAAAUAUUUUUAACAUAUUCUGGCGAUUAUAACCGACAUAAAUUGACUAUUUUAUUAUUUUAAAAUGUUACAUUGAUUAAAAUAAAUAAACAAAUGGUUUAAUUUUUUUUUUCACUCACAGUCCCGUUACCUAAUCUCUGAAUGUUUUUUUUUUUUGCAAUUUUUUACACAUGCUAUCUCGGAGUAUAUACAAACAUAUUUGACUGUUGGAUCGUUGAAACUAGUUUCGUAGAAUGCAUAUCCUAUCAAAUUGAUAGAUUUAACAAACACUUAAGAGUUAAUGUUAUACUUCCAUUAAGUAUAAAAAAUUAUCCACUGGUAUAAAUAUUUUAAAUUGAAGAUCGAAUUCGUUCAAUGCAUUAUUAUAGGGUCGAGGAGUGUAGCUAUAAAAAAUCAUCAAAAUCAGAGCUAAAAUAACUGUUAAAUUAUGAUUUUUUGUUUAUAACCAUUGAACAUUUUUGUUUCGUUACCUAAUCUCUGAAUGUUUGUUUUUUACGAUUUUUUACGUAUGCAAUCUCAGAGUGUGUACAAAUAAGUUUGAUGGUUGGAUCGUUGAAAAACGUUUCGUAGAAUGCAUAUUGCAUCAAAACUAUAGAUUAAACAAACACUUAGAGUUAAUAUUAUACUUCUAUUAACUAUAAAAUAAGAUUUUGUGGUAUCCACUAAUGUAAAUAUUUUAAAUUGAAGAUCAAAUUUAUUCAUUGCAUUCUUAUAGGGUUGAGGAGUGUAGCUGUAAAAAAUCAUCAAAAUCGGAGUUAAAAUAAUAGUUAAAUUGUGAUUUUUCUUUUAUAACCGUCGAAAACUUUUGUUCCGUUACCUAAUCUCCGAAUGUUUGUUUUUUAUGAUUUUUACGUAUGCAAUCUCGGAGUGUGUGCAAAUAAGUUUGACGGUUGGAUCGUUGAAAAAAGUUUCGUAGAAUGCAUAUUGCAUCAAAACUGUAGAUUAAACAAACACUUAGAGUUAAUAUUAUAAAAUAAGAUUUUGUGGUAUCCACUAGUGCAAAUAUUUUAAAUUAAGGAUUGAAUUUAUUCAUUACAUUCUUAUAGGGUCGAUGAGUGUAUAUGUAAAAAAUUAUCAAAAUCGGAGCUAAAAUAACCAUUAAAUUGUGAUUUUUCGUUUAUAACUGUCGAAAACUUUUGCUCCGCUACGUAAUCUAUGAAUCUUUGUUUUUACAAUUUUUUACGUAUGCAAUCUUGGACUGUGUACAAAUAAGUUUGACGGUUGGAUCGUUGAAAAACGUUUCGUAAAAUGCAUAUUGCAUCAAAACGGUAGAUUAAACAAACACUUAGAGUUAAUAUUAUAAAAUAAGAUUUUGUGGUAUCCACUAGUGCAAAUAUUUUAAAUUAAGGAUUGAAUUUAUUCAUUACAUUCUUAUAGGGUCGAUGAGUGUAUCUGUAAAAAAUUAUCAAAAUCGGAGCUAAAAUAACAAUUAAAUUGUGAUUUUUCGUUUAUAACUGUCGAAAACUUUUGCUCCGCUACGUAAUCUAUGAAUCUUUGUUUUUACAAUUUUUUACGUAUGCAAUCUUGGAAUGUGUACAAAUAUGUUUGACGGUUGGAUCGUUGAAAAACGUUUCGUAGAAUGUAUAUUGCGUCAAAACGGUAGAUUAAACAAACACUUAGAGUUAAUAUUAUACUAUUAUUAAGUAUAAAAUAAGAUUUUGUGGUAUCCACUAGUGCAAAUAUUUUAAAUUAAAGAUCGAAUUUAUUCAUUACAUUCUUAUAGGCUCGAGGAGUGUAUCUGUAAAAAAUCAUCAAAAUCGGACCUAAAAUAGCCGUUAAAUUGUGAUUUUUCAUUUAUAACUGUCGAAAAUAUUUGCUCCGUUACAUAAUCUUUGAAUCUUUGUUUUUUACGAUUUUUUACGUAUGCAAUCUCGGGCUGUGUACAAAUAAGUUUGACGGUUGGAUCGUUGAAAAAAGUUUCGUAGAAUGCAUAUUGCGUCAAACGGUAGAUUAAACAAAUACUUAGAAUUAAUAUUUUACUAUUAUUAAGUAUAAAACAAGAUUUUGUGGUAUCCUCUAGUACAAAUAGUUUAAAUUAAAGAUCGAAUUUAUUCAUUACAUUCUUAUAGGGUUGAGGAGUGUAGCUGUAAAAAAUCAUCAAAAUCGGAGCUAAAAUAACCGUUAAAUUGUGAUUUUUCGUUUGACCGUCGAAAACUUUUGCUCCGUUACGUAAUCUCUGAAUUUUUUUUUUACGAUUUUUUACGUAUGCAAUCUCGGACUGUGUACAAAUAAGUUUGAUGGUUGGAUCGUUGAAAAAAGUUUCGUAUAAUGCAUAUUGCGUCAAAACGAUAGAUUAAACAAAAACUUAGAGUUAAUAUUAUACUUCUAUUAAGUAUAAAAUAAGAUUUUGUGGUAUCUACUAGUGUAAAUAUUUUAAAUUAAAGAUCGAAUUUAUUCAUUACAUUCUUUUAGGGUCGAGGAGUGUAUCUGUAAAAAAUCAUCAAAAUCGAAGCUAAAAUAACCGUUAAAUUGUGAUUUUUCGUUUAUAACUGUCGAAAACUUUUGCUCCGUUACAUAAUCUCUGAAUCUUUUUUUUUUUAUGAUUUUUUACGUAUACAAUCUCGGAUUAUGUACAAAUAAAUUUGACGGUUGGAUCGUUGAAAAAAGUUUCGUAGAAUGCAUAUUGCGUCAAAACGGUAGAUUAAACAAACACUUAAAGUUAAUAUUAUACUAUUAUUAAGUAUAAAAUAAGAUUUUAUGGUAUCCACUAGUGCAAAUAUUUUAAAUUAAAGAUCGAAUUUAUUCAUUACAUUCUUAUAGGGUCGCGGAGUGUAACUGUAAAAAAUCAUCAAAAUCAGAGCUAAAAUAACCGUUAAAUUGUGAUUUUUCGUUUAUAACUGUCGAAAACUUUUGUUCCGUUUCGAAAUCUCUGGAUGUUUGUUUUUUACGAUUUUUUACAUAUGCUAUCUUGUAGUAUCUACAAACAAGUUUGACGGUUAGAUCAUGAAAACUAGUUUCGUAAAAUGCAUAAGUUUGCCAAAAUUUUGAAGUGGGAAAAGUAAUUUGUGCUAAAUUUUUAUUUAUGUUUUUCUAGUAUUGAUUAGACAAUAUUUAGUUUGUGUGAAGACAUUUUCAUUGUACAAUUCUCUUUUUGUUUUUUUAUCGCAUAUUUUACAUAGAUUAUUAUCUAUUAAACCAAAAAUGUAAAAAUUAUCUAUUAAACCAAACAAUUAUUUAUUUAAAUUUAAAAAACAUAUUAUAUUUAAAUACAUAUUAUUUAUUUAUUUAUUAAACCAAACAACUAUUGACACACUCCGAUCCUAGAAUCAAGGCGUGUUCUAAAUUUUGGGUCGCUUUUCUGGAAGCUCUGAUACCAAACUGACACACCCCGAUCCUAGAAUCAAGGCGUGUUGGCUACGUCACGCUCACGUGACGGCCAGUACGCCUUGAUUCUAGGAUCGGGGUGUGUCAACUAUUAUUUUAUUUUUUUAAAUCGUAACAAAAUUUGGGGGGGGGGGAUUUUGGGGGGAAUGUUGACGCCAUUUUUUUGCUAUCGGUUAAAACCGACAUUAAUGAGAAUUUUCUAUCGGGUUUUUAUUUUUAAAAAACAUUUCUGUCGAUUUUAACCGAUAGUAAUGAACAUUUCCACAUUAUAACCCCUUCAUCUCUUCCUUGCACCCGUGCUUCUCCCUUCCCCAUUUUCUCCUCUUCUCAUUUCCUUCUCCUUCUCUUCUCUCCUCUCCUCAUUUACUUCCACUUCGAACACUUGCAACCAAAGUUCAUUAGCUAUCUCGAAUAUGGCGAAGAAGAAGGUAACACUCUCGCUCUCGCUCUUUCUCUUUCUCUCCAUCUGUGUCUCUCUCUCUGUGUCUCUCAUAUGGCGAAUAAUUUUGUGUCGUUUGUUUCAGUGGGUUGCAAAGCUAUUCGUUUCCUUCUGUUCCCAACAAUAAAGAUGAGAUUUUUCAGCUGCUUUUGUAAAUUACACAGCUACCCAAGACUUGCCCAGUUUGCUAUUUUUGUAUUUUAUCAUGUUUUUGUGAUUUUUUAGUGGAUCUGUCACUCCCAAAUGAUUAUCCAAUGAUUGUAGCUACACCCAUUUUGUCCAUUUCUCCAAAUGGAUCUUGUAUGAUUUCACCUGAUUGUGUUAGAAAUCAUUAGUUUUUUGGUGAAAGAUUAUGUUGGAAAUUAGUGUGAUCAUUUUUACCUUGAGGGAGUUGACCAAAUGUGAAACUAGCUGUUGUGGUUAAAUAUUUGGUGAAUUUAGAUUGAACUUGAAGAUCAUGUAACUCAAGGCAGCACUUGGCCCUCUGUUUGGACGCAAUUUGAAGUACUGCACCGAUGGAUGCCUUCGGAGAUAUUUGGAAGCUCGGAGCUGGAAUCUUGAGAAGGCGAAGAAAAUGGUUGAAGAGACACUGAAGUGGAGGGCAACUUAUAAGCCUGAAGAACCCGUUAGGUAAGUUGGAUGAACUUUUAUGAUAUUCACAAACUAGAAAUAGAUAUAUUUGUAGGAUGUUUGUUUCUCUUGAUACGUUGGCAAUUCUGCUUGAGCAUAAACUAAUCAACGUUUGAGUUUUGUAUAUUUUGUUUUCAUCAAAUAUAUGGCAGAAUCAAAACUUAAUAUGGACUCAGAUGGUGUUCUCCAACCACAUUGCGUGUGAAUUGCGUUCGUUUAAUUCAUUUGCAUCAUCUGCAGCUUACUUCUAUGCAUUGCACAAGCUAUCGCCCGUCAUACUUCUUGCCUAGAACUUUAAGGGCCCUGAAGUUUUCGAGAUCGAGCUCCGGCGAGGUUUUGGAUGAUGAAUGCAGAAAUAUUUUUUUAUUAUUAAUAUAUUUUCUGUCGGUUUUAUGCGACAAGAAUGAUUUUAUUCGUUUUUAUAAUAAAUUAUCUGUCGGAUAUAACCGACAGAAAUACUGUCGGUUUUAGUAUUUUUUGUUGGUUUUAUCCGACAGAUAUUAUAAUAAAUAAAUAUAUAUCCUGUCGGUUUUAAAGUAUUUUUUGUCGGAAAAUUCAUUUUCUGACGCAGGCAAUUAUGUCGCUUAUUAUAUCCGUCACUGUAUCCAUUUUCUGUCGGAUUUUGCUUAAAAUCCAACAGUAAUAUAAAUUUUUUGUCGGUUUUUGAACCGCCAGUUAUAGUUAAUUUUGUAGUAGUGUGUUGAUGCACAAAACCGGAGGUCUUGAAACAACGUAAAUCUGACCGUGAAUCUGCUAGAAAGUAAAGAACACAAGAUAUCGUAGUUCACCCCAAUGUUUGGGCUACGUCCACACUGAUGUUGAUAUUGUUUCACUCUGAAUGGUGAAUAUACAAGAAGGCUAGAGGCAAUGUGCUCUCUGACCUAUUUUUUGUGUUUGCCCUAUCUGAGAUUCUUUCUCUCUUCCCAUGGCCUAAACCUUGACCUCUCCUAAUGAGGAGAGUGAGGAGUCCUUUUAUAGAAUAAGGACUCCCCACUUAUUACAUAUUUGCCCAUUCAUUUAUUACAUAAUUACAUUUGAGUCUCCCGAGUAUUUAUACGAGGUCUAAAUACGGAGGCCCUAAAUAUGGUACAAACAACUUUCAUUUUUGUUUUUUGUUUUUGUGUAAGGACCCUCUGACCGGGAGUCAUGUUCUUCACUUUGUUUUAAAUCUUAAAUCAUCUCCUUUCAUGAAUAAAAUGUCUCUCGUUAAUAAAAAAAUUAUGACAUUCAAACAAAUUGAAAAUUAAUACAGUUAAUUGUUGAAAGUAGUGGACUGCUCUGGUGUUAUUCUUUUGACCCCUUUAAUGAAGUUAUUUUCUAAGCAAAAAUAAAAAUAAAAUUAAAACCAACACGCAAUGUACUGCCACAUCGUCACUUGCACAAGCUUUCACUCAUAACAUGCUCAAUUCCCUUAUCUUUCUCUCCAUCUAUUUCGUAAUUUUUUGUUCUUUUUUUAUUUUCCUCCUUUCUCUCUACUCUCACCCCUAACCACUCUCUCUAUCCCGUCUCCUCUCACCCGUCCUCACUCACCUCUUCCUUUAUGUGUCAUGUCACUCGGUUUGUACUAGGGGUGGGUAUGGUUCCAAUCGGUUCGGUAUUUUGCUAAAAUAAAAACCAAACCGAAUUUUUUAUUCGGUUCCGGUCGGUUCAAAUUUUUUCGAUUUUUAUUCGAUUCGGUUUUUUCGGUUUUUUUCUGUCUGGUUUCAGUUCAGUUCUUUUUUUUUGUUUUUUGGGUCGUAAACAACUGAAAAUCAACCCAUUGUGUAGAGGUUUUAAUUUGAAAUGAAAAAUCAUGCUAGAGCUUAAAUGUUUUAGACUCAAACAAAUUUUUGAAGAUUUCUAACUGUGUUCUGGUGAUAAAAUUCGCUUUGGUUAAGGGGAAUAACUAACAAAGAAGAAUAAAAUUACGAGGUUCCUCAAUGAACGUAAAUAUUCAUCAUCAAUUGAAAGUGGCUACACCAAAAGAAAAUGGCCAAAGAAGAAUAUGUGUCAAGUUAAUUUCCCAUCACCAAAAUUUACGUUCAUUGAGGUUCCUACUAAACCGACCAAACUGCACCGACGGUUUCGUUUGUUUUUUUUUUUGUUUUUUUUUUCGGUAUGUAAACCAAACCUUCCCGUGUGCUUGCUUUUAUUUGUUUUAAUCAUAAUAGACAUACCAUGUACCCACCACAACAAAACAAACACUACAAAAAAUAUGGGCAUUGCACACAAUAAAUUAUUUGUGUCCAUUGAGCCAAAGAGCACCAACAUAUGUGCCCAUAAACCAAUAGCAAUAGUGCGGCAACUAUAAUAUUGUUUGUGCCCUCUAUAGGCAUGUCCUUUGGUAAUAAGGCACAAUAUUGCUUUUGUGCUCCCAAGAGAAAGCAUAAAUGACAACCUAUUUGUGUAUUAAUUAUGACAAGCAUGUCAAAUGAUCUACAAUCAUGCGCACAGUUUUCAAAUCAUGCCCGAUAGGGUCUAUUUAAAAAAUAAAUAAAAAUUUGAAACAAAACAAAAAAUUCUAAAUUUUCAUAAAAUCAACAAAUCCCACAAUAUACAUGUAUUUCAGUUAUUUACAACAAAUCCCACAUAUUUACAACCAAGCCCUCCUGCAUAAUCCUAUCCUCCCCUACUGCAGUCGUUGGACCCAAGUUCUUCAUGCAAUGUAACUUAACCACAUUCCCUUCUUGCCUAUAAGGAAUCUUAGUAAGAAGCCUAGAGUAAGAAAUAUUUAUAAGCAUUCAUUUCAUUAAGAUUAUCGCAUGCAAACCGUUCUCGUCUCCCAAGGAAUUAAGGACAUAAUGACAUUAGCAAUUAUUGAAAAACCAACCUAAUUUGUGCACUCAUAUAUAUUUCCUUUACCAUGAGCCAUUUGAUCAUUCUCCUCAUCAACAAAUAGAUCCCUAACAUUGUUAUCAGUUAUACCAACGAACUUGCCCAAAACUUCAGGGCCAUUAACAAUCUAGCACAGUUCACAAGAACAGAAAUCUCAUCAAUCACCAAUGCAAACAACUAACUUAUACAAGGAUAAGUUGCAUAUCAAAUAGCUUUGGAACCUUAAAAUAAUGUACUAGCAUCAAAAUUAUGUGUUAAAUCGGCAUGGUUCAAUGUUUACAGCUGGCAGAACUUAAUCGAUUCAUUACCUAAGCCUAUUGUGAAAAAUAAGAAUACAAGAUUGUGACAAUGAAAUACCUAGUUCUUAAUUUCAUCUCAGAUUCAUGUGUCAUCAAUUGGUUAAGUCUUAUUUGAAAUUAAGGCUGAAACAUAGAAAAGUAAUCAUUCAAACGAACACAACAAAUUCUUAGUCCUAAGAGAAUUGCAACUCUCAGAGAUUUGAUUAUUAAAGAAAAGGUGGAUCAAACUCCAAACCUUUAGUCCUUUCCCGUUCAACAUCUUUCUGAUUUGACACGCCAUAAGAGAAAACAAAAAGAGGCCAUAAUUCAAAUAACACACUAGUUUGAGAAAAAAAGAAAGCAUCAAAUGUUGCGUAAUGGAUAUGAUCCAAAGUCCAAACGCAUCCAAAUUCAUACGUGCAUAAUGUUCGUUCUUUUUCUUUCUUUUGAAAAUUAGACUCUGAAACUUCCCAAAAUAUUAACACUUUUAAUGAUUUCAUUAAUUGUGUUUAUUAAGCACUAUUAGUAUACUAAUACAAAACAUAGAAAACUAAAUAUCAUGAGUAAAACCUACUUAUAUUUCAUGUAAGGCUCCAAAUACCUUAUGUAGGACUUUUGUAUCUCAAGUAUAAACAUUAGCAAGCUGUAAGAACUUCACUCCAUUUAUCUCAUUCCAUAGAGUACCUAUAACUUUCAACAUCAUAGAUGCACAUUUGUACCUGAGAACUAUUCAGGGGAGCUUCCAUUGUGGGUCGAGUGCCCUAUACCUUUUUUUCAUAGUUCACCAACGAGUUAUCUAAAGAAUUUAACAGCCAAUAUAUAACUUUAUGAAUAAUGAGAAUCACAAAUUUGAUUAUGUAAUGAGCGGUAUAAAUGAUAAAUAUCACAUUAUCAUUCAAGACAAAAAAUAUGAGCCAUUUUUCAAUCUCUUUCUGAAAACUCAAAAGGACUCAAUUUCAGAACGGUUUUUUUUUUUUCCACCCAUAUGCACAUUUUGGGUUUCAUUACUCUCCUCGCAUCAAUUUAAAAGGUACAUAAUUUCCAGUUUCAUAUAUAAAUAAGAUAAUUAUCACAAAUGUUGUCAAUCUAAUCAAAUAAUAAAUGUAAAGACAAAUACCAAAGCAUCUGUAAACAUACGCAGAUAAAAAAAUCCAAUAACAAGACAUACCGCUAUAGGGAAUGCCACACUACAAGGAAAAUUUACGCACGGCCUUGACAUCAUCGGAACAAGCCCAAUGGUAGUGCACACAUUGUAACCUGCAAUUACCGCUUGAUUCACUUUAGAAAUUAAAUGCAGUCUUCCAAUGUAGAACAAUUUUCAAUCCAAAUUAAAUGAGAAACGCUUCACCCUCUCCUGCAGAGUUCCAUCAAUUAGACCCCAACAAAAUUAGCAUAUUUAUGUUUAUAUUACUGAAAAUAUGAUUUUAGCCCUUCCAACUCAAUUUUCUUCAUAUAAAACCCUACAUAACUUUUUUACUCAAAGAAAACCCAAUGACUAGGAUCCACAUAAGCAAAUUCAUUAAUUUCAUAUUAAUUCACACAUUUUACAUUUUUCACAUUCCUAAAAUACCCCUAUUACAUAUUUGAUGUAGACAAUUAAUUGUGAGGAGAGAGUAAAUGAUUUUGCAACAAGAAAAAAAAAGACAUUAAUGUUAAAAAUUUAUUGCAUAUUAAUUUUUUAGAAAGACUUUGAAUUUUCAUAAAACUAUUCGAUUCGGUUUUUUUCACCCUACUCUUGAAUACUUUUGAAUUUAUCCUUUUUUUAUUAAUAUAUUAGAACAUUGUAUUUCAUUAUCUACAUGCACAUUAAUUUACCUACAACAAUUAUACCAUGGGUGUAAUAUAAUAUCUCUUUUUUACAAUGAUGCAAAAUAAUGUUUAUACCAACAACAAAACGUGCCUAACAUAUGUACUAAUACAUGAAAAAUAAUUUACCUAUAUUAAGAAGAAAUGUAGUUCGAUGCAUAGUAUUAAAAAUACUAUGUUACACCCAUGUUUAUACAACAAUAAAAUGUGCCUAACAUAUCUAACAAUACAUGGAAAAUAAUUUACCUACAAGUUAGAUAAAUGUUAUUUGGUUGGGUGUAGUAUAAUUUUUUUAAUAAUUGGAAAAAUUAAAUAUAACUAGGUGCAGUGUAAUUUUUUAUAUAUAAUUAGAACAAAUUAAUUUACCUACCUACUAUUUGAAAUGUUCAUUUCUAAUGAUGCAAAAUGUCACAGCCCGUCCCAAAGUUUUACACUCGUGAUUGUAAAUUGACGGAAUUGCCCUUAAACGUGAUUAAGAUAUGUGAAUUAUAUAUUGGUGAAAUAUAUGUUCCUAAGUUAUUUGGAUAUGGAAUUUUGUGAUUUGGGGUUAGGUAGGACCACACACCUCAAAUCCCUCCCUAUUUCCCGUACCCUGUCUCUCUCUCUCCUCCCUCACAAUCUCUCAUUCUCUGUCUCUCUCCUUCGAACUCAAACGGACGAGACCCAAAGACCGUCGAAACUUCCACCAACGACGGAGUUAAGACCACCAUCAAACUCCUGGAACCUCCACGAUCAUGAUGGUAUCCAUUUCAAGUAAGUUUUGCUUCGGAAAACCCUAGUUUCAAAGUUCCCGUGAAAUGGUACUGUUCAUGAUCUUCUAAAUGACUACGUUUUAGGCUAAAACAAGAUCACAGCGAGCUUAGUGAGGUCCCAAGGAAGCUCGGAGUGCUUCGUUGGAAGUUUUUGGACGUAAGAACACGGAGAUCGACAAGUUCAAAGUUUGGCCGGAGCUUUCGAGGAAUUUUCCGGCGAAUCCCCGGUGAGUUAGGAGUCGAGGUAGGUAUCCAUCUCUUCGUCUCGUCAAGUACUACAACUUUCCUUUUUGUUUCACUCAAUUUCGUUGAGUAUUGAAGAAGUUAUACUCAUUUGAAAAAUACCCAGUUUCCGGCGACCUCCGAGGCUUUCGAGGCAGUUUCCGGCCAAACCACGGCGAACUAGGUGUUGUGCAAGGUACCAUUCUCUUUGUCUCUUCAAGGGCUACAACUUUCGUUUUUGAAUCACUUGAUUUCGUUGAGAAAUGACAAAGUUAUGGCAAUUUGAAAAACUGCCCAGAAACGGCCGCCGGAAAAACCAGUCCGGCGACCCAAGGAAGAAGAAGGUGCGCGUGGGGGCGCGUGGACCCGUGCCUUCCUUGGCGCGUGGGGGCGCGUGCUACAGUAAAAAUUAUUUUAAAAAUAUGGCGACGUCCGUGACGUCGAGUAGAUUGGGACUCCGAUUUGCGGAUCUUCCGAAAUUGGAGUUGUAAGUCCAUAAUAUAGAAUGUUAACCGUCACCUAGUUUUGUUAAUUGACGGAGAUCCGACCGUUGGAUGGUAAUGAAAUUUUAGGAGGUUAUCCUAGAGAUAUAUUGUGGACCUCUGGAAGUUAUGGAUUUAAAAUCCGAGUGGUGGAUCUUCCGGAUCGAUCUACGUAGUGACGUAUUUUAUAUAAGUUAUAUAUUCUAUCACUAUGAAUUCUGAGGUUGGAAUUGAUUAUUGUUUUAGGCGCCGAUCGUCAUGACGCCUUGGCGUAUUGUGCUAGGGAGUUGUAGGGCGAACUCCAGGUGAGUGGGCAGUUUUGUUUUCCGUAUAUAUAUAUACUUGACGUUUUCCCAGAAAUUGAAAUUUAAUGAAAGUAUGCUUUAAAUGCAAUGUAUAAAAUUAUAUGAAAAGUAUAUAGAAAUGUGAAUCGAAAUGCCAUGCAUGAAAUGAUAUGAAAAGUAUGAAUUGAGAUAUGAUGCAUAUGUAUGAAUUGGUGCUGUGGACGCACAGGUGAGUAUAAGGUGAGUAUAUUACUGCUAUGAUGAUGUUGAGAUAUAUUGAGCUCAUAACCUGCACCUUGGUAUUAGUGCUUAUUAUUAUUCACCGCAUCGCAUGCUCACCUUGGAUCCAAGUAGAUGCUAGUCGUACAGACCACCGGGGGUGGUUCCGACAUGCCAGUCGUAUAGACCAUUAGAGGGGUUCCGACUGGUAGGUGACCUUAGAUUAUGUGCACAGAUGAUUGAUGAGAGAAGCACUAGAGCAUAUUAUUCUACCAUUAAGUCGUACAGAUUACAUUAGGUAAUUCCGACUUAUGUGCAGUAUAGUGCCGUACAGGUCAUACUAGGUGACUCCGGCAUGGCCGUAUAGGUCACAGUUGGUAUCUCCGGCUAGAUGAUAUUUUGAGCUCUAGGUUCAACCGUACAGGGCCAUUAGAGGGCCUCCGGUUGAUUACUUUCUUGCACCUGAUAUGAUUAUUGUUGAUGCAUCCAUACUUAACUGUUGAAUUAGACAUGGCAUGGCAUGAUUGAUAAAGAAAAAUGUUGAGAUAGUAAAAAUGAAGUUUUGAGAAUAUAUAUGUAUAUUUAUAUUUUACAUUUCUGGGAAAGUAUACAAGUUUUACGGAGAGGGGUUACAACGUUUUGAGAAAUGUUUGGAUUUGGAAAAGAAUUGUUUUACUGACCCACUCAAUUUUGGUUUUGCGCCCCUCCAGGUUCAGGAAUCACAAAGAUGUGGUGACUACGAGGAAUUCGACGGUGUUCUGACAGAUUGGACAAAAUUAGGACUCACCUUCGGGUGUAUCAACUUAUAAAUUGUAUAAUUAAAGCUUCCGUACUGUGCAAAUGGUUACGUCACUCUCACGUGAUGGCCAUCAUGCCCUCAUUCGGGACGGGGUGUGUCACAAAAUGUUCAUUACCUAACUACAAAUUAAUUUCCAAUAAUUUACCUACAACAAUUAUACCAUGGGUGUAAUGUAAUAUCUUUCUUUACAAUGGUACAAAAUAUUGUAUGUACCAACAACAAAACAUGCCUAACAUAAGUACUUGUACAUGGAAAAUAAUUUAACUAUAACAAAAGAAAUGCAGUGUGAUGUAUAAAAUCAACAAUAUUAUGUUCCACUCAUGUUUAUAUAAUAACAAAACUUGUCUAAUAUAUAUAACAAUACAUAUAAAAUAGUUUACCUACAUGUUAGAGGAAUGUUAUUUGAUUCAAAAUAUAUAAUAUAGGUGUAUUAUUUUUUUUCUAAAUAAUUGGAACAAACUAAUUUACCUACCAAUUAAUAUAGGUAAAAUUGCUACAAAAUAUAUCACGAAAAAAAAACUACUUUUCUAGUUUGACAUGGAUACGGUUAAUGCAAACACUUUUUACAUUUUAUUUCACUUUUUCUACUACUUUUAAUUUGGCAUAAAUUUAGGAAUUUGGAAAAUGGACCAUAAAGUAUGAGUGGCAUGAGUGUAAAUAAAUUGUAUUAAUAGGUCAAUAGUGUUCCCAUAUGUUUGCAAAUUUUAAAUUUGGGCUUAAAAUGAAUCUUUAAAGAUAGAUGAGUUUUUAUCUAGAAAUAUUGAGUUGUAAGGGCCAAAAUCUAAAGGACCCUUUAUAUUACAUCUAAAGCCUAAAAACAACUAUCAAACUCACAUUUCUUUUGAUUUCUAUAUAAAACAAACUUGUACACAAAUCAAACGAAUUUAAGCACAAUCUCAAAUUCAAGCUCCAAAUAAUUAGUGAGGAAAAAGUGAAUCACUUACCAGGUUCCCUGAGGAGACCUUGAGUUUCCUGUGGGAUACCCAAAAAUCAUAGAAAAAUAACAAAGGAAAAGUCCACAUCCGAGAGGAGUCCAUGAUGCAGUGGUUGUCCAGUUGACAGACGAUAUCCAUCGACGGAGUCUGAGAGAGGCAAAAAUGGGUUUGUUUGAAUCUGAACCAGAUCAAAUCCCCUUUUGAUUAUAACCCAAAAGAGAAAAAAGCUCAGUUCCCUUUUUGUUUCAAAUGAACCCUAACCCUAACAUUAAUCACAAAUUUAUUAACUAAAUUAACCAAUACAAGUUCUAAGUUCUUACCAUUUUACCUGGAACGAAGUGGAGAGGAAGAAAUCGCAUUAUGUAGGCACUGAACUGAAGGGGAACUGGGGAUGAUAUGAGAGUUGAGGCCGAUUGAUUUGUAGAUUAUGUGUGAAGAAGAAGGAUUUGCAGAGUAUGUGAGAAUGUGUGAACUCGACUUGAGACUUGAGUUGAGAGUGUGUGUAAUUUGAUGGGGAAGGAUUUGCACAUUCUAUUUCUGCAUGAGAUGUGAACUCGACUUGAGAAUUGGGAUGAGAGAGAGAGAGAGAGAGAGAGAGAGAGAGAGAGGCGUGAAGAUUGAGGAAAGUGUUUUUUUUUUAAUUUUGUUUAAAACAUUAUUUUAAACAAAGGGCAGAAAAAAUCUACCUUUACUUUAAAUAUAUUAAAUUAUAAGGCACGAUGACAUUUAUGGUGUCAUUGCAAAUUAAUAAAAAAUCUCUAUCACUGACCUUAAAGGCACAAAAGUCAUGGUCUCUAUCACGGAAUGAGCAUUGUUCCACCCUCUUGGUGUUUAAACAGACACAAACACCUCAUUUGUGUCCCUAAUUUUGUGCCCAAAAACGUGGUAGUGUUGCAAACUCUUGUGCAAAGCUUAUGCUUCUGUGUUACAUAAUUAUUACAUGGGUAGAUUGUUGGAGUGUAGGAAGUGUUAGGAAAGUUACUAAAGGCUUGGAAGUAUGGAACUUUUUCAUCUUUUGAAACUUUUGGGAUUUCAAUUAUUAAUUAUCUACAUGUAAUGCUUUCUCUAGUAGAACAUUUGACAUUUGAACUUUAAGAAUGUCUGAAUGUGAUAUUUAAGUAUCUAUAUGUACUGCCUUCUCCGUUAGAUCUUUUGAACUUUGGAACUUUUAAUCUUUUGGAACUUUUGGAUUGUAAUAUUUUGAAAAUUUGAAGCUUUGAUGAAUUUCUUUUUUUAUAACUUUAAGAAUGUUUGAAUGUUAAACUUUGAAUUUAACUAGUGUUCACACAAACCGAAAACCGACCCAAACCAACCCGUCAUUGUUGGUUAACCGACGUUAUCGAUUUUAGACCCAACUUCAUCGGUUUCGGUUUGCAAUUUUGACUUAACCAACUAGGUCGGUUUGGUUUCGAUUUUGGCCCAAAACCGAUCCAACCCAACCCGCGUCCACCCCUAUUUUGUACCACAUAAUUCUAAAGAAUAAACAAUCAUGAAAACAAAACAAAACUCAAUGAGAUUGAAAAAAUUUGAUACUGAACUGCUGAAGACAAACUAAACAACCACAAAAUUCUGCCUAUGGUGACUUAUGGGAGAGACAAGAAUGUUUCUACUUUAGUAAGUAGAUGACCGAGAGAGAGAGAGAGAGAGAGAGAGAGAGCAAAAAAAAAUCCGUUGCUUUUUCUGGCAACAAAUAUUCGAAAGCUUCACAUGGAACACUUGUCCUCAAUUUGUACCAAUUUAGAAUUAAGAGGAUUUUUUAAUUCAGAAAUUUUAUUUGAAUUUAUAUAACUUUACUUUACACCAAACUUAAAUUUAUUUGUAAAUUAUUUUUCUUACUUUAUUAUGUAAUUACAAUCAGGUACGAGAUAAAAUUAACAAUUAAACUAAAAAUUAUCAAAAAAAGCCACACCCGAUGAUCAAAUCAUUACAAUCACGCAAUCUUUAUCUCGUACCUGAUUGUAAUUACAUAAUAAAGUAAGAAAAAUAAUUUACAAAUAAAUUUAAGUUUGGUGUAAUUUAGUGCUAGCAUAUGCAGUUGCAGCUGGUUUGAGUUUUCCAUAUUCUUUUUGUCAUAGAAGUUGGGGAGGAAUAAACUAAAAGAAAUUCUGAAAAUGUUCUGUGAAAAAAUUCCUAGUCCUAGCAGUGAUGCUCUGUCCAUAGCUUUUGCUUUGCUGUGCUAUGAACUUGCAAAGAUUCUAGAGGAAAUGAGAUUUAUCGAGAGCAACGCUCGAGAAGAAAACGUAUGCUUCGAUUUUGGGUUUUUAAUUUUAAGUGGGUGUAAAAAUACGUUUAUGUAUUGAAAUGAGUUUGUGAAGGUAAUUUAUAUAGUAAAUUUGGGUUUAAAAAUACAUUGAUAGUUUAAUUAAAAAUAAUUUAGGUGUAGAAUAAAAUUGUAGAGUAAAUUGUAGCAAUGGUCCCUGAACUUUACUCAAAUUGGACCAAUGGUCCCUCAACUAAAAAUCCAUUACCAUUGGUCCCUCAACUUAUCAAAAUGUGUAGCUAUAGUCAUUUUCAUUAAUUUCUUCAAAAUUUUGUCAAAAUAUGUUAUGUUAGAAUAACCAUUUAUUUAAUUAGGGUCCCUCAACUCAUCAAAGUGUGUAAUUAUGGUCAUUUUUGUCAACUACGUAAAAAAUUUUGUCAAAACGAGUUAUGUUUGAAGGACCAUAGCUACAAUUGGGACAAAGUUAAGGGACAAUUUCUCCAGUUGAAUUAAAAUUGAAGGACCAAAGGUAAUGGAUUUUUAGUUGAGGGACCAUAGCUGCACGUUUUAAUGAGUUGAAGGACCAAUGUUAAUGAAUUUUUAGUUGAAUGACCAUUGCUCCAAUUUGAGUAAAGUUUAAGGACCAUAGCUACAAUUUACUCAAAAUUGUAUGGGUUCAAAUAAAAUUUCUCUUUUCAAUUUCAUAUAGUUGAGGGAAGAGAUAAUCAGGGAGAUGUAAAAAGAUGCUGAAAUUAAAAUAGAUAAUAGAUUAAGGAUUGGUUUGAGAUUGUGGUGCUUUAAAAAAACAUUUUAUUACAAAAUCUGGAACAUCAAAUAUUUUUGGUAAAACAAAAAUAAAAAGUUUUUUUUAAUUGCAAUAACAGUAUAAAAAAAAGCAUAAGUAGGGUCUACCAUAUUUUUUUUUUAACAACGAUAUUAUUUACACUAAGGGGGAUGAGGUGGGCUUAGCCUCACAAUGUGCUAGUAAUAAUGUAAUUCAGAUUCACCUUUGACGAGAGUUGAACUUAAGAUCUCUCACUUACAAAUGAAGAGAAAUAUUAUUAGACAGUAGUACUAAGUGGCAGGUCUACCAUGCUUCUAAAAAAAUGUUUUUUCUCCAAAGCAUAGUAAUCAGUGCCCCUUUAAUGAAAAUUUUAAAUGGCAAAUAUACCCCUAAAUAUUUUGCAAAAUUACAAUCUUUGCCUCUAUUAUUUUCUGUGCCAGUUAUAUAUCACAUUAAAUAUUAUAUCAUUUUUAGUCAUUUAACAUAUUCAUAACAAUUUAUAUAAAAGUUUACCAAAUACUUAGACACUGUUUUUUUUUGUUAAAAGCACUUCUACAAAAAAAAAAAAAAAAAAAACCCCAAACACUCAACAACUUUAUCUUACGGUAGUUAAUUCUUAUAGUACAGCAAAAGCAGUUUUAUUUUAUUUUAUUUUUUAUUUCUAUAAAAAAAAAACACAGCAAUACCCUUAAGGGUUCGUUUAUAAGUGCUUUUAAAAUGAUUAAAAGCGCUUUUAGAGAAAAAUGUUUUUUAAGUUCCAAAAGCAUUUGAAAUGCUUCUAAAAAAACUUCAAUUUAUGUGCUUCUUCUAUAAAGCACUUCAAGUGUUUUUCCAAGAUUUACUUGCGUUUUUACUAAGGAUUGAUUCUAAAAAUAUUUUCAUCAAAACUGCUUUAGAGAGGCCUUCCAAAACUACAGGGACCUUGAAAUUGGCGCCAAUCUAGAUAAUCGGAUAAACUUUGAAACUGCUAAAGUUUAUGGAAGCAAGUAUUUCAAGGGUAAUUUUGAAAGAUUGGUACGUGUCAAAACUGCGGUUCAUACCCUAAAUUUCUUCAAGCAUGAGCAAAGCAUCCCACCACUUUAGAGAGGGAGAGACAAGACUGAAAGAAUAAAGGAUAUGAAACUAAUUGUAUGCCACAAUUUUCUUGUUUCGAUAAUACUUUGAAGAGUUAAACUCUGUUUACUAUCCUUAUGUUUCGUGAUUUUCAACAUUAGUAUAUCAAGCUUUCGUCCCAAAGUCAUACCUAAAGUGUAAAUUUUGGGACAGUCUCAUACAUCCAUUAGUCAAACUAUUAAUUCUCCCGUUAAGUGAUAACGUGGUGCCCAUGUGGACAAUGAUUGGGCGCCACGUGUCAUUAAGGGUCCACGUGGAAUUUUUUUUCUUUUUUUUUUCUUUCUUUUUCUUUUUUCUUUCUUUCUUCUCGGUUGAUGUGGAAUUUUUAUUUAUUCUUCUUCUUUUUCUUUUUCUUCUUCUUUUUUCUUUGAAUCUAUGAUUUGGGGAUAAAUCUAGGGUUUCAGUUUUCCUCCCCAUUUUCGUUCUUCCACAACUAAAAAUCAUCACAAAACAACCACCAAAGAUCAAAUCUUUACACUAAACUGUUAUGAACUGGUUGUGAUUGUCUUAAUCACAAAGAGGUUUUAGCUAAUAACAGUAAGGGCUAAAUUGUAAGGUAGUUAAGGGUAAUUGUAAGGAGUUAAGCAUGGGGGGUUCAAUUGUAAUGAGCCAAGAAUUAUUAGAGGUUUUAGAAAUUACUAAGAGUAGUGUCCAGGUGGCAUUCUUGUAUUGGGAAUUAUGCAGCAUGAGGGUUAUACAUGCUCCUGAGUUGAUAGUAACAGGCAGAUUUGGAAAUUAAUAGAAUAUUUUGUGUUCCCUUUCUCUUUGUCCUCUCGCCAUUUCCAUACUACCUAGCUACCAGUGAGAUUGAUUCUCCGGCACCGGUGUGAUCUUAACAUUGGUAUCAAAGCCUAGGUGCCCGACGCUGCGGGUCUUGGUGACGUGACGUGCCGCCUCGUGAUUACCGCCUUAGGAGUAUGGGCUCCAAGGGACUUGGUGACGAGGGACUGGGCGAGAUGAUUACUGUCGUGGGCGUAAGGCUUCCGAAGGAUGGUGUAAUGUUAUGAUCCCACAUCGACUACACAUAUAGGAGUGUAGGGGUUCUUAAGUCUUUGGGGUCCUCCUAGCUAUUGGACUAGUCUUUUGGGUUGGGCUCUUCCCUUGGGCUUGAGUACCUAACAUUGGUAUCACCCUCCGAUCCUGUAUUUUCUCUUCCGUGCAUGCUCCGUCCUAAACCAAACACUUUUUCAAACACCAUGGAUGCUCGUUUUGCCGCUUUCGAAGCUGACUUUCCAUCCAUCAUUCGUGAGGCGGUGAAAUCCACUUUGGAUGAUCAAUUCUCCUCUCGGCUAGACGCACGUCUUCCUGUAUAUUUUGAGCAAUUCUGUCGUGAGCUCCACCAUGAAUUUCCCAGUCGUCGGGAGGGUGAAGGGUCCUUUCACCCACCAACUUCCGAUUUCCUUGCUCCUCCAGAUCUGGCACAACUUCAGCCACCUCACAGUCCUGGAAAAUAGCUUCCCCGACCGCCUUGGCAACAGCGGCUCGAAUUUCCCCGUUUAACUAAAGGUGACGAUCUCAUUGCUUGGAUCUACAAAGCGGAGCAGUUUUUUACCUUCUACGGGAUCCCGGACGCUCACCAUGUUCACACUGCUUUCUUCCAUUUUGAGGGGGAGCUUCUUCACUGGUUUCAUUGGAUUGAUUGUACCAACACCACACCCACUUGGCCGGAGUUUACCCAAGCUCUUUGUCGCGAGUUUGGACCAUCUGAAUUUGAUGAGAGUGCCGAAGCUCUUUUCAAACUUCGACACACAGGUACUCUUCGUGAUUACAUCGCUGAAUUUUGCCAUUUGGCUACUCGAUCACCGGAGAUUAGUCCUCUUUUAUUACGUAGUUGCUUUCUUAGGGGGUUAAAAAAGGAACUGGGCUACGAUGUUAAGUUGUUGAAACUUGCAACUGUGCAUGAGGCUAUUGCCAUUGCAGUGCAACUCGAUUCAAAACUCACUUAGCUGAAAUUACCUCCACCUCGGCCUUCUACAUACUCUAAACUCUCCUCUACCACCGUCACUCCUCUUUCCCAUACCCUGCCUAAAACUAACAACCUUGCUAUUAAGAAAUUGACUCCUGCUGAGAUUCAAAGGAAAAGGGAACGUGGUGAAUGUUGGUUCUGCAAUGACAAGUAGGUCCCUGGGCAUAAGUACAGCCUAAAGCAACUGCUUAUGAUGGAAAUAUCUGAUUCCGAAGUUUCAGAAGAUGAUAUAAGGGUGGAUCAACCUGAAUUUCAAAACAUAGAGCUCAAUGAGUGUGCGUUUUAUAGCACAAAUGGCUGCCUUACAGCUCAAACUAUGAAGGUGCUUGGUCAAGUUAAUGGCCACACCGUGAAGAUCUUACUCGAUUCGGGUAGUUCUCUCAACUUUGUUGAUUCCAAACUAUUAAAACAAUGUGGAUGGCAAGCUCACACUACCAGGUCUUUUGAAGUCAUGAUCGCGGAUAGGGGCAAUAUUACAAGUUUUGGUUGUUGCAAGGCCAUGGAGUUAACUUUAGCAGGGUAUCAUUGUUCUACAGAUUUGUAUUCCCUGCUACUUGGUGGUUGUGAUGUGGUUUUAGGGGUGCAAUGGCUUUCCACCGUCAGUACUGUGUUAAGGGAUUUCCAGCUCCUUACUAUGAAGUUCACUAAAAACCACCAUACUUAUAAGUUGUCUCAUCAUUCCUCCAAUGCCUCAAGCAUUCACGAAGUCUCAUUGCAUCAGCUUCAAAAAGAGUUAACUCACUCUAAUUUGGGAUUGUUCUUGUACUCCAUGGAAAAUGAGAAGUUCGAAUCCUGUGAAUUGAGUUCAGUUCAGUUGCAGGAAUUGCAGCACCUAUUGCAUGACUUCGAGGCUAUUUUUGUCGUGCUACUCAGUUACCUCCUCCACGAAACCAUGAUCAUCACAUUCCUCUGCUGCAAGGGGCAAAACCACCAAGCAUUCAACCAUACCACUACGGACCAUUGCAAAAAAUCGAAAUCGAAAAGGAAGUUCAAGAGCUACUCGAGGCCGGGUUCAUAAGGCAAAGCCAUAGUCCAUUCUCUUUUCCUGUGCUAUUAGUGAAGAAGAAGAAUGACACUUGGCGAAUGUGCAUUGAUUAUAGGGAGCUCAAUGUCCUCACUAUUAAGGAUAAGUACCCUAUACCCCUUAUUGAUGAUUUAUUGGAUGAAUUGCUUGGAUCCCUCUAUUUCUCUAUGUUGGACUUGCGCUCUGGAUAUCACCAGAUAUUAAUGCAACUUGGAGACAUUGAAAAAACUGCAUUUAGGACUCAUAAGGGCCACUAUGAGUUCCUAGUAAUGCCUUUUGGGCUUACAAAUGCUCCUACUACAUUUCAAAGUUUGAUGAACGAUGUGUUUAAGCCUCAUUUGAGGAAAUUUGUGUUAGUCUUCUUUGAUGACAUCCUCAUUUAUAGUAAGACCUGGGAGGCUCAUUUGGCUCACUUGAAAGCGGUGUUUGAGCGUUUACAAGCCAAUCAACUAUUUCUCAAGAAAUCCAAAUGUUCAUUUGGACAAAAUCGGGUGGAGUAUUUGAGACAUGUUGUAUCUCGAGAAGGAGUGGCACCUGACCCUGGAAAAAUCCACGUUAUACAAAACUAACCUGCACCAAAAACUGUCAAGGACUUGAGGGGCUUCUUAGGUUUAACAGGCUACUAUCGAAAGUUUGUCCCGGGCUAUAGUAAAAUUUGCCAGCCUUUAUAUCGAUUGAUAAAGAAGGAUGGGUUCCAUUGAACUGCAGAAACUCAGUAAGCCUUUGAUAAGCUUAAGGUCGCCAUGAUUUCUCCACAAGUUUUGGCUUUAUCGGAUUUUUCGAAACCAUUUGAAGUGGAAUAUGAUGCUUCUGGUUGUGGUAUUGGAGCUGUGUUGUAACAAGGUGGACGGCCUAUUGCUUUUUCCAGCCAGUCAUUUGGCCCAAGGAAACAAGCAUUUUCCACUUAUGAGAAAGAGUUGAUUGCCGUGGUCUCUGCAGUGAAGAAAUGGUAGAAUUAUUUACAGGGAAGGCAUUUCAUCAUCAAGACUGAUCAUAGCAGUCUUAAAUACUUCCUGCAUCAACGAGCUAACACUGCAUUUCAACAGAAAUGGGUUUCUAAGUUACUGGGGUAUGAUUAUGAGAUCCAAUUCAAAAGUGGAUCCCAAAAUGCCGCUGCCGAUUCAUUGUCUCGAUUACAUGGAGUGACUCAAUUACAUAAACCUGCUCCUCGAUUCAUGGGGGAAUGCAAUGCCAUUUCUUACCCUUACAAUGGUUGGAUGGAUGACUUGAGAAGAAGUACUGAACGAGAUGAGUGGGUUGUAGCAAAGAAAAAAGAAGUGGUUGAAUCUGCAAUGAAUGGCACAUGAGGAUUUACUUUGGGAAAGUGCACUGUCGAUAAUGGUUUGUUGUUUUACAAGAAGAGGGUGGUGUUAAGCCCUCACUCUGAGUGGAGAAGGAAGAUCCUAGAAGAGCACCAUUGUACUCCAUUGGCUGGUUAUUAAGGGGUCCUAAAAACAUACUACAGGAUCAAGAUGAGCUUCUAUUGGCAAGGAAUGAAGAAAGAUAUUCAGAACUAUGUAGCAAAUUGUCAAGUGUGCUAACAAAACAAAGUGGUGACCAUUGCCCCACCAGGAAUGCUGCAACCUUUGCCAAUUCCUCAAAGAAUUUGGACAGACAUCAGCAUGGAUUUCAUAAUGGGGUUACCUCUAUGCAAGGGUAAAUCGAUGAUAUUAGUGGUAGUUGACAGAUUAUCCAAGAGUGUUCAUUUCAUAGCUAUGGCUCAUCCUUACACUGCAAUCAUAGUAGCACAUGCCUUUGUUGAUAAUGUCCUAAAACUACAUGGUAUACCAAGUUCAGUGGUCAGUGAUAGAGAUCUCAUCUUUGUAAGUGCUUUUUGGAGGGAAUUGUUCAAACUACAGGGGUUAAAAUUGUGUAUGAGCUCGGGCUACCAUCCUCAAAGCGAUGGACAAACGAAAGUGAUGAACUAGUGCCUUGAAACCUAUUUGAGAUGUUUUGUUGGCGGACAACCAAUGAGAUGGGUUCAAUGGCUUCCUUGGGCUGAAUGGUGUUUCAACACUUCUUACCAUUCAUCAGCCAAGUUCACACCCUUUGAGUUAGUCUACGACUACCCACUACCCCAAAGUCUACCCUAUGAAUUUGGUACUGCAAGGGUGGAAAUAAUGGAACAAAGUUUCUUGGAAAGGGAUAAGGUCUUAUCUGUUUUAAAAAACAACCUGGAAUUGGCUCAAAAUCGCAUGAAGGUGCAGCAUGAUAAAAGAGAACUGAAAGGCAAUUUGAAGUGGGAGAUUUCGUGUAUCUGAAGUUAGUUCCUUAUCAGUUGUAGGCUAUAUCCCCUCACAGUUACCAUAAGCUUCAACCAAGGUACUAUGGGCCUUAUGAGAUUUGUGAGAAGAUUGGUAAGGUAGCCUAUAAACUAAAUCUGCCAACUAACACGAAAAUCCACCUUGUAUUCCAUGUGAGUCAUUUGAAGAAACAAUUAGGGAGUAAUGUGAUGCCUCAGAAUGUCCUACCUCAGGUGGUCGAAGAUGGGUUAACAAGAAACACACCAGUGGCAGUGUUGGCAAGAAGGAUUUAUAAGAAAGGCAAUGUUGCAGAGGUCCAGUUGUUAGUGAAGUGGCAGGAUCAAGAGGAAUCGGAGGCUACUUGGGAAGAUUUUGAUGAGUUUAGGGCUAAAUACCCUACAUUUCAACUCUAAGCAAACCUUGAGGACAAGGUUUUAUAGGGGGAAGGUAUUGUUAUGAACUGGUUGUGAUUGUCUUAAUCACAAAGAUAUUUUAGCUAAUAACAGUAAGGGCUAAAUUGUAAGGUAGUUAAGGGUAAUUGUAAGGAGUUAAGCAUAGGGGGUUCAAUUGUAACGAGCCAAGAAUUAUUAGAGGUUUUAGAAAUUACUAAUAGUAGUGUCCAGGUGGCAUUCUUGUAUUGGGGAUUAUGCAGCAUGAGGGGUAUACAUGCUCCCGAGUUGAUUGUAACAGGCAGAUUUGGAAAUUAAUAGAAUAUUCCUUGUUCCCUUUCUCUUUGUCCUCUCGCCAUUUCCAUACUACCUAGCUACCGGUGAGAUUGAGGGCUGGUUUGGUAUUGCUGUGCUUUGAAAAAAAGUUGUUGUGAGAAUAAGCGGCUGUGCUGUGAGAAUAAGCGGCUGUGAAAUAAAUCAGCAGAGUGUUUGGUAAACUUUUUUGUAAAAGUGCUUUUGGAAAAAAAAGCAGUCUAAUAGUGGGUCUUUUCAUUAAAUAAGCAUUGUAGCUCCGUGUGCUUUGAAAAAAAGCCAGUUUUCCAAAGCUACAAAUAGUAGCUUCAGGUUUUUCCUUUGAUUUCAGCUUAUUCUCACAGCAGCUUCCAAAAUAAGCAUUUUUUCAGUUUACCAAACACCUAAAACCCUCACAGCUUUUUUUCAUGGGUGCUUUUUUUUUAAGCACCUCACUCCCAAACUAGGUCUGAUUCUCCGGCACCGUUGUGAUCUUAACAUAAACCCCAUGUGAUUAGCACAACCCAAUAAUCAAAAUCAUCUAAAAAACACAAAAACCAACAAAAGGGCAGCUAAAUUUCACAAUUUUGGAACUGGGUUUCUUCAAGAUUCAGAAGGAAGUACCCAAAAAAAAUUGAUCUGGGUAUUGAGAAAGUGAGUGAAAGAAAGAGAUUUUCCAGAGAAAGUGAUAAAAUUGUUCAAAAGAAAAAAAAAGUGAGACGGGAAAAAAGAAAAUGGACGAGAUUUGAAUUUGAUGGACUAGAUAUGGGAGCGAGCCGUUGAGAUAGCGCUAGAGGGUCAGACUGACCAGGCUGCGGCUUGAGCCCUAACCCUUGAUCGCGCCCAGAACCACGCACAUCCCCGAUGCCACCGCCGUGAUCCGACCAAAAACCGAGUCGCACUUGACCUGCAUAUUCAACAUCUGCACCGACGCCGGGGGAAGAGGAUGAGGGUUGAGUGGCUGGAGUCGAAGAGGGAUGGGAAGGAUGGAUGUGCAGAGGUUGGGUGGGUGUAGAGGAGAAAAGGGAGGGAGGGUCCGGCGGGGGGGGGGGGUCGAGGAAGAAGAUGCCCAUUAUGUUUUUCAAUUUUUUUACCCCUCCUCUGUAGAGAAGAAAGAAAGAAGAAAAGAAAGAAGAAUAAAUAAAAAUUCCACAUCAACCGAGAAGAAAGAAAGAAAAAGAAAGAAAAAAAAAGGAAAAAAAAAUUCACGUGGACCCUUAAUGACAAGUGGCGUCCAGUCAUUAUCCACAUGGGUUCCACGUCAUCACUUAACGGGAGAAUUAACAGUUUGACCAACGGAUGUAUGAGACUGUCCCAAAAUUUACACUUUAGGUAUGACUCUAGGAAAAAACUUGAUGUACUAAAUGUUGAAAAUCACAAAACAUGAGAGUAGUAAACAUAGUUUAACCCUACUUUGAAUAUGUUAAUUAUUCUCAUUUUCUUUUGAAAGUAUAAAAAAAUUGGUCAGAACAAUUUAGGCUCUCAAUAAUUAUUCCUAAUUGUUUUGAUAUACGUUGAUUGGUUUGUUCUCUAAUGAUGCACAAAACAAGAUAAUACAGUUAAAAAUCACUGUAAUACAUGCAUAUGUUUGACAAUGUUUAUAUAAAUGCCGAUUAAGUGUUGUGCGGAAGCGUCAAAUAUGAAACCAAUAAGCUAAUACGGUAAAAUAUGACAAGACAAAUAAUCCAAAGGACACAAUAAUUUAUACUGGUUCGGCGUAAGCCUACGUCCAGUUCCAAGACGGCGAGGAAAUUCCACUAAUAUCAAAAGGAGAUUACAAAUAGAGUUCAACACUCAAACCCAAAUCUCACAUACACCCAAUAGCUCUCACUCUCACAAAGAACAAAUGGAGAAGAUGGAAACAUAUACCAAAUUCCUUCUCUCCCAACAGCCACAAAAUGUAGUACAAUUAUCUUUGGUUGAGUGAUCACUAACAAAGGGGAUUACAAACAAAUGGGAGAAUAGAAAACAGCAACCUUUCUAUUUUUCUCUCUAAUCUGCCAUUUUUCUUUUCUCGGCUUCUCCUCAAACAUAUAGCAGCUGCUGCCUUGAAAAUACCAAAAGAAAAGCUCUUGACUUUUCUUCCCUGAGCCAACAUCCUAACAAAUUACAUCAUUGCUGCCUUUUCUCUUUUUUGCUUGCUUUCGGCUGCACUUCUUUUCUGCUACCUUUCUGCUGCUUUUCUGCAGCUUGUCUUCUGACCAAAAGGCAUGAAUUGCCUUAUAUAAGGCUGGUGCCUUUUUAAUUAAUACCCUAGCUGUCAUGUGGCUUCAAAUGGGUAACAAAAGGCCAAACCUAUUUGGGCUUGAGACAAAAAAACUAAAGGCCCAAGAAGUAUUGAGCCACAAAAUCCAACAUUAAGUACUUAAGCGUAAAUCAAACCCAAAUCAUUCCUAUACGAGUCGAUUUACACUAUAUUUAGGAAACUACAGCAAGUGGCCAUGUGGGAUUUCAUGUCAGGUAUGCUAUUUGGUCUUGGGUUCGAGGCACAAAUUUGGCAAAAACACAGAUGAUUCAAUGGUUGAAAACUUCAUGUGUCAUUUGACUAUGAUCAGGAGUGGAAUGAAAUACCUAUAGCCUCUGCGGUCCAUUGAAGCCAAAGAACCUGGAAAUUGUUUGUAGUGUUGAUGGGACGCUGGAGGUAGAAGCAGCAACUUUGAUCAGCGAUGCCUGCGAGGGACAGCGGCAAGCACCAGCGGCGACGACCAUACGACCAAAACCUAGUUCACGAGCCUCAGUUAGAUUUUGGUUAAUUCUUUUGUUUCCGGUUCAGGCGCAUGAAGCGCGUUCUAUUUUGAUUAUGUCUUCCCCUCACCCCUUUCUCUUCUCUCGAAUUUUAGAAAAUAAAUUGGUAUUGAAUUUGCUAUUUACGAAAUUUGAACAUAAUACCUUUUACUGACAAGAGAAAGUUUUUGAAGAAAACUCAAAUAAGAACAAUGAAAUUUAUGAAAAUAUAUGUUAAAAUAUGAGGAUAAUAAGUCAUGUGUAUCCCGAAGAUAAUGAUCAACAAAAAUAAAUAUUUUUUUAUUCAUAAUGUAAAUCAAAUAGCUUAUAUGGUGGGUAUAAUUAUAAUAUGUGAAAAAGAGGAUUAAUAAGCCAUUUACAUGAAGACAUGAAUUAUGUUUCAAUAGGAAAUAUAUCCAUCCAUCUUAAUUAGCUAGAUUAACUUUUCUGCUACAUAAUAAUGCAAUAUUUUUUUUUUUUGUUUUUCGAUUUGUCAUUUUCAUGUAAUACCUGUUAUUUUAUUUGGUUGCGUCGUUCCCAAAGUUCUAAAGACACUAGGCACUAAUUGCGUGGUGAGAUGAAGCUGUCCAGGCGGAUUUAAGUAAAUUUAUUUAUAUCGUAUAAAUAUUUAUACUUAAAAAAAUACAUUAUUGUAUUCACAAGCAAAUCCUCCGUAGGGGUCAUGAUUGUUGCACUACUGUCUAUAUACCAUACAUCACUCUUCUUUUCAACAGUGGAGUGUUGCAUAAAACAAAUUCCCUGUCUCUUCAAUUUGAUUGACAAGGUUCACCUGUUGGGAGACUGCAGUCUUUCGCAAUAUGCCCAAAUUUACUGCAUUUGUGAAACUUGGGUUUCCCUUUGUUCCAACAUUCUCCAUAGUGUAACUUAUCGCAUAUUUUACAAGGUAUUUUGGCAGCUAUGUUACCCUGCCAUUGUUUCACAAGAGAAUGGGUCUUAUUAGGCCAAUGCUUUAACUUUAUUUUGAAAUUCUUCCGAACUUUGCACUACUAGCUUGACCACCAAAUUUGCCAGCUUGCUUGGAUGAGAUUUCCAUGCUAGAGAAUUCCUUAUCAGUGCUACUUUAACUAUGCCUAUUUACUCGUUGUUCAAAUCCUUUCAAGUUCACAACAACAACUUCAGCAUCAAUGGUUUCAAUAGCCUUUAUAUUUUCUAUCACAUAAGCUAUACUAUCAUAGGACUUAGGUAAGCUAAUCAACAAUUUUUGGACAAUACGUUGAUUACUUAACUCCUCACCAUUACUCGUCAUUUGGUUAAUCAAAUCAAACAGUUUCACCAAAUAACCAGAUAAUAUUUCAUCAUCUCCCAUUCUCAAAUAUUCGAAAUCACGUCUAAUACCUUGUAAUUUAGCUAAUCCUCACUUGCUCAUCUCCGAGGAAUUCUUGUUUCAUAACAUCCUAGGCUGCCUUUGUAGUCUCUUGAUUGGCAGUUCUGGAAAAUAUCUUAUCUGAAACUGCACCUUGGAUGAUGCCAAGUGCUCAUGAAUCCUUCAUCAGAUUUUCUAUCAAGCUCUUGCUCUCCAUUUCAGUAAGCUCUUCCUUCUAUACCGGAGUAGUGAAGCCCUUCUCGACCAGAUUCCACAGCUCAUGGGAUCGAAAAAUGGUUGAUUUGCCAGAAAUCAAAAUUAUCUCUGUUGAAAAUCGGAGCUCGAAGCUCCCCUCCACCAGACCCAUCCAUUUUAGACUUGAAUUGAGAGAUAUCAAAACUCGUCAGAGUAAGUAGAAGUUUUAAUUCAGCUCGUCGAAUUUAACAGACUCAAAUGCCUAUAAAUUCAAAUUGAACCUGCCUUUGAGGCCAUGUUAAAAUCAUUCACUGAUAUGCUAGGAGAAAACACAAGUAAUCAAUAAUGGUGAUUUUGGAUCAUAUGGGAGCUACCUCUAGCUUCUAGAUUUCAUUCAAUCAUCACACUGAGCAUGUGAGCUCAUCCAUAACAGAAAAAGGUAAAUAGCCAAAUGGUCUUUGAGAUUUGCAUAACACAUCAUUUUGGUUCCUGAGAUUGAAAAUCAAUAGAAAUGGUCCUUGAGACUGUUCAUCAUCCAUCAUUUUGGUCAUUCCGUUAAAAACUUAGUUAAAUGUUCCGGAGCUCUUGGCCAGAAGUUUAGACAAUUUUCAAAACUUCGUAACUCAAUCAUUUAUUAACCAAAUUCAACCUAUAAUAUAUCAAAAUGAAGAUAGGAAAGUGUAGAACAAUAUUAUACCUAUUUAGAGGCCCAAUGAUUGCCAGAGAUGGCCAGAAAAUAGCCUGAAAGGUGACUAGUCCAAGGAAAAACUGGAAAACUCGCUGGAAACUAAGUAAAUUUAAACGUUUAUAACUUCUUCAAUACUCAACGAAAUUAAGUGAUUCAAAAAUAAAAUCAUACUUCUCAAUGAGACGAAGAAAAUGGUACCUUUUUCAUGGCUAACUUUCCGUGGUGUUUUCGAAAAACGACUCGAAAGUGGCUAACUUGAGACCAAGACAGCCACUUUCGAGCCGUUUUCCGGCCAAACCACGGCGACUUAGCAGUCAAGAAAGGUUUCAAUCUCUUUGUCUCGUUGAGAAGUAUGAUUUUCGUUUUUGAAUCACUCGAUUUUGUUGAGUAUUGAAGAAGUUAUGAACGUUUAAAUUUUAGCCAGUUUCCGACGAGUUUUCCAAUUUUUCCGCGGACCAGUCACAUUUCAAACUAUUUUCUGGCCAUUUCCAGCAAUCAUUGGGCUUCCAAAUAGGUAUAAUUGUGUUCUACACUUUCCUAUCUUCAUUUUGAUAUAUUAUGGGUCGAAUUUGGUUAAGAAACAAUUGAAUUACGAAGCUUUGAAAAUUGCCCAAACUUUCAGUCAAGAGUUUCGGGACAUUUAAUGGAGUUUUUAACGGAAUUACCAGAAUGAUAAAUGGUGGACAAUCUCAAUGACCAUUUCUAUUGAUUUUCAAUCUCAGAUACCAAAGUAAUGUGUUAUGCAAAUCUGAUGGACCAUUUUGACUAUUUAACCUAACAAAAAAUAACUAUUUAGUAACUAGCCUAUGAGCUAAUGGCAAGUAUACAUUCUCGAAGCUAAUGAGCUAUUAAAAAAGGAUAAUACUUGCCUGCUGAUAGGUCAGUAACCAAUUUUUUACUGACCAUUACCUGUCCAUUUGAUUGCUCCAAGCUCCUGCUAUUUUGAUAACCAAACAGCCAACUUGGUCCCAUAACCUGAUAACCAAACAACAUUCUUCUUACUCCUAGAAGCCCUAACAGACAUGACUGACCAACCCUCACCUCCUCCAACCUCUGCCGUCCCACAACCCCACCCUCCUCUUCUUUUCCAGCCUCUUCCCGCCGACCCCACCUCGUCUCCUCCCCAAGCUCUCCACCCGGCGACCCCACCUCAUCUCCUCCCCAAUCUCUCUUCGUCGAUGACCCCAUCCUUUUCUACCCCAAUGCAGCCAUAACAGCAGAGUUUAUUUUCAAGUAUUGUCCAUUGAAAAAACACUCCACCAGAAUAAUUACAUGUGUAUUUUCAGUGUACGGUUUAUAUUUCAACAGGACCUUGUGCAUAGGCCUGAGUGAGAUACAGAAGAAACAGCUGGCACGUGAGCAGCGGCCUCAGAUGGAAGCGGCACAGAAGCAGCAGCUGUCAACUGUGCAUGGUCAGAUGCCGAAGUGUCGCAGGAACUGGUGCGUUGUACGGUGCCCCUACUGUUUAUUAACUACAUUGUAAAAGAUGAAGAAUUGGUACAAAGAAAGAUGAAGAUGAUAGAGAGAAAAACCAGAAAGAUUGUAUUGAUUAAAAUGGAGAAAAUGUAUACAAAAGAACUUAAGGAAAUGAUAGCUAUACAAUUCUUUAUAUAGUCAUAUAACCUAAUUACAAUAAUACCCUUCUAACUAUACUAACCAAUCUUAUCCUUAUGACAACCUACCAACACAUUUCAACUAACUAUAUUCUUCAUUACUAAGUAACCAUGUCAUCACUAAUGACUAUGGUUAAUACUCCCCUCUCAAACUGAACUUGGUGUAGCAAAGUGAAGGUUGAACGAGCUAGAACAUUGAAACUGAUCUGGAACUGCAAGACAAAAAUGACUGCAGGGGCUGUUGUCGUUCAUCAAUUCUGCCAUGUUGGCUAUUUCUCUUUAUUGGUGGUGGUUCUGUGAUGGCACAGGAUGUUCCAAAGUACAUGAUGGUUGCGGGAGAAAGAACUGUGCUUCGUGGUCUUGGUCUGAACAUACCCAACAAAGUUUCGACUGUGAACUGAGAAGCAAUAGUUGACACUGCCAAGAAACUAAAUCUACCAAGGAGAAUGAUACUCCCAAGAAACUAAACUACCACUGAGAAUGACACUCCAAGAAACUAAAUCUACCAAGGAGAAUGACACUCCAAGAAACCAAAUCAACCAAGGAGAAUGACACUCCAAAGCACAACACAAAUCUCACACUUCUACGAAAAAAUACCAAAUAAGGAGACUGACACAUGAACACAAAUCAUACUGCAACUUAGGAGAAUGAAACUCCAAAUCAUACUGCAACUGAGGAGAAUGAAACUCAAAGAUUCAUAGAAAGAAUGACACUUUCUUUGUUAAAACGACAAGAAACUAAUACUUGCAGAGAUCAACACAUUAAGACCACAGCUUCACUUCAAUUAAACCUCGAAAGUACAUCAAAGACCACAGCUUCAAGAAAUUAGCGUUGCAGAUCACCAAACAAUUCCAAAUGACUGCUAUCAACACUUCGAUGAUCUAUCGCACAACCCAUAUACCAGAAUUCAUUUACCAAUUCAGAAAAACACAUAACCAAAAUCCCAAAUCAAAUUCGAGAAAAGUAUCCAGAGGAAGAAAAUAUGGGCAAUUCGUCAAACACUUAGGCUGCACAUAGUCUAAACGUUCUGCCAUACCAGAAAACAGAGCACAGAUCAAAAUCACAGAAAAUCGAAUUCAGAAAACUGCUCUGAAAACACCACCAAGAUGAAUGAAGAAGUAGAUAAUCAACAGUGCAAAGAAAGCAAACUCUGCUGAAUCAUAUAUGCCAUCACGCUGCAGCCAAAGGAAUUGUGGUCUCAUCGAGUUCGUCAGCCUUUCCCAGCAAAAUCGCCAGCUGAAAACAAUCUAACCAUAGCAAUAGGGAUUUGUCUCAGGGAAAUGAACCGAUCAAAGUAUGUCAUGCACAAAUAUGUUGUUCUAGGAUGAAAUCCAAGACCCGUUCUUCUCUGGAAAACCCAUGUGAUGGAUUCCAAUCGAGCGUCCAAAACCCAGGCGGGAAUCACCAAAUCUUCGUCUUUCUCAAACCCAAAUUCGAUCUCUCUGUGGAUUAAGUUCUGCAACUGCUCUUCUUCCCAUGCAAACGCCAUCGUAAUGGUUGUUGAGAUUGCGGAAUGCUUUGUCUUCUACAAAAUCUCCGUUGAAGAGAAAGAUGUGACUUUCUCGGUAAGAAAGGUCCGGCGAUAAAGGAUCACUAUUUUGGUUUCUUUUUCUUUCUAUCUGUUUAUUGCAUUCCGCGCAGAAAAUCUAGUAGGAACAGAGUCGGAUAAUACAAUCCCAAGACUGAAUAAUCCGAGAUUUGGAGAGAGAAAGAAUGGUUGACCAGCAAGACUGAAGCCCAGAAAAUUCUCACUGAGACAUUAUCACAAACAGUUGAUAUGCUGGAAAGAAAACCAGUAAUCGAAAACAAAACCUGAGAACUUGAAUCUUGAAAACCCAGCUGUACGAAAACUCGCUUCUUCAAACCAGGAAGUUCCGGGAAACCCAGUUGUGGCUGUGCCGUUGACAGAGGGCGGUGGGGAUGAAGAUCCACAAAACGAAUCUGGAAUGAGAAUCCGAGUCGGUGUCGAAGAACCCGUCAUCGAUUCCGAAAAUGAAGAACCUAUCGUCAAGUGAUCUCAUUGAGGCACUCGUUCAGGACCUUCUUGUCGAUUACAGUCGUAUUGCUUAUCUGGUGGAGAGCGGAAGCACCGAAGGGCUUGACGGAAAAUUCAAGAAAAUAUAAAGAAACUAAUGAGAAAAGAAGUAAAACUAGAAAUAGACUAAUGAGAAGUGGAACCACCAGAAUCCAUGGCAUGAGCCUGGUGGCUCUGAUACCAUAUUAACUACAUUGUAAAAGAUGAAGAAUUGGUACAAAGAAAGAUGAAGAUGAUAGAGAGAAAAACCAGAAAGAUUGUAUUGAUUAAAAUGGAGAAAAUGUAUACAAAAGAACUUAAGGAAAUGAUAGCUAUACAAUUCCUUAUAUAGCCAUAACCUAAUUACAAUAAUACCCUUCUAACUAUACUAACCAAUCUUAUCCUUAUGACAACCUACCAACACAUUUCAACUAACUAUAUUCUUCAUUACUAAGUAACCAUGUCAUCACUAAUGACUAUGGUAAAUACUGUUAAGAGGGCUAGUGGGGCACAGAGACAGAGGUCACAGGGUGGGGUUGGGGCCGAGUUUUGGGGUCUUCUGGCCAUGUGGGUGACACCGAAGUUGUAGGCAGCAUGGGUGGAGAUAUGACGGCCACAAAAAUGUGUACGUAAGCAAGGCCCAGCACAUGAAUGUGUAUGUAAGCACUCGACUUCAAAUGGUGAUUAACUAAUUAUAUUGGAACGUCCACUCUUGACUUUAUGGCUGUGUUUUAUUGUGCAAUAAGAAAAUAAUAAUUAUAGAAAGAUCAAAAAUUUUAAAUUAAAUUAAAAAUUAAAUAAUAUGUUAUUAAUAAAAAAAUAAACAGUUAUUAACACUUAAUUAAUAAUUGAAUCGUUUACAACCAUUUUAUUUUGUUUAAAAAAUUCGGUCUUCCUCACAUUACCCAUAAGAAAAAUCAAGAUGAAUAUUCAUACAUGACAAGGGAAAAGCAACAAGAAAAUAAAGAUAGUUACACUUGAAGUUUCUAUCAAAAUAUGCCAAAGGAAAAGUAGGAAGCUGCGCAAAUCUCUACGCAGCCCCUAGCUAGUUCUUUAGACCAUCUCUAACCGAAGGGUCCAGAGGGCCAGAGGGCUGAAAAUAGCCCUAAAACCGUCUCCAACCAAAGGCUAGGCCAGAGGGCUCGGGAAUCUGAGAGGGCCCCACGAAAUUUCAAAAGGCCAAAGGGCCACGGGCUGGCUAUAAUUUUUUUUUUAUAGUUUUGUUAUUCCUGUCAGUUAUAACCGACAGAAAUACAUGCUAUUACUUAAUAUACUAAAUAAUGGUGUAUUCUUGUCGAUUUUAACCGACAGGUUUGUUUUAAAAAAAAUUCAAAUGAAACGGCUACUAGCCAUUGCAUUUGAUUUGAUUUUUUUUUUACAUUAUUAUUAUUUUUUUUAAAUUCCAUUUUUUUCCUAUAACUUCUAUUUCACAAAAUUUAUUUCAUAUUUUUUUUAAAUUCCAUUUUUUUCCUAUAACUUCUAUUUCACAAAAUUUAUUUCAUAUUGUUUUUCAAAUUCCAUUUUUUUCCUAUAACUUCUAUUUCACAAAAUUUGUUUCAUAUAUUUUUUUAAAUUCCAUUUUUUUUCCUAUAACUUCUAUUUGACAAAAGUUGUUUCAUAUAUUUUUUUAAAUUUUAUUUUUUUUCCCUAUAACUUCCUAAUUCAUUAUACAACAUUAAAUUAAAUUAAGUAACAUGAAACAACAUUAAAUAACAUUAACCAACAUAAAAAUUAUACAACAUGAAACUUAAACAACAUUUUUUAGUUGUAGUUUUUAAAUAAUAAAUUAUGUUUGGCCCUAUGACCCUUUGGCCCUCGGUUGGAGACGGUUUUUUGUGACAGGGCUAAAACGAGCCCUCUGACCCUUUGGCCCUCGGUUGGAGACGGAGGUAAAUAUGGCCAUGUACUGUUCAUUAAAAUAUUAAUAUUUUGGAGAAUCUUGGAGGGCCAGAGGGCUAAAACAAGCCAUCUGGCCAGCCCUCGGUUAGAGAUGACCUUAUGAUCUAACCUUCCACAUGCCACCUACUUUCCUCCAAUUACAAAAGCUUGUACAAAUAUAUAAUAUUGCACAAGAUAAUACUAAAGCGAUGAAAUUUGUACACAAAAAUUUGAAAACUAAAAGAUAUGGAAGUUGAUGAUUAGAUUAUUACUUAAGUAUUGAUAAACAUGCUCAUUUUUAUUGGUAACACAUCAUUUAGUUUGUAAAUUUUAUCUCUAAAUUUUAUCUUCCUAGCAUUACCUUGAAAUGUGUAGAUGUGGUUGCAAGUCAUACAGCCAUAAAUUUGUACUAAUAUGAUCACAGAAAUAAAUAACAAUAUUUAUAUUUACUCUCCCAACAAUGCUUCCUACUCAUCCGUUUUUUAAUCUUACAUCCGAAACCUCCGAUUCAACACAUCUACAACCCGAAAACCCUUCCUCAUCCUCACUGCAUUGCAUGAGUCCCACGUGCAAAUAUCCGUUGUUUGUGCCCAGAUCCAUAACUUGCAAAUGAAGAUUAGAAGUGGAGGCCAUGAUUACGAGGGUGUAUCGUACGUGGCUGAAGUUCCAUUCUUCAUCCUCGACAUGUUUAAUCUUCGAUCCAUCCACGUAGACAUCAAAUCCGAGACCGCAUGGGUCCAGACGGGGGCUACUCUUGGUGAAGUUUACUAUAGAAUUGCCGAGAAAAGCAAAACCCAUGGCUUUCCCGCUGGUGUUUGCCCUACAGUUGGUGUUGGAGGCCACUUCAGUGGCGGUGGAUAUGGUAAUAUGAUGAGAAAGUACGGCUUGUCAGUUGACAACAUAGUUGAUGCACAACUUGUGAAUGUGCAUGGUGAACUUCUCGACCGAAAAACAAUGGGUGAAGACCUUUUCUGGGCCAUUACAGGAGGCGGAGGAGCCAGCUUUGGAGUUGUAAUCGCG